GGUAAUGCAGAUUAGGGAAAAGAUUCAUGGAGCACAUCAUGAUAUGAUGGUGGAAGAUGCACUGCCCCAUGAUGGAUUGAAAAAGAGUCUGACUAUAGUGGAAAGCAAGACCGAGGAAGUAAUAGAAGACAGUGUUCAACCUGAAGAGCCAGAAGAGAAUGAUGAUAUUACUAGAUAUGGACCGGCAAUUUCAGGUGAGUUUGUGGAAGAAACAAAUUCAGAUGAGGGGUGGCAAGAAGCCAAUCCAAAAGGUAGGUCAGGAAAUGCUUCUGUUCGGAAGCUCAGCCGGAGGCGGCCUGUUCUUACAAAGCUAAAUGUCAAUGGUUGUGAACAUUCAAAUCUUAGAGAAAAAGGCAAUAGACGGGAAAUUGUAUCUCCAGCACGGGAAAAAGCUUCAAGGACCACCACCACUGAGUUAACAGGCAUGAAGGAUUCAAUUAAAUUGCAGGCAAAAACUUCUGUCUCCAAAGUUUAUGCAAGUCCACCAAACCUUACUGCCAUGGCUUCCAAGUCGCUGUCUUACAAAGAAGUAGCUGUGGCACCACCAGGUACGGUUCUAAAGCCAUUACCAGAGAAACCUGAUGAAGAAAUUGAAGAAAAAACUGAAACACAGAUGUGCAGUAAUGCUCCUGAGACAUCAAAGGCGGAGUUGAAUAACCAUUUCUCUCCCGUUGAAGAUGCGCCACUUGAUGGUCAGUCUCAAGAAACUCAUGGAAGUGUAACUCAAUCUGAAACUACUGCUGCAGAUACCGAGGAAGUUCCUUCUUCUUCUAAUGAGGAAAAGCCCAUGGAAACAAAUGGGAGUAAGCUUUCUGCCACAGCUGAACCAUUCAACCCAGGAGCUGUCUCCAUGACUCAUCUGCUAAACUCUGUAGCAGCCACGAGUAUUUAUGAUGCGAGAACUAGUCAAGGUGUGCUUGCAGAACCUGCUGUACCUUCGGCUGCUGCUAGAGUUCCUUGUGGGCCAAGGUCGCCUCUCUAUUAUAGAAAUAAUUAUUCUUACAUGAUGAAACAUGGAUUUCCAAAAUACCACUCUUCCAUUAUGGAAAGAAACCUGUUGGGGCCUUCAAGAAUCAUGAACCCGCAUGCACCUGAGUUUGUGCCAAUGAGAGGUUGGCAAAUAAAUCCUGGAUAUGCAGAUUCAAAUGUUUCAAAUGAGUCGAACUCUUCAAAUGACACAAGUGAGGCAGACGAUGAGAAACUUGACAAAAUGUCCAGUAUUCAAGGCGAGGAUAAUACCUCAAGAAAGAGCAGUACAGAGGCGGAGAAGUCAGAGCUGGCAAGACAGAUACUACUUAGCUUCAUUGUAAAGUCAGUCCAGCAUAAUAUGGAUGCUUCAAGUCAAUCUUCAGGCUACGAAAAGAAGAUUGGGUAUUCAGAAAAUUCUUCAGAUGCAAUUGCAAAUGAUAGUGCUAUCAUAAAGAUCCUAUAUGGAAAUGAAAAGGGCAAAACAAACUUGGCAUCUCAGUCCAAUGAUCAAGAACAGCAAAAACCGAAAGAUGAAAACCAAAAAAGUGGGGAUGGUGAAGGAUUUAUAGUUGUCAGAAAACGGAGAAGAAACCGACAGCAGAUCACCAAUGGGGUAACUGAGAUGUACAAUCAUCAAUCCAUCUGUGCUUCUGUUCGUUAAAAGAGAGAGCAAAGCAAUAAAAUGCAAAGGUGCCGUCCUGUUUCUCCCAAUUUUAUUCGAAAAAUUUGUUAGUGAAUGUUACCGUUGUAGAAAUAAGUUUGGAGCAAGUUUUAAUCAAUACUUGAUUGUAUCAUUUUAGAUAUCCUCUCUGGAUGUUCUAAUAUAAUAUUUGUACAAAUCGGUUUCUUGUUUUGUUAAGAGAUUUUGUUUUGAUCAAUAAAUGAUGAUAAAUUAAUUGGGCGAUUUUCCUCAUCAAGAGAUUUGUGAUGUUGUUCUAUAAUGGAUUUUAAUGUUUUAGACUGAGUUAAUUAUGCCUCAAAUUAUUUGGUAUUUCGUUGGUGCGUGUGAACAAUACGUUCGGAAUGGAGUUGAAUUGACCCACUGAUAGAUAGCUUACAUUUGCAGCGGAAGUUGCUGCACUGAUGAUAUUACAACUAACAUAGUAGUUGGCAAAAUUCCUUGUUCAAUUUAAAUUUGCAAUCAACAGAAACUGAAGAAGAAGCCGUAAGUCUAAUCCUAAUGGAUGCAUAGCUGUUUGGAGAAAAGCCAACGGAGACAUAACACAGCACGAUAAGUUAUACACGGCAGAACCGUAUGUGCUAGUAAGCACAGUCACCGAUGGAAAACAUAUUUGAAAAGCCAAUAUUAGCAUGUGUCAAUACAUCUAUCAAUGAAAUAGAACCACAGUCUGCGCCAGUACGAGUUUAUCCAAAGUGCUGCAAAUAAACCCAAAAUCACUGACACAUAGGAUGCUCCAAAACUCCAUCUUAAUGCCACCAUAUCAAUCACAGAAUCGCCUUCAUCUUCUCCUCCUCCUGUAGGUGUCGCUGGUGGUGCCAACGCACUGCUGCAUUUCCUCUUUAUCAUUGAGCCACAAAGAGCCGAAUUACCUAUAUAACUGCUGUCAUCAAACGUGCCAAACUGCUCUUUGUCUGGGAUUGGGCCGGACAAAUUGUUGUAUGACACGUUGAAGUUUGAUAAAAAGUUGAGCUCAGUUAGUUGAGGAGGAAUUCGGCCACUUAAUUUGUUGCGGGAAAGGUCCAGGCUCUCUAUCAUUUUCAGAUUGGAGAAGCUCUCUGGUAUAGCACCUGAUAGUAAAUUAUUCGACAGAUUAAGUGCACGAAUAUGUUGAAGAUGCCCAAUUUCCCAUGGAAUUUCUCCACUGAACUCAUUGCUCGACAAAUCCAGUCCAGCCAUGUCGUCGAGAUUGCGACCGAUGAAAAAUUCAUAUCUAUACUUUGUCACAAAUUCUACACCUAGUUGAUCUGCUCUAUCAUGUAGUUCACCUUGCGGCUGCGGAUCAAGCGUGGAAUUGUAGUAAGUAAAACUGAAAUCACGAUUUGACACAGCAUAUCCGGAUGCAUAUGAGUAAUCAUCAAUCGCUUCUCUCCAGAAUGACACGUUACCCAAGCAUGAAGGUAUCGGCCCAUUAAGUCUGUUAUGUGAAAGAUCCAUGAUACCUAAUUUUCUUAAUUGGCACAACUGAUUAGGAAUACGUCCUUGUAGAUAAUUCCCUCUCAAAAGAAGAACAUGCAAAUUCGAAAGCUCAUUGAUCUGAUGAGGAAUCCUACCAAAAAAAUUAUUGUCCCUCAAAUCGAGAGUCAAUAAUGUAGAGCUUCUAAGCAAUGCAAUUGGAAUUAACCCAUUAAUUGCAUUGUUAUGCAGAUAAAUGUGCUCCACUGAUGAAAGAUUGGAGAGAGAUACCAUGGACCCAGACAAACUAUUUUCGGAGAUGUCUAUAAACUCAAGUCUUUCAAGAUUGCCGAGCUGGACCGGAAUACUACCUUGCAAAUAAUUUUCUGACAUUAAAAGAACCCAAAGGGCUGAGAAGUUGCCAAUCCAGUGGGGAAUAUCGCCGGAUAACUUGUUGUUGGAUACAUUUAAUACCUCUAGCAAAUUGGAGCUCAACAAACCAUCUGUCAUCUUCCCACUGAAAUGAUUGUUGCCCAAAAGCAAGGAAUUCAAAUGAGUCAAGUUCAUAUAAUUGGGAAAAAGUUGGCCAUAGAAAUUGUUAUUUGAUAGGUCCAACGUAUCUAAGGAGAGGCAACCAGAGACUAUAGGUCGAGAUAAUUCUCCUGAAAAAUUAUUUCUAGACAAAUCCAAAGUAAUUAGCUCUUUCAUCUCACUGAUUGAAUAAGGAAUAUUACCUUCAAAAUUAUUUUUUGACAUAUCUAAAUAUAUCAAUUUCUGAAAGACAAUACCCAAAUUUUCUGGUAGCUUACCAGAGAAAUUGUUAGUGGAAAUAUCUAGAUGACGAAGCUUAUCGUAUUUGGCAUUGGGAAGUCGUGGAAGAAUUCCUGAGAAUGAGUUAUUCCACAAAAUCAUAACUUCUAAUCCUGUGUUAUUUUGCAACAACCAAGUUGGGAAAUUGCCAACCAACUGAUUGUGAGAGAGAUCAAGGAAUUUUAAGUGGUGUUGGUGUAAAAGAAAACUAUUAUUGACAUUUAAGUGGCAGUAACAUAAUUGGAGAACCUUGAGAGGAUAUGUGGGGAGCCAGUUUUCGGUUUUCACUUGCAACAUAUCGUUUCCUGACGAGAGUAGCAAGACCUCAAGCUUUGAAUGAUUAGCCAAUGAAUUUAUUGAGAAUGUUCCUUGGAAAUCGAUGAAAGAGAGAUCCAAAUAUUCAAGUGAUGUGAGGUUGGUCAAGGCAGAAGGAAAGUUUCCACUUAACUGAUUGUAAGAAAUAUCAAGAACUUUGAGAUGGGUCAAAUUGUUGAGACACUGAGGAAGAUGACCCUCAAAAUUAUUUGACCUUAAAUCCAACUCAAGAAGAUUCUUCAAAUUACAUAUUCCUGAAAGUGAAAAUAAAAAGCUCAGAUUUCAUAAAACGAAAACUAAUUAUAGCACAUUCAAUCAUAAACCCAAUAUAAGACUUAUAAAACGGACAUGAAAUCAAAUUGUCUAAGUAUUUUGGUCAACAUAAAUAAUAAUAGAAUGAUAUGAAUUUAUUUCUCAUAUAAUAUGAUGUUGAUUGCAAAAGUGUUUCAAUUAAUCUAACAAUAAAAAAGAAAAUAAUAAUAAUACAAAAGCAAUCAUCAAUUCUUGCUCAUCAUAAUCCAUUCAAAAAGCGUUUCAGCAAUUCUCGUUGUUUAAAAUAAUGAUUUUCUGCGGAAGAGUUUGUUGACUUCGUCUUUUUCGUUGGAUAUUGGUUUUCUAAUCUCUAAAUUUGUUGGAUAAUGUAAAGAGAAACUCAUAAUAUAUUGGUUGCUUUCUUAAACUUUAUUUAUUCUUCUCAUAGCAUUAAACAAAUGUAUUUGCCCAAGCGGGGGAAAAAAAAAAAAAACUGGUCUUCGUAUUUAAUUUCGUCGAAGUACUUCGACCAACAAGUUACUGGGAAGUAGGAAUUGUGUAAUCAGUAAUGCAAAUAUUGGGUGCGUUGGUAUUGUUUUUAUAUGCUGUUUUUUAUUUUUUGAAUUUAGAAAAUAUUAGAUACGUGUUCGGUAGAUUGUUUCUGAAAAUAUUUUUAAAAAUAUAAAAUUCAUUCUACACAUUUUAACAAAAGAAAUGAGAAACAACUUUUUCUUAUUUUCCUUAUUUCCCAAUACAAUAUUAAGUUCCAAAAUGAAGAAUUCUCUUUACCUCCUCCUGAAAUAAUAAUAAUAUCAACAUUAUUAUUAUUAUUAUUAUUAUUAUUAUUAUUAUUAUUAUUAUUAUUAUUAUUAUUAUUAUUAUUAUUAUUAUUAUUAUUAUUAUUAUUAUUAUUAUUCUUGUUGUUGUUGUUGUUGUUGUUAUUGUUGUUCUUGUACCCAAAGAAUCAAUUUCCCUCACAAUAAUCUUUUCUUUUUAUAUACAUUAUAAUAUUUAUGUUUUUAUAUUAACUAAAUCAAAUAUGUAGGGUUUAUCAUUUUUCUUUGAACAAAAAAAAUAGAAAGAUCACCUAAUUUAUUCUUAAAAUUAAAAUAAUCAAUAUACAUUGCUUAAUCUUAAGUUUAUGGAAAUUAUUCCAAUAAUAAUUCUUUGAGACAUUCUUACCAAACAUAUUUGUUUUCUCAUUUUUGAGAUUAUUUUUUAAAAUGAUACUGAACACAUUUUUAAAUUUUAAAAAUAAAUUUAAAAAUAGCAUUUUCAUUUUUUUUGUGAAAACAACAAUUAGAAAACAAUAUUGGGCUCUUAUUUAUCAUGUUUCAACAUAAAAACACAGUGUAAAUGGUUUAAUAUGGGUUUCUAGAGAAUUUUUUAUAUUACUAUUACUCAAAUUCAAUGCUUCCAAGCUUUUGAAUUUAGCUAAUCUUGCACCAAGAAUUAAUGAACAUAAGGAAAAAAAAAUUUAUUCAGAACUAUAAAUAUUGAAAUAAAGAUAAAUAUCAUUGUUGAUUUUUUUGUAAAAAAAGAUUUAGAAUUAAGAGAGAGUGAAAGAAAUGAGCGGGUUAUGUCGGAAAUUGGUGAUAGAGUAUGUCAAGUACUAAACUUUGUAUAGAAAGCAGUGCUUCUAAUUUAAAUUUGAUCUAGUUUAAAGCAAUUAAAAAAUGCAAAUAUAUUAUCAUCUUGAUUAACAUCUAAAACAAUUUUUGUCAUUGGAGGAAGUGAGUUGUUAUAUACCUUGAAUUGUAGUUAUCCCACAAGAAUGAAGAUCCAAUGCUUUCAAAUUUGGCAAAUCUGCCAAUCCUACAUGCGCUAAUAAAAAAUGAAAAUAUUACAUUUAAAGGUAUUGUAUGUGAUCUGCGCGUUUGAAGAAUAUUAAUUCUUAAUUUGCUUCUUAUCUCAGAUUCAGUGGCUUACCUAGCGUUGUCAAAUUUUGAUUUAAGCUUAAAUCCAACACUUGCAGGUUUGUCAAAUUUGCUAAUCCUAUUAAAAAAAAACAUAAAUUUUGUCAAUAAUAGUUACAUCACUCUCGUCUAAAUUGUUUAAUUAAAAUAAUAUGAUAAAUAUUAAAUGAAAAUUAACUGUGCAAAUUGUUUAAUUAAAAAAAUUGCCUUCUAAAGAACUGUGUAUAUAAUAAUUAUAACUCAAAUCCAACGUUUCCAAGCUUUUUAAUUUAGCUAAUCCUGCACCAAGAAAGAAGAAAACUUUUAUUAAUCAUCUUUGGAAAAAAAAAAGAAUUAAGAUUAAGAAACAAAUUUCAAAGUUAGAUUAAAUAAUUGUAGUAAUAAAGCUUAUGAUGAUUAAGAUCUAAUUAAAUUGAUCAUAUACUCAAAAAUGAUUUUAUUUUAUUUUAUUUUUUAAUUUUACUAAGAAAUUAGAAAGUAAAUUUUUGUCGUGUACCAAUUGUAGUCAAGUUUGUCAAGUUUUCCAGUCAAAAAUUGCUUUUAAUUUGACAUUAUACAUAUGUAAAAAUUAAGGCCAUAAUAAUAUCACAAGGAAUUUGGGUAGUGACUUGUUGCCGUGUACCUUGAAGUGUAGUUAUUCCACAACUACCAAGAUCCAAUUCUUUCAGGUUUGUCAAAGAUAAUCCUAUACCAACGAAAAGCAAACUAUUACUUUUAAAAUUAUUGUAGAAGGUUGUGAUUAGUGUGCUAACUUGGUAGUUAUCUCAGUAGCCUACCUAGCCUUGUUAAAGAGCCACUAGUUAUAUUGCGGUUCCCGCUUAGAUCCAACACUUGCAAGUAUCUCAAAUUUGCUAAUCCUGCUCAGAAAACAUUAAUUUUGAUCAAGACAAUAUAAAUAUAUAUUUUAAUUAAGAAAUUAAUUAAGUUGCCUGACAUGUAUAUCUGCUGGCCUGAAACGUAUAUGUAUACCUUGCUUGGUUCUGGAACCUUCAAUCUUAUUGUAACGAAGAUUCAGAGUGGUAAGUGAAGUUAGUGUAUUCAAAUAUGGUAAUAUGCUGUCGUUGAAGUAAUUAAAACCAAGAUUUAAGGUCUUUAGCUGCUUCAAACUCCCAAAGCUAUCGUAAGCUGCAAAUGCAUAUGAAGUGUUAUUAUUAAUUAGUCACUGACAAAAUAUUUAUGGACGAGAAAUAAAUGUAUACAUAUAUACGGACCUCUAUUCUCACAGAAGCCUGUAAACCCAUUCCCAGGUAAGUCGAGCCUUUGCAAUUCUUUGAAAGGAUGAAACAAUGACAUAUUCAGAAGCGAAGCCGAAGUUCCAUCAUAAUAAUUCAAUCUCUUUGUAUAAUUGAGUGAGAGUUGCAUCACGCGUCGUGUGGUGGCGUUGCACAUAACUCCCUCCCAAUCAUCACAGCAAUCAGACGGCAUUCCAUCAUCCUCACCAACCCAUGAAGGAAGAAUUUUGUCAUCAUAUCCAAUAUCACUGACUAAUGAUAUGAAGAAGCUCUUGAUUUCCAACAGAGCAGUCCUCUCUGUUUCCAAGCAUCCUUUGUAUCCAUGAAUUUCAUUCAUCAAUACAAUAAUCCAAAUUAGUGACAUUAAUGAGAACUUAAUACAGGAAGUACUUUCCAUUGUAGAGCAACUUUUCAUUUGGUUAAAAUUAAAUGUGCAAUGAGCAACUUUCCAUUGCAAAGCAAUUUAUACUAAAAGUUUAUCGUAGGUCUUGCAAUUUGAUUGGCUGAAGACUUUUUUAAGACUUUCCAAUACAUUGCCAUCUUUGAAGACUUGUAAGCACUUCAUUAAUACCCCGUGGAAAAUAUAGAUAAAGUGAUUGUAAACUAUAAAUUUUUGUAAUAGUUUGAUGGAGAUAAUCAUAACUAAUAAAAAAAAAGUUGACUGAGAGAAUUUAAAUAAUUUAACCAUAUGUUUGGAUUUCCAUUGCAUUAUCAGUCAAUCUAUUAAAUAAUGUGUUUUGAGAAGAAUUUGAUUGGAUGUUUGUUAAGUUUAAAUUAAUUUAUUAGAAAAUCAAUAAUUAAUCAACGUAAAUUUUCAUAUAUGUUUAGUUAGUGUGGCGUUGUCUGAAAUGACAAAAAACAUAAAUGUUAUUUGAAGCACUUUUAAUUCGACCAAAGCUACUAAAAUCAAAGAUAUUGGGAAUCCUUAAUAAGGAAAGUUUCCAUUGCUCUCAGUCUGCACUCUUCAUUACUAUUGCAAUCACUUGAAAUGACUAAAACAGAAAUUUCGUAUGAACUUGGGACAGCUGCACGGGUCCAAUUUAAAUGACAACUACGUGGAAAAUAAAAAUUUUGCAUAUAUUAUUACAACUACGUGGAAAAUUAAAGUUGACUGACUUUCAAAUCAAGCCAACAAACAAGUGGCCAUCAACUCUUUUUCCACUAACAAUUAGUGGCGACGGUCAAUACUAUAGAAUAAAAGUUGACUAAGAAUUUAUGUAAUUUAAGAGUAUGAUUGGCCUUUUAUUGAAUAUUAUGAUUGGGUUUGCACUGAAUUAUCAAAAAAUCUAUUCAACGAUUUAUAUUCUAAAAUAUUUAGUGAGUUUAGAAAAUUAUUUUAUUAGAUUUUUGUUAAUUAUUAUUAUUAUUAUUAGAUGGCCAACAAUUAAUCAAGUAAUUUUCCAUAUAUAUUUGAUAAUUUACUCAUAAAAGCGUGGACUACAUUCAAAUGGCAUUUUAUAUGAUGUAUGAUAUAUGUAGAGGUGAAAUUUAAAUAGGCUUAAUUUUAUAAAUAAAUACAUAUGUAUUGCAGCAUUCAAUCAUUGUGUUAAAGCGCCAAUCACGGUGACCACCAAAACCUAUGAAUGAUUAGUCCAUUGAAACCCAAUGUAUGCUCAAUUAAUAUUUCCUAUCAAGAUCAAAUUUUUCGCUCUAUUGCUUCAACAAUCAUGAGCAUAAAAGCUCGAUUUAUACAAAAAUUACGAAUUUAUGAAAAAAAAAGUCACAUUUAUUAUAAUAUGAAGUUUGAUUGAUUUUUAAAUAUUGAUUCAAUCAAUCUUAAUGUUACUGGACAAUCGAUCUUAAUGUUAAUUCAAAAUCAAUCUUUAUUUCGAUGGGCACAGAUAAAGAUAAUUAGUUUUGGUCUCUAUAAUGACUGACGAAGACUUGUAGGACCUGGACCAAUGAGGAAAAACACUUUCAAAUUAAGCCAACAUGCAAAUGGUCGUCAAUUCUAUUUUUUACAAAAAUUGAUGGAGAUAGUCAACUAAUAAAAUAAAAGUUGAUUGAGAUAAUUUAAAGAAUUUAGGCAUAAGUUUGGCUUUUAAAUUAUCAAAUAAUUUAUUCCACUAUUGAUACUUAAAAAAGUGCUUUGGAAUUAAUAAUUCAAUAGGAUGUUUGAUAUAUUGGAAUUCGUGAAAAUCAAUAAUCAACUAUUUUUUAUACAUGUUUAGAAAUUUAUCCGGUGUGUAUAGGGGCUUGUAUAUUUCACAAUAAACAUGAAUUAGUACAUCCAUCGAUUGACGUAUAAUUAUAAUCAUAUAAUCAAACACGCACACUACAAGGCGACCUUCGAUUGACGUAUUCUGUCAACUAACCCGUGGGAGAUGGAGGAUGUCUUAACGUUAUAAAAAAAAUUGAUGAAUAAUAUAAUUCCAGGCAGUGCUAAAACCAUAAUGUACGCCAGUAUGAGUUUAUCCAAAGUCACCGGCUACACCAAUAUCAUUGUGACAUAGUAACAUUCUUGUCCCAUUGAGUGAGAGUUGCAUCACCCGGCGUGUGGUGGCGUUGCACUCAACUCCCUCCCAAUCAUCACAACAAUCAGACGACAUUCCAUCAUCAACCCAUGAAGUAAGAAUAGAGCCUUCAUAUUCCCUAUCACUGAUUGAUAUAAAGAAGCUCUUGAGUUCCAACAGAGCAGUCCUCUCUGUUUGCAAGCAUGCUUUGUAUCCAUGCAUUUCAUUCAUCAAAACAAUAAUCCAAAUUAGUGAAAUUAAUGAGAACUUGACAAAGGAAGUACUUUCCAUUGCAAAGCAACUUUUCAAUUGGUUAAUAUAAAAUUUGCAACGAGGAAACUUCGAUAUUUAUACUAAACAUUUAUCAUCAUGGACCUUGCAAUUUGAUUGGCUGAAGAUUUCCAACCACCCAACCUAACGAAAAUGAAACAUCUUAGAGAUAUCAAGUAAUAAAAAUAUUUGAUUAUCUUAUUUUUGUUUUAGAGGGUUAUUAAAGACAAAACAUUGUCAAUACAUUAUAACAUCGCUAUCUUGAAGUCUUCGUCUUUAGUGAAGACUUGUAAGCUUGAAAUUACAUAUAUAUUGCAACAUCGACCCAGGAGAAAAAGAACUUCACUAAUACUCCGUGAAAAAUAAAAUUAAAGUUGACUGACUCUCGAAUUAAGCCAACAAACAAGCGAGUGCAAACUAUAUUUUCUCCAACAGUUUGAUGGAGAUAGUCGUAACUAAUAAAAUAAAAGUUGUGUGAAAGAGUUUAAAUAAUUUAUCCGUAUAUUUGGGUUUACAUUGGAUGAUCAGUUAAUCUAUUAAAUAAUAUGUUUUGUAAAGAAUUUGAUUGGAUGUUUGAUAAGUUUAAUUUCGUAGUUUAAUUACUCAUAAAAGUGUGAUGCACUCUAAAAUGACAAACACAUAAAUGUUAUUUGAAGCUUUUGUGACCCUUCAUGUUCAUGCAUUUGAAUCAAAGCUAUUAAAAUCAAAUAUAUUGAUAAACCUUAAUAAGGAAAUUAAGUUUCGAUUGCUCUCAAUCUGUAACUCUACUACUAUUACAAUCACUUGAAAUGACAAAAACAGAAAUUUCAUAUGAACUUGGGACAGAUGUACACGGGUUCAAUUUAGCUAAUUUCCCAUAUACUUACAACUACGUACGGGGAAAAUUAAAGCUGAUUGAUUUUCAAAUUAAGCAACAAACAAGCGGCUGUCCUACUAUUUUUCCUCUACCAAUUGACGGAGACCGCCGAUGCUAUAAAACAAAAAUUGAUUAAGAAUUCAGAUAAGGAAAAUUAUCAACUGUCCGUCCUAAGUUUAUCAUUUAUUAAUUUUUCGCCUUAAGUUUACAAUUCGUAUUAGUCAUCUACUAAAAAGAUAGAAUUACACUUAUGAAAUGACAAUACAGAAACAAAUACAAAUGGCAAUAGUGGUAAUUUUGUAUGAAUUUUUCUGUUCUUUUGGUGGUUGGUUGAUACAAAUUAAAAACAUAAGAAGAAAAAUAAAUAAAUUCAAACUUUUAGUAUUUCUGAUAGCAGGUUAAACCAAAGGAGGGCUUUACAAUUUCCCUUUAAAUAAUUUAAGGGUGUGAUUGCGUUUCUAUUGAACUAUAUGCUUGGAUUUGCAUUGAAUUAUCAAAAAAUCUAUGCAAGCAUCGAAUUGUAAUGACUGACGAAGACUUAUAAGGCUUGGACCAAUGAAGAAAAAUGCUUCAUUAAUGCUCCGUGGAAAACAAGCCAGUUUGGAAGAAGUUGAUCGGAUAGUCAACAGUUGAUUGAGAUAGUCAACUAAUAAAAUAAAAGUUAGUUGAGAUAUAAUUUUAAUAAUUUAAGCGUCGUUUGGGUUUGAAAUAAUCAAAUAAUUUAUUGAGAAGAGUUGAAUUCCGUUAUUUUAUUGAGAAGAGAUCCAUCACUCCCUCCCAAUUAUCACAGCAAUCAGAUGACAUUCCUUUAUCAUCGUCAAACCAUGAACUAAGAGCUUCGUCAUCGUAUCCAAUAUCACUGGCUGAUAUGAAGAAGCUUUUGAUUUCUAACAGAGCAGUCCUCUCAGUUUCCAAGCAAGCUUUGCAUCCAUGCAUUUCAUCCAAAACGACAAUCCCAUUGCAAAACAGCUUUUUAUUUGGCUAAAGUUAAAUGUGAAUUAAAUAUCUUUGACUGGUGAUAUACAUAUAUUCAGAGAUUUGAAGUGCUCAAACCAAAAAAAAAAUAAAAAUAUAAAAAUAUUAUUAUAAAAAAAUUGAUGAAUAAUAUAGUUCCAGGAAGUGCUAAUAUGGCUCUUUGAACUCUCUUUACAAGUAUAGUACAGUAUUGGUAGAAAUUUAUCCGGUGUGUACAAGGGCUUGUAUAUUUUGCAAUAAAAUAUACAAGCCAAUAUGAUUUUCUUUCUUUCUUUCUUUCUUUUUUUUUUAGAAACAUGAAUUGGUUCGUCCAUCAAUUAAUAAUAAAACCAUAAUGUACGCCGGUAUGAGUUUAUCUAAAAUCACCGGCUACACCAAUAUCAUUGUGACAUAGGAAGCGAUGAGGAAAUUUACGAAAUAUUUAUUAAACCAUAGUCUACACCAGUAAGAUGGAAUUAGCAUUCAAUGAUCAUAGACUUUCUGCAAUUUCAUUGACUUGUGAUCAGGGAGUCCUUAUUCUACAAUAAUUAUAAUCAAACAUGCACACUGCAAGGCAACCUUCAAUUGACGUAUUCUGUCAACUAACUGGGGACAGGGGUCAUAAAAGGGUACGGGAGAGAAAGCAUGAGUCUAUGCACAGUUCCGGUUUUGCUAGUUGAUGGAACAUGGAGGUUGUGUGUUAAUGUUAACCAAUAGUCAAGUUUAUGAACACAACCAAGCAAUCGUAUCAUCAAUCAGAGCCACAUUCGAUGCACGACUAGUAAAUAUCAUAAUUGAGUUUGAGGACCACAGCCGCACAAUGAAAGAAUUUGAAUGAAGGAAAAGUAAAGCAAAAUGAAAAGGAAAAGAGGGGAAUGCUAAAGAAAAAUAAGCUAAUUCAUCAGUAACUCCAUAUGACAAUUGCACCCAAAUUUUGGAUGUUUUUAGCCUCACGAAAUUUCAACAUUAAUGAUAAAUUACAGAUAUGUGAAGGAAAACUUAGAAACCAACUUGUGUUCAUAGAGAAAAUGCUCAAAAAAUAAAUUAAAGGAGUGCAAGGCUCAAUAUAAUUCUUUAGCGUGUGAAUCAAAAUAAUUAACAGAGACUGUCCCGCGUGUCACAUGUAACUAAUUUUGGCGCCAUCUUGAGCUACUUCUGUUAAGGCCUUCACUCCAUAGUCUUAAGAACACAAUGCACAAUAAAUUCUUCAGAUUCAUAUGGCAAAUGAAUUGCACAACAAGGCAUAAUUACUCAUAAAAGAAAGAUACAGUAAACCAUGGCCUGGUACUGUCGUUUUGUGCGUUCUAGUGGUAUUGUAGUUUAAACGAUACUCGUUUUUCUAUCUUGGUGGUUUCUUGAUUGUGUUCAAAUAUCAAUAAUCGAAGCAAAUAAGUUGUAGUGGUAUUGCACGCAACUUUUGGAUUGUGUUGGCGCCAUCUUGUGCUAAUUCUGUUAAGGCCUUCACUCUAUGGUCUUAAGAACACAAUGCACGAUAAAUUCUUCAGAUUCAUAUGGCAAAUGAAUUACUCAUAAAAGAAAGAUAAAGUAAACUAUGGCCUGGUACUGUCGUUUUGUGCGUUCUAGUGGUGUUGUAGUAUAAACAGUACUCGUUUUUCUAUCUUGGUGGUUUCUUGAUUGUGUUCAAAUAUCAAUACUCAGAGACAGAUAGAGGAAAGCUAAAGAAAAAUAAGCUAAUUCAUCAUUAACAUAAUAUGACAAUUGCACGCAAAUUUUGGAUGUUUUUAGUCACUGAAAUUUUUAACAUUAAUGAUGAAUUACAAGUAUGUGAAUGAAAACUUAUAAACAAAUUUUGUUUACGGGAAAAAUGUAACUGUGAAAGAAAGUAAAAGAGAGUAGAGAGACUAAAAACAGAGGAUUUCAUUCGUCAUUUCAUAACUAUAUUCCUACUCAGGCCUUUACUCUGGACUUAAGACCGCAUGUCCGAAAAAUUCGUCAGAUUCAUGUAGCAAAUGAAUUGCACAAGGAGGCAUAAAAAUUAGUAUAUUUUUCAAGGACCCAGCUUGAAAGCAAUGAACUAAAAAUUAAUACAUAAAAGUUCAAUUACACGUAAAGAAGGAUAACAGUAAACUAUGGCCUAGCAAGAUGACGGAUGAAAGAAAACCAUGGCCAGCGCCAAUACGAAUUCAACCAAAGGAUUCAUCUUAAUUGCAGAUUCAUCUUCGUCUUCUCCUCGAUUGGAUGUUAUUGCUGGAUUUUCCUAUGUUCUGUUGCAAGUCUUAUUAAUUGUUGGACCACAAAGACCGAGAUUAUAACUCUUUUCAUCAAACCUGCCAAAUUGUUUUUUGUCUGGGAUCAGACCGGACAAGUCCUUAUAUGACUCGUUAAAGUUGGAUAAGUAGUUGAUUAUUGAUCAGAAGAUCACUAAUCAGAAAAUUUUUCAUUUAUGUUUGUGUAAAUUAUUCAUAAAAGUAUGGUCUACUCUGAAAUUACAAAAAUAAACAUAAUAAAUUUGAAUAAAGGAAAGGAAAAUGAGAAGCAAAACAGAGGAAUGCUAAGGAUAAAUAAGCUGAUUCAUCAGUAACUCAAUAUGGCGAUUGCACACAACUUUUGGAUGUUUUUAGCCUCUGAAAUUUCAAUAUGAAUGAUACAUUACAAAUAUGUGAAGCAAAACUUAGAAACCAAUUUUUGCUUACAGAGAAAAUGUUAAAAAACAAAUAAUGAUAAAAGAGUGCAGAGAAACUAAAAACAGAGGAUUUCACGGAUCAUAAUUUAUAAGUGAUAUUCCUAGUGCAAGGCUGAACAUAAAUCUUAGGUGUGCGAAUCAAGAUCAUUAACGAAGAGAUCACGCGUGUCCCAUGUAACUAACUUUGGCGUGAUGUUGGAUGGUUGCAUAGAAUGAGUAGGGUAUCUUUCAAAGGUCAUAAUUUGGACUACAAGUGUAACUAACAACGACGAUGCUCAAGUUUGGUUAUCGUCGAUCACUGCGGAUUGAUGUUCGUAGCUCCUCCUAUAUCAAGGAAAUGUCAUAAUUACUUUCCAAACAUAAGAAAUACAACUAUUUUAUGUGAUAUGAUUCACAAUGAAUAUUUAUCCCAUAGCUUAUAACUCUCGAAUCCAUUAUUUGUAAAUAAAAAUUACCCUAAUACUCUCAAAACCAUCAAUUGCACCUUAUGCUCAAAAUUUCAUAUUCCAGCUCAAUAAUUAAAUUUCCAUAUCCUAUAAUACUAAUAAAUCAGCCACAUUAUCACCAAUCUCAUUAUUAGCCAUGAACUACCCAAACAUAAUAUAUAACAAUAAGCUAUUUACAUACCGAAUUGAGGAAAUAGUGAGCGCUACACAUUUUGGCUCUAAUGCCUUGGUGCCCUUGUGCACCUAAAAUGAUCCACCAAUUACUAAAAUUAGCUUGGGACUUACUACACCCAUUUGUUGGGAACCCUAACUAUAAAUAAAGUAUACAAAUCUUUAAAUUAAUUUCAUUUUCAUGUAAAUGCAAUUUCAGGUAAAGAUAAAAUGAUAGAAAUCUUACUCCAUUUGGUAAGAAAUUCAACUUGAAAGCUUGAAUCACUUCCCUCUCACUCAAAUCCUUUCUCUACACUUCCUACAUUUAAAUUCCUCUCCAAUGAAUUUCCAAAUGAACUUAGGGAUAAAAAUACUCUAGAAUGACUCUCGAAUCCAAUUUGUGAAAGACCAAACUCAAUUUUGGAAAAAUCCUAAAUCAUGAAAAUUUUCCCAUUGUCUUCCUCUCAUGCCCGUGAGCUUUUGCAAAGCAAUGGUAAGUGCUUUUUUUUUAUUCGCUUUACAUAUAAAGCUUAUUUUAUAUUUUUGUUUAUGGGCUUUUGAAAUAUUAUUUUAGGCCCAAUUAAAGAAAAUUAAUUUACCCAAAUAAAGAAUAUUAUUUUAUAUACAUUCGUAUUCAUAAGUUAUUAUUAAUAACUUGUAUAUAGAAGUCAGGGCAGUACACAAAUUUACUGAGUAAAGUUGUACUUUAAUUGGUGAACUCUGAAGGCACCAAUUAUAACAUCCAUUUCUAGCAUAUAUAUAUAUAUAUAUCAUGGAAAUCUGACAUGCUUAUACAGAUCACAUACAGGAUUCAAAAUUUAGAAGAUUCUAAAUUAUUUAAGGCCAGAGAUUGGGCCAGCUUGUUUAGUUAGUAGGCAAUGAUGGAAGGUUGCUUGGUAAAGCUGCUAGAUCUUUAGAAAUUCAGAGAUGACGGGCAGCAAAGAGUGAUAAUUUUUGUUUUCCCCAAUCACCUUGAACAGAGUGAGAAGAAACCAUUAUUUCGAUAUGUGCAGUUCUUCCAUCAUAUUGUUAUUUAAUGGUUGUUGUUAUUAAUUCUAGAAAAACAUUUUUCGAUUUGGCAAAUGGAGUUUUUCAUCUUCAAAAGAAGAGUCCCAGGUUCCAAACGUUACUGCCAUGGCUUCCAAGUCGCUGUUCUACAAAGAAAUAUCGGUGGCACCGCGAGAUCCCGUUGAUAUUACAAUCAACAUAGUAUUUGGGAAAAUUGCUCCUUCGGAUUGUAGCAUUUCGAGUCUCAGGUUCUUUCAAUCAACACAAGCACGUUCGAGAUACAACAGGAAGUUGUUAAAUUUAUAUUUGCAACCAACAGAAACUGCAGAAGAAACAAUAAGUCUAAUUUUAACGAAACCACUCGAAGGAACUUCGAAACUUGAGCAUAGUUUUAGAACCAAAUUAAGAAUUUUAGCAAAACACAUACAUUGAUACAUUCAUCAAUGAAAUAGAACCACCCUCUACGCCAAUAGGAGUUUAUCAAGCAAACCAUAGUCAUACAAAUAAUAAUUAGUUCAUUCUCUCCAGAAUGGCACGUUACCCAAGCAUGAAGGUAUUGACCCACUAAACAUGUUAUUUGAAAGAUCCAUGAUACGUAAUUUUGCUAACUGGCAAAAUUCAUUAGGAAUAUGUCCUUGUAGAGAAUUCCCUUUUAAAAGAAGAACAUGCAAAUUCGAAAGCUCAUUGAUCUGAUAGGGAAUCCUACCAAAGAAUUUAUUAUCCCUCAAAUCUAGAGUGAUUAAUUUAGAGCUUCUAAACAAUGCAUUAGGAAUUUACCCAGAAAUAGCAUUCUUCUGCAAAUAAAGGUGUUUCACUGAUGAAAGAUUGAAGGAAGAUACCAUGGACCCAGACAAACUAUUUUCAAAGAUGUCUAUAAGCUCAAGACUUUUAAGGUGGUUGAGUUGGACUGGAAUAUUAGCUUCCAAAUAAUUUUUUGACAUUAAAAGAACCCUAAGAGUUGAGAUGUUACCAAUCCAAUUAGGAAUAUUACCGGAUAACAUGUUGUCGGAUAUAUCUAACCCCUCUAAUGAAGUGGAGCUCCUCAAACCAUCAUCCAUCUUCCCACUGAAAUGAUUGUUGUCAAAAAUAAAUAAUUCAAAUGGGUCAAGUUCAUAUAUUUGGGAAAAAUUCGGCCAUAGAAAUUGGUAUUUGGUAGGUCUAACAAAUCUAGAGCGACGCAACCAGAGACUAUCGGUCAGGGUAAUUCUCCCAAAAAAUUAUUUCUAGAAAAAUCCAGCAUAUAUAACUCUUUCAUCUCACCUGUUGAAUAAGGAAUAUCACCUUCAAAAAUGUUUUUUGACAUAUCCAAAUAAAUCAAUUUCUGAAGGACAAUACCCAUAUUCCGUGAUAGCUUACCAGCGAAAUUGUUAUUGGAAAUAUCUAGAUGACGAAGCAUAUCGUGUUUGGCAUUGGGAUGUAGAUGAAGAAUUCCUGAGAGUGAGUUGUUCGCCAAAGACAAAUAGUUUUAUCUUGUGUUGUUUUGGAACAACCAAAUUGGGAAAUUGCCAACCAACUUAUUAUGAGAGAAGUCAAGGAAUUUUAAGUGGUCCUGUUGUAAAAGAAAACUUGGAAUGACAUGUAACUGGCAGUCGGAUAAUUUGAGAACCUUCAAUUGAGAUGUCGGGUGCCAGCUUUCGGUUUUCACUUGUAACAUAUUGCUUCCUGAUGAGAGUAACAAGACCUCGAGCUUUGAAUGAUUAGCCAAUGAAUUUAUUGAGAAUGUUCCUUGGAAAUUAAUGGAAGAGAGAUCCAAAUAUUCAAGUGAUGUGAAGUUGGUCAAGGUAGAAGGAAAGUUUCCACUUAAUUGAUUAUUAAAAAUAUCAAGAACUUUGAGAUGGGUCAAGUGAUUGAGACACUGAGGAAGGUGACCCUCAAAGUUAUUUGAGCUCAGAUCCUACUCAAAAAGAUUCCUCAAAUUACAUAUUUCUGAACCUGAAAAUAAAAGAUCAAAAUUUUAUAGAAUGGAAACUAAUCAUAGCGAAUUCGGUCAUAAUCCAAUACAAGACUUAAAAAACAGACAAAAAUCAAAUUGUCUAAUUAUUUUGGUCAGCACAAAUAAUAAUAGAGUAAUGUGAACUUAUUUCUCAUAUAAUAUGAUGUUGAUUGCAAAUGCGUUUCAAUAAUCUGAAAAAAGGGAAAAAAAAAUGCCCUCAGCACUUUUUGCUCAUCAUAACCCUAAGUCCUUCUUGUUUAUAAUUAUAAUUUUCUGAGGAAGAAUUUGUUCACUUGAUGUUGUUCAUUGGACAAUGGUUCUGUAACCUCUAUAAUGUAAAGAGAAACUCAUAAUAUUUUAGUUGUCUUCUUAAAUAAUAAAUUGUCUUAAAAUACAAUUAAUUUGUCUUAAAUUUAAUUUAUUCCUCAGCAUUCAAGGAAAAACAAAAACAAAAAAAAAAGAAAAAGAAAAAAGAAAUGGUCUUCAUAUAUAAUUCUGUCCAAGUACUUUGAUACACAAAUCAAUCGGAAGGUGGUGUAUCAGUAAUGCAAAUAUUUAAUUAUCAUGUUUCAACAUAACAAUUCUGUGUAAAUUGUUCGCUUUAGGUUUCUAGAGAACUGUUUAUAUUAUUAUUACUACUCAAAUUCAAUGCUUCCAAGUAUUUGAAUUUAAUUAGCUAAUCCUGUAUCAAGAAUUAAUGAACAUAAGAUAAAUGUCAUAUUAAUUAGAUUUAGAUUUUUUUUUUCCAGUUUUGACGUAUAGAUAUAAAUAAUACUUCAAAAGCAUUGAAAUGUAAGAGCUAUUAAAAAAUCGUUUUUCAUUCAAAGCUAUAAUUAAUGAAAUGAAGAUAGAUAUCAUUGUUCAUUUAAAAAAAAUUAAAUUCAGAAAAAAGAAAGAGCGAAAGAAAUGAGCAGGUGAUGUUAAUAAAUAGUGAGAGAGUAUGUCGAGGACUAAAAUUUAUUAAAGAAAGCAGUGGUUCUAAUUCAAAUUUGAUCAAGUUAGAAUUAGUCAAUUAUGCAUCGAGAAUCAAAAGAAUGAAGAAUGGGAAUUCAAAAUUAGACUUAAAAAUUAUAAUAAAGUGAUUAGUUAAGAUUCAAUUAAGCUGAUUUACUAAAAAAUAUUGAAAAAUAAAAGACCACAAUAUUGCCAAAAAGACUAGGAAAUUAAGUAGGAAGGGGUGAUUGUUGCGGAAUACCUUGUAGUUAUUCCACAACCACGAAGACCAAUUGCUUUCAAGUAUUGCAAAUAUGCCAAUCCUACAUCAAUAAAAAGCAAAAUGUUACUUUAAAAUUAUUGUAGAAGACUGUGAUCAUUGCGAUAGAUCGGUAAUUUCAGUAGCUUACCUAGGCUUCUUAAAGAGCCGCUUGUUAGAUUGAGGUUCCAGGUUAGAUCCAACACUUGCAAGUUUCUCAAAUCUGCUAAUCCUGCUCAGUAAACAUUAAUUUUGAUAAAAACAAUAUUCAUAAAUAUUUUAAGAGAUUAACUUGCCUGGCAUGCAUUUCUGCUGGCCUCAAACAUAUUUACCGUGCUUGAUUCUGGAACCUUCAAUGUUAUUGGAACGAAGAUUCAGAGUGGUAAGUGAAGUUAGUGUAUUCAAAUAUGGUAAUAUGUUGUCGUUGAAGAAAUUACCACCAAGAUUUAAGAUCUUCAGCUGUUUCAAACUCCCAAAGCUGUCGUAAGGUGCAAAUGCAUAUGAAUUAUUAUCAUUAAUUAGUCACUGACAAAAUAAUUAUGAAUGAGUAAGAGAUACAUAUGCUUGUACCUUUAUUCUUAUAGAAGCCUUUAAACCAACUUAUCAGAUAAGUCAAGGCGCUGCAGUUCUUCAAAAGGGUGAAAACAUAAUGACAUAUUCAGAAGAGAAACUUCAUAAGAAUAAAAGAGUUAUAAUCAGAGUAGUUGAUUUUUGUUUUCUGAUUGAGUGAGAGUUGCCUCACCCGUAGGGUGGUGGCGUUGCACUUAACUCCCUCCCAGUCGUUGCAACAAUCAGACGACAUUCCAUCAUCAUCAAACCAUGAAGAAAGAAUUUCGUCAUCAAAUCCAACAUCACUGGCUGAUAUGAAGAAGCUCUUGAUUUCCAACAGAGCAAUCCUCUUCGUUUCCACGCAUGCUUUGUAUCCAUGUAACUGAAUCAAAGCCAUGCCAAUCCACAAUGACAACUUCAUCAAAAGCAUUUUCAUUUUUAAUAUUAACUGCUAGAGAAACACUCACAAGAUUGACCUGUCAAUUGUUGCUCUCUUGAAUUUUUUCUGGUUCCAUAGCAAAUAUAUGACUUAUAUAUAUACAAUGGAAAUUUUGCGCAGAAUGAAAAUUUUGCACAUUUUCACGUGCCAUGUCAAUGAGAAAACAUGCAUGGAUAGAAAAAAGUAGGUGAGAGAAUAUUACCUGUUGAUACAUGUUAUCUGCUUGUGACUUUAGUACCGUCCAAAGAAAUUGAAAUGUGAAAUAAUUGAAGAUGCAAAUUGGUUGAUUUCACGGGCCUGGCCUCUGGCAAAGUGAAAUGUUGGCCACGCACUAUACCAGUAAAGUGUCAACAUUGUAGCAUAAGGAAAUUGCGGCAUCUCAGCUAGAUUUUGAGAGUCACUAUUUCGUAUAAUCAGUCCCAUUUGUUCGUGGGGACUCACAUUCUGUCCUAUUGUGGACUCACAAAUAUUUAACAUGAUUUUGAUAUUUUGAUAACUACUUAAACCGCAUUUCCUUGAUAAUUAAAGAAAAAGAGAAGUGAAUGAAGCAAAAGAUACUGAUGACCCAUAAUUAUGUAAAUAAAUACAAGACUUUACAAUAGAUUAGACCACCAAUUUGUGCUUUUUCGUCCAAAAAUAAUGCAUCUGCUUUAACAAGAUACGAGUGAAUUGGGGCAUAUCUUUCUUUCAUAAUGUAAACUUGCCAAAAUACAUGUAAUCUGCUGGUGAAAUAAUUUUAUAAAACAAAGGCUUAAAGUUAAAGCUGACUAAAAAUAUUGGUGUACGUCAAGAACGCUACGGGGAAAAUUUAACCGCGAGCUGCAGUCUGCAGUCCCCAGCAAUCCGGGAAAAGGCUGGGUGGUGCGGGCCUGCCCACUAAUUUGGCAGGUCUGAUGGGAUUUAUAAAUAAAAAUAAUGUAAUUUUAUAUAUUUUUUAAAUAAAAAAUUUGUUGAUGCCGUUGUGAGAUCCAUUGGAUCCAAGGUCUUGAAGAGGAAAGAUCACUAUGGCUGCAAGGUCUGGAAGAGGCAAGUCCAAUAAAGCCAAGGCUGACAAGAAGAAGAAAGAAGAGAAAGGUUUCAAUUGUUAAGCCUUAUUAUUCACUUCUUUCAUUGGAAAGUGCUUUUUGUAAAGUGCUUUUGCAUUCUAGCUUCCAUAUGUUCAUUGAUUUCUUUUGUUGUGCAGUAGUACCCAGUGUUCUUGAUAUCACAAUCAUCACCCCAUAUGAAUCACAAGUUGUUCUCAAGGUAUACAUAUAUACUUAUCAUUAAUACUUUCUCGUUUUGCCCUCACCAGCUAUUAUUAGGAUAUUAUUUUGUAAAACUUUAUAAAUAUAAAUGAAUUAUUGAUUAAUCAUCUUUUUCUUGUUUGAUUGAAAUUUGCUCGAAGGGCAUCUCCACUGACAAGAUACUUGAUGUGAAAAAAUUGUUGGCUUCCAAUGUAGAAACUUGCCACCUCACAAAUUAUUCUCUCUCUCACGAGGUAUAUAUAUAUAUAUUUUAUUAUCUCUCUUUUUUUUAAUUAUAUAUGAUUAUGAAUAAUGAUAUUAAACACUAGAUACUAUUUUUUUCCACCUUAUUUUUAUUUGUUUAUUUCUUUAUGAUAUUAAUGCAUUAUUAGUUGUUUUUUUUUAUCAGGUCAAGGGGUAGAAAUUGAAUGAUAGAGUAGAGGUUGUUACUCUGAAGCCCUGUUUGCUCAGAAUGGUUAAAGGUAGGUGAAGCUUUCUCGUGUCAAAAUUUCUGAAUUAAAAAGUCUCAUGCAUGUGGAUGUGGGUCUCAUCUUAUUUGUUAUUUUUAAGAGUUCUGCUAUUUACCUCGGGUUAAACCCCGAAAGCUAAAACAAAACGACGUCGUUUCCUCUUCUUCAUGAAACGCUACCGUUUCACCCUAGCAAAAGCAAACGUUCCUCUCCUCUUCAUUUUCGUCUUCCUCUCCUGACUCCUCUUCGUUUCACCAGGGAACGACAUUCGUUUUGUUCGUUUUGUUUAAGAUCCAAAUCGAAGAAAUUUCCUUUUAAACAAAUCUGCCAUUUGUUUUCUCCUUUGAAAUUUCCUCUUAAAAAAUCUGCCAUUCGCGCAGGCAUGGUCACCGUCAACGUGGCAGGCAUCACGCGCAUCUCUCAUUGAACUCAUGAAGCGUCACAGUUAUCACAGCUGCAGGUAAUGCUUUGAUCUUUAGCUUUUCUAGGUUACGGUAAAAUGGGGGCAAUUUUGAUAGCUAGCAUCAUUUCCGUUUUAUUUAAUUUUCAGUUGAAAUAGAAUGUUAAGGAAAUAAGUGUGUUAAAUUGCAAUUGGUUUGUAAUUUGUGCUAAAUUGGUCUGCAAUUUGUGCUUGAGUUGGUUUGCAAUUUGUGCUUGAAUUGGUUUGCAUUUGUGCUGAAUUGGUCUGCAAUUUGUGCUGAAUUGGUCUGCAAUUUGUGCUGAAUUGGUCUGUAAUUUGUGCAGAAUUGGUCUGUAAUUUGUGCUUGAAUUGGUCUACAAUUUGUGCUUAAAUUGGUCUGGAAUCACCAAAUAGUCCAGAAUUGUUGAUGUAACUUUUACAACUCUUAUAAAUAAUAGAAAGCAAGUUAAUUAGAAGCACCAAAAUAGUUCAGAAUCACCAAAAUAGAAGCACUAAAAUAGUCCAAAAUUGUUGAUUUUGUGGACACACACAGACACACACACAGGGAGAGAGAGACACGCACACACACAGAGAGAGAGAGAGAGACACACACACACACACACACACUGACACACACACAGACACACACAUAAAGAGACACACAAACACAGACACACACACAGAUACACACAUACACACAGCUUUGUUCAGCCCACUUUAGUAGCAAAUUCAAAUACCAAGAAACUGAGUUGGCCUUAAAAACAUUGUUCUGGUUUUCUUUUCAUUAUUAACUGUAAUUGUAUCCCUUUUUGAGCUGUUUCUUUCCAACGGUCUAUGGCUUUACAAAUAAUGUCAUCCAACACAACCGAGAAUUGAAUCUCAUUGCAAAUGUGUAAUGGAUGCGGUGAUCAGAUGGAGCUGUUAACGUCACGCACAACAAAAAAUCCAAAUUGCAAAUUUUGGAUUUGUAGAGGAUGUAACAACUUUCAAUGGGCAGAAGAUCGUAAAUCUAGCGAAGAGAAAAUAGACUUGUUAGCGGAUGAGUUUAGGAAGUUGGCCUUGGAGAUUGAGUGUUUGUCCGUUAAAUUUCAACUAUUGCAUAAAGAACUUGAGCAUAUGCGAGAUCGUGAAGUGCAGAGGCGAUUGUUGGACGACGAAUUUCGAAAGAGAGAGGCACUACGAUAUGAUUUUAUUAAAUUAAUCAUGAUUGUUGUAUUAUGUUUUCUAUUCAAGUAUUGUUUUUAAGUUGUUUCAAUUUGUACUAUGUUACUGGAAAAGACUUGUAUUGUAGAAUUUGACCACUAUAUGUAAUAGCAUUUUCAUGUUAAAUAUAAGUUUUCGAUUGUUUGAAUUAAUUCAAAGUAUUCUGAAUUUAGAAUUUGACCCCAAGAAUACUUCUCAAAAUUAUACUAUGUCCCAACUCAUUCCAAUAUGUUCCAAAUAGAUCCAUUUUCAGAAUUUACGAAGUCUAAAAUUUAAAAAAUAUCGAAAUACACAUACACCAAGUUACAUUAGCUUUACAAUAAUACAUAAAACAUAAGCUAACUUUGUUGAUUCGUCAAGCCAAUUCCAAUGAACUUCGAUCAUGUGCUUGGUUCAUUAGUUGAAAACUCCCCUCAAUUGGCCUCCUCGAAAUUUUGUUGCGGAAAAUAUUGCAAGUUUGCGUGAUGGACUCCGCUGUAAUUCAUCCAAGACUGAUAGUAAGGGAGGAAAAAUGCAUGUUCUAGGGGUGCUUGCUGUGCUAGCUGUUAUACAACAAAAAAAAAAUUAUAUACAAAUUAUCAAACAUAUGACAAUGAAUGUAAAUAGCAAAAAAAAAAAAUAUUACCAUAGCCAUAUGGCUCUCUUGUGUUGGGAAUGUAGUAGCCACUUGAGAAGAAAAAUCAUGUAUCUCCGAGUCCUAGAAAUAUGGUUAACACACAUUUAAAGUAUAUAUUAAAUUUAUUUAAAAUGAAUGUAUUAAAUAUAAAUGCAAUCAACAUACAUUUAAAGUAUACAUUAAAUUAAUUUAAAAUGAAUGUAUUAAAGUAAUUACCUCUACAGUUGUGCUUGUCGAAGCAUUAUUCGACUUCUGUUUUGGCCUCUUAAAUUGCUUUUGCUUUCUUUGACUAGGUGGACGAUCUUUACGCCGAGUUACUACUGGAUCAUGUAUAAUUUUGAUACAGCUUCCUGAUCCACUAUAAAUGGUUGUAUCGUGACCGUCACUUCGAACAUUCAGAGAUACAUCCUUCAUUGCUUUCUCGAUCCAACCCAUAAUAUUUUUAUGGCUUUCUUCAUUUUUUGAAGUUACCUCAGCAACAUCAUAAAAAUCAGUGCACUCCUCUUUAUAUCGCUGAUGUUCAAUGCUCGAACUUCGUGCAUCAUAAUUGACUUUGACUUUACUGUAGAAUCUCCGCACAUCUUUCCUCCAUCUUCGUAGAAUAUACUUUUCAGGCAGUAAUUGUAUACGGUUACGUGACAACACUGCGAUGGCGUGUCUGCAAAGAAUGCCCUUAUAUUCAAAUAUUGAACACACACAAUGAACUUCACCCUCAUCUUUUGCAAAAAUGACUUGAAAAGUAUUUUCUCUACUAUUUUCAUCGUUUUCAAUAACUUCAUAUUCUAAUCCACCACAACUGAAAACCUCACAAUAUAUCUUAUUCACCAGCUCUUGCUGAAAUUCUUGAAACUUGGAAAUAGUGUACACUUCUUCAACUUGCUUCUCCAUUGCAAAACUGGUACGACAUGGCAUCCGUUGGCUAAAACACCUAACAUCCGCUUGCCAUUCUUUCUCAAUUUUACUUUCCAUUGCUUUCUCAUAUUUCUCCACAAAUUGCUUCAAAGUUGUUUUCGAGUUAACAUACCCAUCAAAGAAAGCAUUCAUACUUUCACUACGCUGAGUGGUUGGCAUUCCAGCCCAAAAAGAAAUUUUUACGAAACAUGGAACCCAACGAUUUCUUUCCUCAUAUAAACCAUUUAACCACUGAUUACUAAGAUCAUAUUUAUCUAACAUGUCAUGCCAAGCUUUCUCGAAUUCAACAGGAGUAUAUGAAUCAUAAACAAUAGAAUGUAAUGAAACUCUAAUGGCAUGAUAUUCAACAUACCUUCCUAACUUCUCAGGCACCUUUUUCAGUAUAUGCCAUAAACACCAUCGGUGCCUAGUGUUUGGAAAAACAAUCUCAAUCGCAUUUUUCAUCUCUUUGUCUUGAUCUGUAAUGAUUCCAAGGGGAGGAGAGCCAGACAUGCAUGAUAGCCAUGUGUCAAAUAUCCACGAAAAUGUCUCCGUGUCCUCAUGCGAAAUCAACCCACAUCCUAACAAAAUUGAUUGACCAUGAUGAUUAAUUCCUACAAAAGGAGCAAAUGACAUGUCAUACUUGUUUGUAAGGUAUGUGGUAUCAAAUGUGACCAUAUCUCCAAAGUUUUUAUAGGCUGCCUUACUCCUUGGAUCGGCCCAAUAUACAUUUUUUAACCGGCCCUCCUUAUUUAGGUCAAGACUGAAGAAAAACCCAUCAUUUUCUGUUUGCAUUUUCUUAAAAUAUCUCUGAAUUGCAACAACAUCCCCUUCUCCGAGCCUUAAUCGCCUCACCUUGUCAAUAUGAUUUCUAGCAUCUUUUUCUAAGAAUGAGACAUUUUCAAAGCCACCAGCCUCAACAACAAUCGACUUAAAACUUUGAGCCAUUUUAAUUCCAGCUUCGUCAUUUAUUUCAAGCUGCUUUUUAACAAAAGGACUAAUGGUACGGUUGCAUCGAUAAUACCUACUCUUGCUCGGACUCACGGCACGGUUGUGUUCAAGGAUCAUAUUUCCAAUUACCCAUUUUCUACUAACAAAAUCCAAACGUCCUCCAAGUUUAGCAUUGCAUUCAAUUUUUUGGUUUGGUUGAAGCCGCAAAACAUUAGUGCUUUUGGCUUUUGAAUUGCCAUUUCGCCCACAAGUAAAUGUCACAUAUCUCAAACUCCCAUCAUCCCCUUUUCUACAAGAUCUCCACAUCACUGGAAACCCCUCUUAUAGGCCAUAAGCCUUAUAAUAUUCAAACAUUUCAUCAGAACUAUUAAAAGACAUCCCAACUGCUGGCUCAACAACUUUUUCCACCACCAAUUCCUCAUUAUUUUCUUCCAAAUCAGCCCCCUGCAAAUCCUGCAAUUCUUUAACUUCAUCAACCUCCUCCACUUACUUCAAAUUAUCCAUUAACUGCUGCAAAUUAAAACAAUUCAAUAUAUUAUUAUUUAUUUUUCGUGAAUUCAUUAAAUUUAGAAUAAAAAAAUUAAAAACAAAAUGAAACAACUACUGAAGAUUCAAAUUUAAACAAUUCAAGCUUGUUGUAAAAGCAUCGCAAUUGGAAACUGAAAAUGUCAAAUAACGGCAAGCCGCAAAACAUUAGCUAAUAGAAGUCCGUAGGCAUAAUUAAUACUCAAAUAACUUCAAAGUGUGGUUGAGCCAAACUAAGUUUAACUUAUAGCUAGCUCAAGCGAAAAUAUUGUAGGUCUUACAUGCGCAUGAGUGAAUUCCAACAAAAACAAGUUCAUGACUUACCACAAACUCAAACGUUAAUUCAUGUUGAUGCUAUCUCCAACUUAUCUAUUUAGGUUACGAACUAUAUUCUCAGCAGGGGUUAAAUUAUCUUCUCGAUUGAAUAUAAAGAAGAGAACAUUUGUAUACUCAAAUAUCUUCGUAAUCGAAAAUGAGAUAGAAAUUCGAAAAAAAAGUUUAAUACAAACAUGACAACAAAAAUGAGUCAAAAAUUCGUAAUCGAAACUGAAACUUCGAAAAUUUGAAGAUUCGAAAACAAAAUGCUGCCAAAAGAAAACAGUACCUUAGCUUGUGCAAAGCCACGUAUAAUCGAAACUGGAAUCUGUAAAUGCCGAAACUUAGUCUUAUGUCAGAAAAAUUUAACAGUUGCUGUUAAUGCCGAUGAGGUUAGGAAUCAUGGACAAUGUCGAGACUCUAUCUUGUUCAAGCUUCUGCUUUUGCCUUGUUUGAGCCAAAUCUUAUCACCUUCGAGGAAUAUAAGAGCUUAAAGAUUCUGCAUUUCACUCGGGUGUGGUGAAUCGAAGAGGAAGAGCUUAAAGAUUUUGUGUUUUUCUCAGUUCAUAAAGUAGCUGUUUCUUUGCGUUUUUUCUGCUUUAGUUGGUUUUGUUUUUACUAGGCUGAAACAACUACGUUUCAUGGAAGCAAAAAGGAAAAAAAAAAGAAACCAAAACUGCAUCGUUUUGGUUUUAUUCGGGGUUUGACGCGGGGAAAGUAGCAUUUUCCUAUUUUUAAUUGUUAACAUUUAGAUCUUUUUAGUUCUACAUCCAUAGCCAAACUAUUUUAAGUAAACUAUAUUCAUUUUAUUGUAUGUUUUUUAAGAAUUUUUUAAUUCGAAAUAAUUUUUUUAAUAUUGUGGAAAAAGACAGGUUAAAGUAAAAAAAUUAUUGACUAAAUAAAUAAAUAAAUGACAUUAUUUUAUUUUUUAACAUUAAAAAAAAACCAAUUUGAUGCAGUCCACUUAGUCCUGCACACUUGGAACGUUACCAUGCUUUUUAGUGCUGUACAUUUUGGACUCAACUGUCCUUGUCAUUUCAAGUAAAAGUUGAAGCCGUCUCAAAAGUAAAAUAAUAGGGUCCGCCUAAGUUACAUUUAACGUAACUUACGGCUGACCCGCAAAAUAUCAUUAAUCCCCCUAUACUCUAUGUUAUUUACAAUAUAUUUAUAAGUAUUAUAAAACUUUCUGUAUUGUAAAAUUUCGUUGAACCUCUUGUACUCUGUUUUAUUUUAAUGAAACUCUUGGAGUACGAAUUUGCCCCCUAUAAUUUUAAAUUCCCAAAAUACCCUACAGUUAAUUAAAAAUAUAAUAAUAAUUAAAUAAAUUAUAAUUAUAAUAAUUAUUUUAUUAUAAUUAUAAUAAUUAUUUUAUUAUAAUUAUAAUUUUUUAAUGGAUUAUUAUUAUUAUUAUUAACAAGAAUAAAAAGUAUUAUAACUAAUUAAUUUUUAGUUAAAAUGUUAAUAAUAACAUUAACAAUAACUAUUAUUGAUAAUUAAUUUUUGAAUAAUAAUAACAGUAACAAUAACAAUAAUUAAAAUACAAAAGAAUAAUUAUGAUAAAAAUUAAUGAAGGAUUUUAUACUAAUUUGUUACAAUUUAAUUUAUUCUGAUUUUGAUUUUAAGACAAAGUAAACAAAUAAAUGGUAAUACAGCUCAUUCUAAUUAUGAUUCCUGCCGUUCAAGUAAAUAAAUUAUUAUGAUUCCAAUUCUUUAUUUGGAUUCUAGAUAUGUCGAUUCUAACUUAUUAUGUUUUCAGUAAAUUUUGAUUUAUGUUUAGUGAAUGCACUAUAAAAUUCAUAAUACUUAUAAAAAAUUGUAAAUAAUAUAGAGUGGUCUAAUUGAAUAUAAAGUGAUUUACAAUUUUAUAGUGCAUUCACUAAAAAUGAAUCGAAAUUAGUUGGAAACAUAAUGAGUUAAAAUUGGAUUAGCUAGAAUUAAAAUGAAAAAUUGAAAUCAGAAUAAUUUAUUUACUUGAACUGCAUGAAUCCUAAUUAGAAUAAACUGUAUUACCAUUUAUGUGUUUACUUUGUCUUAGAAUAAAUAUCGAAAUGAGUUAAAUUGUAACAAAUUACUAUAAAAUUCUUAAUUAAUUUUAUUAUAAUUAUUACUUUGUAUUUUAAUUAUUGUUAUUGUUAUUAUUCGUCAAAAAUUAAUUAUUAAUAGUAAUUAUUGUUAAUUAUUAUUAUUGAUAUUUUAACUAAAAAUUAUUAUUAAUUAUUGUUAAUAGAUUAAUUAAUUAUAAUACUUUUUAUUGUUGUUGUUAAUAAUAAUAAUAAUCCAUUUAAAAAUUAUAAUUUUAUUUAUAAUUAUAAUAAAAUAAUUAUUAUAAUUAUAAUUUAUUUAAUAAGUAUUAUAUUUUUAAUUAAAUGUAGGGUAUUUUGAGAACUUAAAAUUAUAGGGGGCAAAUUCAUACUCCAAGAGUUUCAUUAAAAUAAAACAGAGUACAAGAGGUUCAACGAAAUUUUACAAUACAGAAAAUUUUAUAAUAUUUAUAAAUAAAUUGUAAAUAAUAUAGAGUAUAGAGGGAUUAAUGAUAUUUUGCGAGUGUUACGUUAAAUGUAACUGAUCCAAAAUAAUAAUGUGCUUUUAAGUAACUGGCCUAAACUUUAGAAAUUUCAGAAGUUACAGUAUACGCAGGUCACAUCUAGGACCAUUAUUAGUUUAAUCAUUAAAUGACAAAAUUCUUGAGGGGGUACUUAAAAAUGCAAGCAUCUCGUCCCUUGCCUGCUUCAUAGAUGCUGUUACUCAUUCCCCCUCAUCUCACUUGUGCAAACCAAAGAGAAAAGAAAGAUUAUUAUUUUCCACUUAUUACACAAAAAACAAUAAUUCCUUUUUAUUGCUCCAUGUUUAUUAUUUUAUUCUAUUUCUCCACUCCAGAAUCUCUCUUUCUCAAUUAAAUUUAUGAUAUAGAUAUUAAAGAUUUGCUUAAAUCAGAAAACUUGUUCAUAUUUCUGGUCAAUAUAAUACAUCUCCUGAAAGGUAAAAAUAGGGAAAAAAAAAACAAGAAUGAUGAAUUUUUUUUUGGUUUUGACUGUUUAAGGCAAUAAAGAAAUAUUUUGAAAGGGUCGGAGAUUACAAUGAAUCUAUACACUUGUGGAAAAUAAGUGCAACUUGAGAGCAUUUUGUUUUUGUUCCACUAUAUAUUUUUAUACAACUGCUGCCUUAGAUUGGGUGCAUCACUUCAUUAUAUAAUCAGUAAAAAUUAAUAAUAUAAAUGGAAUCAUUCUCUAUUACAAUUAUUCGACUUCAUGAAGUAACAACUGAUGUUUUUUACCACAUUGUCAAAAGAGUUCAACUUUUAUUUGAGAAUACACCAUAUAAAAGAAGAAAAGAAUAAAACAAGAGUACACCAUAGAAAAGAAAAAAAUAAAACAAAUUUUAGAAUUAGUAGAUUAGAAUUGUUAUAAGAAAGAGUUGUCCCUAUAACUUCAAUAAGUUAGCAAUGUUUCUGAAGUUUGUUUUACUAGCCUUACCAAACUUUUUCUAGUUGAUAUUAAAAUUAAAAAAAAAAAAAUUUUUCUAGUCAAACAUACUUAAUUGAACAGUUAAUUCAACAUGAAAACGAUUUGUCGCUUUAUGAUCCUAAUUUUCAACCAGCCGUAAAUUUUAAUCUAUUAAAAAAAUAUUAGUUGGUAGAAAUGUAAACAGAAGCAAGAAGGUUAUAAUUAGUAAUUUUAUCAUGAAUAAUUAAUAUGAUUAGAGUUUAAUAAAAUUAUAUGUAAAAACUUAUUUAAAGAGCAAAAAUUUUAUUUUUUAUCAUUUUUUAGUACUUAUAAUUAUAAUUUAAUCCAGAUGUAUUUUAAUUAUAAAAAUUAUUUUGAAAAAUAAGUUUGAGGAAUAGUUUAGUGCUUAAAAAUUAUUUUCUACUUAUAAUUAAGUUAAUAUUUAAUAGAAAGAACUAAAAUAAUAAAAGAAAAAAAACUUUGCCCGGCAAUUCCUUGUUAUUUACAUUUUUGGCACUGUCCCUUGCAGAGGACUACACCGAGGAAUCUCAGGCCGUGGCACACGUGCGGCGGCUUCUCGACAUCGUCGCGUGCACCACACGGUUCUCCAAGUCCAGAAACUCCCGAUUGCCGCCAUCGUCAGAGUCAUGUGCCAAAAAGAACGGCAGUAGGCCCCACCAGCCUUCACCAAACUCUGCCGCUCUGUCUGAUGGAGCAGCAACGGCAGCAGCAGAUAACCGAAGCGGGCCCCGCGCCACGUCAUCGCCAGUUUCAUCGGCGGUUUCGCCGAGUCUGGACAUGGCGGCCAUUCACCCGACGCCGAAACUCUCCGAGUUUUAUGACUUCUUCUCUUUCUCUCACCUCACUCCCCCCAUCUUAAGUAAGCCUAAUGUUCAUUUAUUUAUUUGUCUUCGUUUCUUACAUGGUUGAUCAAAAAAAAAAAAAAAGAAAAGAAAGAGGAAAAUGAUAUAAAUAUAUGUGAUUUAUUUGAAUAUGAAAUUUGUUUAUUGAUUUUGAUUUUUAAUAAUUUUGAUUUUGAAGAUUUGAGAAAAUGUGAACGCAAAGAAGGAGAGAAGCGCGACGGUGAUUAUUUUGAAAUUCAGGUGCCAUUUAAUAUAAAGUUCUGAUUGUUGUUGUUUGUUGUUUAUGGACUAAUUAAUUGUAGAGUUAUUCAACUCAUUAUUUUUGCUGAUGAAUUGGCCAAUGAGUGUUAAAGAUUUAAUAAUCAUUGUCUGCUAAUUAAUAAGAAUGCAUGGAUUAUUUUCAUGUCUUUGUAAGUAAUGUGAGUAUUUGAAAGCGCGGGAAACUGUAUUUUGUGCUUACAGAUAAAAAUCUGCAAUGGAAAGCUUAUACAAGUAGUUGCAUCAGUAAAGGGGUACUAUACUUUGGGAAAGCAGUUUUUCCAAAGCAACUCCCUGGUGGAUCUUCUGCAAAAUCUCCGUCGAGCUUUUGCCAAUGUGGGUACUCAAUAGUUGAAUCUACAGAUUAUUUUUUCCUUUUUUAUCUGAAUGCAUCUUUUUUUCCUCUGUAAAUUCAAUUAGCUUACCCAUCAAUUGUUUUGUUAAUAAUUAUGGUCAUUAUUCGUGAUGCAGGCAUAUGAAUCCCUAAUGAAAGCUUUUGUUGAACAUAAUAAGGUAACAAUUUCUGUGCUGACAUAGUUUAUUACCAAUUCAAAUGUGAUUUUAACUUGAUUUUACUGAUAUAGUAUAUUCAUUAUCCUUCUUCAGUUUGGUAAUCUUCCCUAUGGAUUUCGAGCUAAUACAUGGCUUGUACCUCCUUCUGUUGCUGAGUCUCCAUCAAAUUUCCCAUGCCUACCGGCAGAAGAUGAGAAUUGGGGUGGCAAUGGCGGAGGCCAGGGAAGAGAUGGAGAACAUGAUUUACGACCAUGGGCGACGGAAUUUGCUAUACUGGCUAGGCUUCCUUGCAAAACUAAAGAGGAGAGGGUGGUUAGAGAUCGGAAGGCCUUUUUGCUUCAUAGCCAGUUUGUUGAUGUCUCAAUUUUUAAAGCUGUUGGAGCAAUACGCUGUCUCAUUGAUUCAAAUUUACACACUCAAGAUACAAUCAAUGUCCAAAAGGGGGCAAUCUUGCAUGAAGAUCGUGUGGGAGACUUGUCCAUUACGGUAAAACGUGAUACAGUAGAUGCAAGCUUGAAGUCUGAGGUUACUAUUAAAGGAAAUCAGUUAUCUGGUAUGUCUACUGCAUAAGUUGCUCAAAGGAAUUUACUAAAAGGUGUUACUGCAGAUGAGAGUGUAGUUGUUCACGUAAGUCGAUUUCUCCUUUACUUCUUAUGCUUACGUUCACAGACCACACACAUAAGAGACAUUCAUCAAAGCUGAAAUUACUUACGUGGGCGGAAUAAUAUAGCUCUACCUUUGUCAGGGAGUGAUUUUUCUGUCGGAUUAAGAUGUUACACUCUUUAUCUGAUAUCUAGCAUUUGAUGAUGGCCUAAAAUACCCAUCCUCUUCAUUCUCUCUUUCUACACAUUUAUGAAUGCACAAGAAAGUCAAUUUUAGGUUCUUUCCUAAGAAUCACUACUCGUUACUAACCUUAUAUAUCUGGUUUAGCUUCAUGAAUCUUAUGUUGUCAUUCUGUUUGGUGACUCCCUAUUCUGUUGAAAUCACUUGAUAGUAGGUCUUUCUACCCAUUUUAUCCAUAUCCCUCUGAUUUUCUACUUGUAGUUUGCUCCAACUUAAUGUCAUCAACCCUUUUUGGGGAAGCCUAUUAACCUUGGUUGGGCAUGCUUGUAUUAUAUCAACUAGUGAUACAAUUGCUAAAGUUUUCAGCAUGGUAGAUCUUGAAAUAAAAUUUUCUUGAAAUAUCUAGAUUUAUCUUCCUUUUCUUUUUCCUUUUCUUUUAUUUUAGUUUCAAAGAUUUUGUUAUAAAGAGAACUGAAACAAUAUAGUUUUUGGCAGGAUACCUCCUCAUUGGGUACCGUCAUUGUAAGACACUGUGGAUACACCGCCGUAGUAAAGGUUGUUGGUGAUGUGACGGAGAAGUUUGGCACACAAGAUAUUGAAAUUGAAGAUCAACCUGAUGGAGGAGCUAAUUCUCUUAAUAUUAACAGGUCUGAAAUUGUAAAACAAUGCUUCCUCUGUCGAUUCCUCUUAGCACACAAAGACUAGGAAAUCUACAGAUGGAGAAUGGCUGUAAGAUAUGAAAAAUUAUCUUUCAACCACUAACCGUUUUAAGCUAUUCUGCAAGAUAUCUUAGAAAUGCUAACUGGUAUGAGCUUCUUUGCUUAGUGUCUAUCACAGUUGAAUUCAUGAUGCAGAGCAUUGUUAUUCUCCUUAUUUUUACCAGAUAGAACAGGAUUGAAAUGCUGGUGUUGGGGAUUCUUAAGAAAGGAUAGCACCUGCUCCUUUUUCUUCCUGUUUAGAUGGGAUCUAAUCAGUAGGUGUCUGAACUCUUAAGGGGAGUUGAUGUCAGAUUUCUAAACCAGGUUUUCUUCAAGUGUUAAGUUUAUGAAUAGGCCAAAGAAAAGAAAGCUGAUAUCUAGUUAGGGAUAUGUACUCCUCUUUCAGCAUCCUAUGGACCAGAAAAUGGCUUUUCCUCCAUUAAAAUAUGUGUGAGAUUCUUCACUGUAUGGGGAUGCUUCACCUCUGCAUAGUUGUAGACCACCUAAAAAAUAACGAGUGGUUGCAGGAAACAUUAAGUCAUGGCUUUCACAAUAAUGGUUGAGUGUUUAUAGUUAUGUGCCUUGACAUUGGUUUGUAAUUGUUAUAUUAACAAAAUAACCAGCAGACAUCAUUGAUGAUGUUCAAAUAAUGGAUAAAGGAAAGUAUAAUUACAGUGGAUGCUCAGUUGCUGAAAUAGGUCAUCAGCUUUUUGGAUUGUGCUAUUUCAGAAAGUAUUUAGACCUUCUUUGGUGGAUUCUGCCUUUGUUUCAUAUACUCUUAUAUCUUUCUCCAUUUAAGUUGUUCUGACAGGGUAAACUAUUUAUUGCAGCUUAAGGCUUGUACUUCAGAAGUCUUUCAGUGCUGAAUCAGCUAGAGGAGACCAGUCACCUCUGUGCAAUUUGGAUAAUUCAGAAGCUCUUAGAAGUCUUGUACGAAGUGUUAUUAAACAGAGUUUAGCAAAGCUAGAGCUGGAGCCAACUGCGUCAGAAAGAUCUAUUAGAUGGGAACUUGGUUCUUGUUGGGUGCAACAUCUACAAAAGCAGGAAACCCCAACAGAUACCAAGUCAACGAGGUCUAGGGAUGAUAUUGAGACUGAACAUGCUGUCAAAGGUCUUGGGAAGCAAUUUAAAUUUUUGAAGAAGAGGGAGAACAGACCUAACCUUGUUGGUAGCAAUAAUGAGGCUAACGAAGAUGACAAUGGACCGUGCAGCAUGAAUGUGGGAACUAAUGGCAGACAGCAAAGCAAUGGCGAGCUCAAUUGUGAGAUGGAAUUGAAAAAACUAAUUUCUGAAGAAUCCUUCUUGCGAUUGAAAGAAACUGGCACUGGCCUUCAUUCAAAGGUUUCAAAAUCUCAAAUUUUUUUUGCAUUUCAACUGUAAAGUUUGCUACUUUUUGUGUUUUCAUUAUGCUAAAUUUGGUUUGUUUUAUUUUCAUAUGGAAUGACUGGUAAAAUUAAUUUCUUGUGCAGGCAGUGGAUGAGCUUAUGAAAAUGGCAUACAAAUAUUAUGACGACAUUGCUUUACCAAAGCUGGUACUAUUUAAUUUAUUUAGGGCCUUUGUUGCAGCCAAUUUAGACGUGUGGGGAUGGUUUAUGGACUAAUUUGCAUUCUUUAUUAGGUAACAGACUUUGGAUCACUUGAACUUUCUCCGGUUGAUGGCCUCACACUGACAGACUUUAUGCAUUUAAGGGGACUACAAAUGCGCUCUUUAGGUCGCGUGGUGAGGAAUUUCUCCCUCUCUUUCUCUCUCAGACAUGCAACAUAUUCACCCGUGGAAAUCGGAAUAAACAAAUGUUGUCUUUCUUUAUGUAAACAAAGCCCCUAAGUUAUCUUUCUAUAUGCAAACAAUCUCCCCAAGUCUUCCUGGAUUGAAUUAUCAAUGUUCCUUUUUGAAAAUUGUACUACAUGAUAGAAUUUUUGACAUGGUGACCUUUUCCAAGAUAUUGAAUUAUUGUCGUCUUUAGAUAUUACUGUAUGUUGUAUGACAUACAAUAUUUUGAGAAAUUGACAUGCUAAUACUUGAAAGCCUGGUAUUCUUCUUCUGUUGGUUCUAAUCCCAUUUACAAAUUCAGGUUGAACUUGCAGAGAAGCUUCCUCACAUACAAUCACUUUGUAUUCAUGAGAUGGUUACUCGAGCGUUCAAGCAUGUACUUAAAGGAGUCAUCGCAUCUGUUGACUAUUUAUCAGACCUAUCUGCAGCUAUAGCUUCUUCCCUAAAUUUCUUAUUUGGCUGUUGUGAGAUGGAAGAUGACCAAAGCUUGAAUGACGAUCAUAUCCUCAGAUUGCAGUGGCUACGAACAUUUCUUGGCAGAAGAUUUGGUUGGUCCCUGAAAGACGAGUUUCAGCAUUUGAGAAAGAUUUCAAUUCUACGUGGGCUUUGCCAUAAGGUAAGGUACUGUCUUUUCGGUUCCUUUGGCAGUGGAUUAUUUUCAAAGCUUGAAUUUUGCUUGUAAACUUUACCCAGGUUGGGUUGGAGUUGGUUCCAAGAGAUUAUGAUAUGGAAUGCCCAAACCCAUUCACGAGAGAUGAUAUUGUCAGCAUGGUUCCUGUGUGCAAGGUGAGACUAUGGGGAUCUUUCAGUUUUCUAUUAUUGCCUUCAACACAUUCAAUUGACUCUUAAGUAAGUAGCACUGCUUGAUUUACCAGAGCAACUUUGUGAUUUUCAUUCUUUAACUGAUUAAGGUUUAUUUAUUCAUAAAUUAAAUUGGAAGUUUGAAAAAAUGUGACCUUUGUAUUGAAUCUGCUUCGAACGAAUGCAGUUUUUAUGUACCUACUUUAGCUUUUGUUUGUCUUUUAUUGGCUCUAGCUCCUGAUCAUACCAUACCAUUGGCAGAUAUGUAAAUCGUGCCUUAUUCCUUUUGCAUUUUACUUGUGGACUUUCACAUCCAAACACGGCUGCAACAUACAUAAAUGUGGCUAUGAUGGAAGCGGGCAUGGGAAAUGUUCAUCUUUCUCUUAGAUAUUUGCAUGAAGCCCUUAAAUGCAACCAAAGACUAUUAGGAGGUGACCAUAUACAGGUUUCUCUCUCUCUAUUUACGCAUGUAUACACACUCUUUAGAAUUAUAAAUCUUUCUGUAAACUCAGAAUUUUGUUUGAUUUCUUCACGUGACAGACAGCUGCAAGUUAUCAUGCCAUAGCCAUAGCUCUUUCUUUGAUGGAGGCAUAUUCACUAAGUGUGCAACAUGAGCAAACUACACUUAAGAUUCUCCAAGCAAAGCUUGGACUAGAAGAUCUGCGUACUCAGGUAACUACAUGUAGUCAUAUUUUAAUUGGUUCUGUUGUGCAAUUUGGCUAGUUGGCUUUUCUCUUGUCAAUCUUUUACAGGUGAUAUUAUGAUAUAAAACAAAUUGUAUUGGAGGCAUAUUUUUGGUGUCAAAUAUGGAUAUGACUCAUUCAUUAAUCGUAUCGAAAUAUCAAAAUACGGAUAUGACCCGUUUAUUAAUCGUGUUGACUUGUUUAAUAUUAAAUACAAACAAAUUAAAAAUUAAUUUUAAAAUAACAAAUGUGUCAAAAAAUUGAAUUAUAAAUAAGUUAAAAUGACAUAAGUAUGACAUGAAUAAGUUUAUAACAUAAUGUGAGUAUGACAUGAGUCAUUAAUUUAGUGUUUAGUAUAUAUUUUAGUUUUUUUUUCCAAUAAUAUUAACACAUAAUAAUUGAUAUUUGUGCUAUAAACGUAUAAUCAUAUUGAGAUGGUCCAAAACAGAUACGACAUGGUUAUUUAUCGUGUUGUGUCAACUUAUUUAUUAUUCGUGUCAAUCGUGUUGUAAUCCAUUUUCCCACCUCUAAUCUUAACUGUCGUAAGAGAAUUUCUCAAGUUCCAUAUUAUUGAUGGGAAGAGAUUUUUGUUAUUUUGUUGUAUUUUUUUUCGUUUUACAGGAUGCUGCAUGGCUGGAGUAUUUUGAAUCAAAAGCUCUAGAGCAGCAAGAAGCGGCACGGAAUGGAACUCCAAAGCCAGAUGCGUCCAUUGCGAGUAAAGGUCACCUUAGGUAUUAACAGGGUAUUCCCACAUUACUUGUUUCUAAAUUGUUGAUUAUUUCUUGUGGCACCAAGACCUAUAAUGAUCGCUUUUUGCAGUGUAUCAGAUCUCCUGGAUUACAUUAGUCCUGGUCAAGAUUCUAAAAGAAGCGAAGCACAUAGGAAACAACGACGUGCAAAGGUAGUAUAUACUUAGUGCCUGUUUAGUAUGACUUAUCUAAUAAUCAUAAAUUUUUAUUUAAUCCCAUAAGCUGUUAUCAAUUUUUUUUUUUUUUGUUUAACUGUUUUUUUCGUAGAGCUCUUGAAAAUUAAAUAAGUUAUUUUGCCUCUACUACCAAAAGCUCAAAUUUUGUGCUUUUGAGAGUAGAGGUUAAAAAGUUUUUUUUAAAUGUUAAAAUAUCUAAAAUAUUUUCUACUUAUUUGACAAUCUUAUUUUAUUCUUUUCAAAACAUAACUUUAAAAAAUUUGCUUAUUAAAGUAAUUUUAUAAUUUUUAAUAAAAGCUCUUAUUGACAACCAAACAACACAAAUUUUUUGGGUAAAAACUUUACUUAUAAAAUCUUUACUAACAAAAGCUCUACUCAGAUAAGAUCUAUUUGAAAAGCUAUGUCAAAUGAAGCAUUAAGCCUGCUACUGUUCUCUGUUCCUUUUUUCUUGUGAUGUCAUCUGAAUGGAUUCUUAAACUAAUUGUAGUUAGGAUUUGGUAUUUUAGAGUACACUCUGCUGGCUGAUUACACGAGUAAACUUGUUGUCCAUGCAAAAUGCAACUAUAUAUCAGCAGGAUAAUAGUUCUACUUUUCUGAGUGAACUCUGAAGGCACCAAUUAUAACAUCCAUUUCUAGCAUAGAAUCCCCCGCCCAACAAAAAGAAAUCUAACAUGCUUUUACAGAUCGUAGACAUGACUGAAACUUUAGAAGUUUCUGAUCUAUUGAUGGCCAUAGAUUGGGCCAGCUGAUAGUUAGUAGGCAAUGAUGGAGGGUUGCUUGGUCAAGCUGCUAGUUCUUUGGAAAUUCAGAGAUGAUGAGCAGAACGAGUGAUAGUUUUUGUUUUCCCCCGUAAUCUUGAACAGAGUGGGAAGAAAUAGGGGUGGCAAAACGAAUAAACGAAUCGAAUUCGAAUUGAAUCGUAAACGAAUUGGGUCAAAAUUCUAUGGAUUCGGAUUCGAUUCGUUUAUUAAACGAAUUGAAAUUUCAGGAUUCGGAUUCGAUUCGUUUAUUAAACGAAUAUUCGGUUCGAUUCGUUUAAUUCGUUUAAUAGAAUUGAUAAACGAAUCGAAUCGAAUCGAAUCCAGAUUCGUUUAUUAUUCGUUUAUCCUUUACGAAUCCAUAACGAAUCGAAUCAAAUUAGGAUUCGUUUACAAUUUGUUUAGAAAAUAUAAUUAAUAAACAAAAUUAAGUAAAAAAAACAAAUUUAAUAUCCCACAACAAAAUACAAAUAAUUCAAAUUAUAUUAUACAGUCAUCCAAAUACCAAAUACCAAAUCCUUAAUAUUACAAAUAACAAUAAUUCAAAUUCAAAUUAUAAAGAAAUGUAAUUUCUUUAAUUCUCUUCAUUUGUCUUUGUCACCUUGAAAACAAAAAUCCUACACCAAAAAGUAAAUAAAGUGUUAUUAACAUGCUGCAAUAUUGAUAAUAGUCAUUGUAAAAUUUCAAAAAUCAAAUAUAUAGCAAAUUUGUAGCAUUUUCAAGGAAAUAAUAAUUGAACAAGAUAAAAACUUUACCUAACAAUAUUUCAAAAAUCAAAUCUAUUCAUCAUGUAUGCCAAAUUCUAACCCAGCAAUAUUCCUAAUGCACAAUAUUCCAAUACACAAAAUAUUAACAAUACAACAUAAUAAAUUAUAAAUUCUAAUACUAAAAAAAAAUUAAUCCAAUAUUUGUGGGGGCUUAUUCCUUAUCCUACAGAUAAUUUUUAACACCAUAAUCGAUUUAUACAUAAUUUCAUAAUAUUUUCCGAACAAUACAAAACAUUUUCUAAACCAUAAUUUCAUAAUAUUCUACAAUACAAAAUUUCUCAAUAAUUCAACCAUAAUCUCAUGAUAUUACCCUGAGUUGGUGAUGGCUUGUUGAUUCGGGUCGCUUGGGAAUUAAAUAAGCACUUAAACCUACCUUGCAUCUUCCUGAUUGCUGUUACGAGUCAAAGAAAAAUGAGAACAGAACUGAAACUUGGCAUAAUUAAUGCUCAAAUAAAUUACAACAUGCCCUGUCAAAUGUGGAUAAAACACAUAAACUGUGAGCAAAAGGUUUUUUUUUUUUUUUUUUUUGGCAUUGUCUUGCAGAAAGCAGCCGGCCUGGGCAAAUCAUCCAUCUGACUCCGAGAGGUCUACAUCAAUAUAUAUUAUGUCAAAGGAGGUGUUAUACACUUAUAAAAUCUAAAUAAGAACAUACUGUAUAUAAUUAAUAGCAUUAAAACCUUGAUUAUGGAUUGAUUUCCUAGAGAACAACUUAAUUACUGCUUCGUACUGCGCAAAAGAAAAAUAUAUUCAUUUAUAUCUCUUGGUCCAAGAUGCAGCUGGUUAAUUAGCACUUUACGCAGAGCCACAGAAGCUGCUUCAAAAAUGGAUAGCUCGUUGCAGCUUCUCUGUUGGGUUCAUCGUCUAUGUUACUUAAAAUCAAAGUUACUACAAAAAGAUUAAAAGCGAUCUUCCUAAACGAGGAACUCACUCGGAACCUCUGGUUUAUCUUUUCCGUCACUGUUUCUACAAUACAAAAUUUCUCAAUAAUUCAACCAUAAUCUCAUGAUAUUACCCUGAGUUGGUGAUGGCUUGUUGAUUCGGGUCGCGCUCGCCUGGGUUUGCUGCUGCUGCACCGCCGCACGAGUUAGCUACUGCUGUGGGUUCGAGUGGCUGCGUCCCUCAAGUUCAAUCGAUGAUAGAUGAACGAUGGUGGUUGUAAUCGUCGGUUCGCUGUGAGUUAAUGACAGUGGCUACCGGCGGCUGUUUUUGUUGCUUGAUUGCUUCACUUGGUAUGGGUGGGUGAGUGUGAUUCGUGUGAGAGAGGUAGACAGCAACGAGACUACGAGAGCGGCUGAGUGAGGGGAGAAUUUUUAGGGAUUUAGCUUUAGGUUUCCGCUACUUUGUUUUUUUUUUUUUGUUAUUUACUUAAAUUUACAAUAUUAACCUUCAAAUUUUAAAAAGUUUUCAAAUAAAUUUAAGAAUAAAAAAGUAAUUUAAUUAAAUGAAUAAUAAAUGAAUUUUAACGAAUCGACCCGUAUUCGAUUCGUUUAUGACCCAUUUAUUAAACGAAUUCUAAACGAAUAAACGAAUCUAAAUUUUCAAACCCGCAUUCAAUUCGUUUAAUUAACGAAUCGAAUCGAAUUCACCCAUUUAUUAAACGAAUCAAUUUUUUCAAACCCAAACCCAUUUAAUUCGCAUCGAAUCGAAUCGAAUAAACGAAUCCUGACCCAUAUUGCCACCCUUAGGAAGAAACCAUUAAUUUGAAGUGCAAUGGACGGAUAUGACAGAUCUAUCAUUUUGGCUAGUAGAUGGAGUUCUUCCAUUCUACUGUUAUUUACUGGUUGUUUUUAUUGAUUCUAGAAAACAUUUUUCGAUUUGGCAGUUGGAGUUUUUCCCUUUUUUUUUUCUCCCCAUUUUGUAGGCCUUAGAGAACCAAAUAAUACUACAUAUUAGAUAGACAGGAUUAUUAUGUGCUAAUUUGAAGUAUUACCUGGUUGACAAUUUAAGACACUAGUAAAGUAUUUCGCUAUGAUUAUUUUUUUUUGAGAAUUCCAUGAUUCAAAAGGCCGAAGAAUUUCAUUAGUUUAACAUAGUAUAUAUUAACAUAAUUCCUCACUGAGUGUUUUUUUCAACAUUUCAGGCAUGUACAUAUCAAAUUCCCAUUUAUGUUCCACUGGAUUCUGCCUCAUGUUAUGUCCGGAUUUGUUGUAAUAAAUUUUGCUACUGUAAAAUUACAAGAUGAUUGUAACUUAAAAUGAACUAUUUCUAUUUGCUCAAUUUUUGACAUUUUAUAUGCAUACAAGUUAAAAAGGUUUUGUUUAUUUUUAUUUUUUUAUUUUUUUAUUUUUUCAGGUAAUGCAGAUUAGGGAAAAGAUUCAUGGAGCACAUCAUGAUAUGAUGGUGGAAGAUGCACUGCCCCAUGAUUGAUUGAAAAAGAGUAUGACUAUAGUGGAAAGCAAGACCGAGGAAGUAAUAGAAGACAGUGUUCAACCUGAAGAGCCAGAAGAGAAUGAUGAUAUUACUAGAUAUGGACCGGCAAUUUCAGGUGAGUUUGUGGAAGAAACAAAUUCAGAUGAGGGGUGGCAAGAAGCCAAUCCAAAAGGUAGGUCAGGAAAUGCUGCUGUUCGGAAGCUCAGCCGGAGGCAACCUGUUCUUACAAAGCUAAAUGUCAAUGGUUGUGAACAUUCAAAUCUUAGAGAAAAAGGCAAUAGACGGGAAAUUGUAUCUCCAGCACGGGAAAAAGCUUCAAGGACCACCACCACUGAGUUAACAGGCAUGAAGGAUUCAAUUAAAUUGCAGGCAAAAGCUUCUGUCUCCAAAGUUUAUGCAAGUCCACCAAACCUUACUGCCAUGGAUUCCAAGUCGCUGUCUUACAAAGAAGUAGCUGUGGCACCACCAGGUACGGUUCUAAAGCCAUUACCAGAGAAACCUGAUGAAAAAAUUGAAGAAAAAACUGAAACACAGAUGUGCAGUAAUGCUCCUGAGACAUCAAAGGCGGAGUUGAAUAACCAUUUCUCUCCCGUUGAAGAUGCGCCAGUUGAUGGUCAGUCUCAAGAAACUCAUGGAAGUGUAAUUCAAUCUGAAACUACUGCUGCAGAUACCGAGGAAGUUCCUUCUUCUUCUAAUGAGGAAAAGCCCAUGGAAACAAAUGGGAGUAAGCUUUCUGCCACAGCUGAACCAUUCAACCCAGGAGCUGUCUCCAUGACUCAUCUGCUAAACUCUGUAGCAGCCACGAGUAUUUAUGAUGCGAGAACUGGUCAAGGUAUGCUUGCAGAACCUGCUGUACCUUCGGCUGCUGCUAGAGUUCCUUGUGGGCCAAGGUUGCCUCUCUAUUAUAGAAAUAAUUAUUCUUACAUUAUGAAACAUGGAUUUCCAAAAUACCACUCUUCCAUUAUGGAAAGAAACCUGUUGGGGCCUUCAAGAAUCAUGAACCCGCAUGCACCCGAGUUUGUGCCAAUGAGAGGUUGGCAAAUAAAUCCUGGAUAUGCAGAUUCAAAUGUUUCAAAUGAGUCGAACUCUUCAAAUGACACAAGUGAGGCAGACAAUGAGAAACUUGACAAAAUGUCCAGUAUUCAAGGCGAGGAUAAUACCUCAAGAAAGAGCAGUACAGAGGCGGAGAAGUCAUAGCUGGCAAGACAGAUACUACUUAGCUUCAUUGUAAAGUCAGUCCAGCAUAAUAUGGAUGCUCCAAGUCAAUCUUCAGGCUGCGAAAAGAAGAUUGGGUAUUCAGAAAAUUCUUCACAUGCAAUUGCAAAUGAUAGUGCUAUCAUAAAGAUCCUUUAUGGAAAUGAAAAGGGCAAAACAAACUUGGUAUCUCAGUCCAAUGAUCAAGAACAGCAAAAACCCAAAGAUGAAAACCAAAAAAGUGGGGAUGGUGAAGGAUUUAUAGUUGUCAGAAAACGGAGAAGAAACCGACAGCAGAUCACAAAUGGGGUAACUGAGAUGUACAAUCAUCAAUCCAUCUGUGCUUCUGUUCGUUAAAAGAGAGAGCAAAGGAAUAAAAUGCAAAGGUGCCAUCCUGUUUCUCCCAAUUUUAUUCGAAAAAUUUGUUAGUGAAUGUUGCUGUUGUAGAGAUGGUUAAAGUUUGGAGCAAGUUUUAAUCAAUACUUGAUUGUAUCAUUUUAGAUAUCCUCUCUGGAUGUUCUAAUAAAAUAUUUGUACAAAUCGGUUUCUUGUUUUGUUAAAAGAUUUUGUUUUGAUCAAUAAAUGAUGAUAAAUUAAUUGGGCGAUUUUCCUCAUCAAGAGAUCUGUGAUGUUGUUCUAUAAUGGAUUUUAAUGUUUUAGACUGAGAUUUGUAGUUAUGCCUCAAAUUAUUUGGUAUUUGGUUGGUGCGUGUGAACAAUACGUUCGGAAUGGAGUUGAACUGACUCACUGAUAGAUAGCUUACAUUUGCAGCUGAAGUUGCUGCACUGAUGAUAUUACAACUAACAUAGUAGUUGGCAAAAUUCCUUAUUCAAUUUAAAUUUGCAACCAACAGAAACUGAAGAAGAAGCCGUAAGUCUAAUCCUAAUGGAUGCAUAGCUGCUUGGAGAAAAGCCAACGGAGACAUAACACAGCACGGUAAGUUAUACACGGCAGAACCGUAUGUGCUAGUAAGCAGAGUCACCGAUGGAAAACAUAUUUGAAAAGCCAAUAGUAGCAUGUGUCAAUACAUCUAUCAAUGAAAUAGAACCACAGUCUGCGGCCGGACGAGUUUAUCCAAAGUGCUGCAAAUAAACCCAAAAUUACUGACACAUAGGAUGCUCCAAAACUCCAUCUUAAUGCCACCAUAUCAAUCACAGAAUCGCCUUCAUCUUCUCCUCCUCCUGUAGGUGUCGCUGGUGGUGCCAACGCAUUGCUGCAUUUCCUCUUUAUCAUUGAGCCACAAAGAGCCGAAUUACCUUUAUAACUGCUGUCAUCAAAGGUGGCAAACUGCUCUUUGUCUGGGAUUGGGCCUGACAAAUUGUUGUAUGACACGUUGAAGUUUGAUAAAAAGUUGAGGUCAGUUAGUUGAGGAGGAAUUCGGCCACUUAAUUUGUUGCGGGAAAGGUCCAGGCUCUCUAUCAUUUUCAGAUUGGAGAAGCUCUCUGGUAUAGCACCUGAUAGUAAAUUAUUCGACAGAUUAAGUGCACGAAUAUGUUGAAGAUGCCCAAUUUCCCAUGGAAUUUCUCCACUGAACUCAUUGCUCGACAAAUCCAGUCCAGCCAUGUCGACGAGACUGCGACCGAUGAAAAAUUCAUAUCGAUACUUCGUCACAAAUUCUACACCUACUUGUCUACCAUGUCGUUCACCUUGUGGCGGCGGAUCAAGAGUGGAAUUGUAGUAAGUAAAACUGAGAUCACGAGUUGACACAGCAAAUCCGGGUAUACUAUUUGGAUAUAUCACUUCAUAUCUGUUUACAUGUGGAUAAUCAUCAAUCGCUUCUCUCCAGAAUGACACGUUACCCAAGCAUGAAGGUAUCGGCCCAUUAAGUCUGUUAUGUGAAAGAUCCAUGAUACCUAAUUUUCUUAAUUGGCACAACUGAUUAGGAAUACGUCCUUGUAGAGAAUUCCCUCUCAAAAGAAGAAAAUGCAAAUUCGAAAGCUCGUUGAUCUGAUGAGGAAUCCUACCAAAAAGCUUAUUGUCCCUCAAAUCUAGAGUCAAUAAUGUAGAGCUUCUAAGCAAAGCAAUUGGAAUUAACCCAUUAAUUGCAUUGUUAUGCAGAUAAAUGUGCUCCACUGAUGAAAGAUUGGAGAGAGAUACCGUGGACCCAGACAAACUACCUUGCAAAUAAUUUUUUGACAUUAAAAGAACCCGAAGGCCUGAGAAGUUGCCAAUCCAGUGGGGAAUAUCGCUGGAUAACUUGUUGUUGGAUACAUCUAAUACCCCCAGCAAAGGGGAGCUCAACAAACCAUCUGUCAUCUUCCCACCGAAAUGAUUGUUGUCCAAAAGUAAGGAACGCAAAUGAGUCAAGUUCAUAAAAUUGGGAAAAAGUUGGCCAUAGAAAUUGUUAUUUGAUAGGUCCAACAUUUCUAAGGAGAGGCAACUAGAGAAUAUAGAUCGAGGUAAUUCUCCUGAAAAAUUAUUUCUAGACAAAUCCAAAGUAAUUAGCUCUUUCAUCUCACUGAUUGAAUAAGGAAUAUUACCUUCAAAACUAUUUUUGGACAUAACCAAAUAUAUCAAUUUCUGAAAGAUAAUACCCAAAUUCUCUGGUAGCUUACCAGAAAAAUUGUUACUGGAAAUAUCUAGAUAACGAAGCUUAUCGUAUUUGGCGUUGGGAAGUCGCGGAAGAAUUCCUGAGAAUGAGUUAUUCAACAAAAUCAAAACUUCUAAUCCUGUGUUGUUUUGCAACAACCAAGUUGGGAAAUUGCCAACCAACUGAUUGUGAGAGAGAUCAAGGAAUUUUAAGUUGUAUUGGUGUAAAAGAAAACUGGGAUUGACAUUUAAGUGGCAGUGAGAUAAUUGGAGAACCUUGAGAGGAUAUGUGGGGAGCCAGUUUUCAGUUUUCACUUGCAACAUAUCGUUUCCUGACGAGAGUCGCAAGACCUCAAGCUUUGAAUGAUUAGCCAAUGAAUUUAUUGAGAAUGCUCCUUGAAAAUCGAUGAAAGAGAGAUCCAAAUAUUCAAGUGAUGUGAGGUUGGCCAAGGCAGAAGGAAAGUUUCCACUUAACUGAUUGUAAGAAAUAUCAAGAACUUUGAGAUGGGUCAAGUUGUUGAGACACUGAGGAAGGUGAACCACAAAAUUAUUUGACUUUAAAUCCAACUCAAGAAGAUUCUUCAAAUUACAUAUUCCUGAAAGUGAAAAUAAAAAGCUCAGAUUUCAUAAAACGAAAACUAAUUAUAGAGCAUUCAAUCAUAAACCCAAUAUAAGACUUAUAAAACGGACAUGAAAUCAAAUUGUCUAAGUAUUUUGGUCAACAUAAAUAAUAAUAGAAUGAUAUGAAUUUAUUUCUCAUAUAAUAUGAUGUUGAUUGCAAAAGCGUUUCAAUUAAUCUAACAAUAAAAUAAUAAUAAUAAUAAUAUAAAAGCGGUCAUCAAUUCGUGCUCAUCAUAAUCCAUUCAAAAAGCGUUUCAGCAAUUCUCAUUGUUUAAAAUAAUGAUUUUCUGCGGAAGAGUUUGUUGAAUUCGUCUUUUUCGUUGGAUAUUGGUUUUCUAAUCUCUAAAUUUGUUGGAUAAUGUAAAGAGAAACUCAUAAUAUAUUAGUUGCUUUCUUAAACUUUAUUUAUUCUUCUCAUAGCAUUAAAAAAAUAUAUAUAUUUGCCCAAGCGGAAAAAAAAAAAAAACUGGUCUUCAUAUUUAAUUUGACCAACAAGUCACUGGGAAGUAGGAAUUGUGCAUCAGUAAUGCAAAUAUUGGGUGCGUUGGCAUUGUUUUUAUAUGCUGUUUUUUAUUUUUUGAAUUUAGAAAAUAUUAGAUACGUGUUCGGUAGAUUGUUUCUGAAAAUAUUUUUAAAAUAUAAAAUUCAUUCUACACAUUUUAACCAGUCGAGGGUAGAAUUGAAAAAAUAAUUUUUUUUUUCAUAAAGCCAAAGAGAUGAAAAUAUUGAAUUUAUACAGUACUUUAUAAUUCAUAAGAUUUUUGCUUCUUUAUAUUCACAAAUCAGUUUGAUCAAUAAGAAUUUUUUUAAAAUUUAUUUGAUUUAACAAAAAAAACCUGUUAAUUAGACUUAUGUUUAUUUUUUUUUAUAUUUUCUAUUUAAAAAAUUAAAAAUGAGUGAGCAUGGGCAGAAACAUCAUUUUGUGGGGUAGAAACGUCAUUUAAUUUACUAUUCUCAUUAAAAUUAAUGACAAAAGUUAAUAGAAUGUCACUCGCUCGAAUAUUUUUAAAAAAUGUCAUCUUCUUAAAAUUUGUUAAAACAUAUGUCACCUAGAGAUUAUUAUUCUUGUUGUUGUUGUUGUUGUUGUACCCAAAGACUCAAUUUCCUUCACAAAAAUCUUUUCUUUUUAUAUACAUUAUAAUAUUUAUGUUUUUAUAUAUUAACUAAAUCAAAUAUGUAGGGUUUAUCAUUUUUCUUUGAACAAAAAAAUAGAAGGAUCACCUAAUUUAUUCUUAAAAUUAAAAUAAUCAAUAUACAUUGCUUAAUCUUAAGUUUAUGGAAAUUAUUCCAAUAAUAAUUCUUUGAGAUAUUCUUACCAAACAUAUUUAUGUUUUUCUCAUUUUUCAGAUUAUUUUUGAAAAUGAUACUGAACACAUUUUUAAAUUUUAAAAAUAAAUUUAAAAAUAGCAUUUUCAUUUUUAUUUUGUAAAAACAACAAUUAGAAAACAAUAUUGGGCUAUUAUUUAUCAUGUUUCAACAUAAAAACACAGUGUAAAUUGUUUAAUAUGGGUUUCUAGAGAAUUUUUUAUGUUACUAUUACUCAAAUUCAAUGCUUCCAAGCUUUUGAAUUUAGCUAAUCUUGCAUCAAGAAUUAAUGAACAUAAGAAAAAAAAAUUUCAUUCAGAACUAUAAAUAUUGAAAUAAAGAUAAAUAUCAUUGUUGAUUUUUUUAUAAAAAUGAUUUAGAAUUAAGAGAGAGUGAAAGAAAUGAGUGGGUUAUGUAGGAAAAUGGUGAUAGAAUAUCAAGUACUACACUUUGUAUAGAAAGCAGUGCUUCUAAUUUAAAUUUGAUCUAGUUUAAAGCAAUUAAAAAAUGAAAAUAUAUUAUCAUCUUGAUUAACAUCUAAAACAAUUUUUAUCAUUGGAGGAAGUGAAUUGUUAUAUACCUUGAAUUGCAGUUAUCCCACAAUAACCAAGAUCCAAUGUUUUCAAGUUUGGCAAAUCUGCGAAUCCUACAUGCGCCGAUAAAAAAUGAAAAUAUUACAUUUAAAGGCAUUGUAUGUGAUCCGCGCGUUUGAUGAACAUUAAUUCUACAUUUAAUUUGCUUCUUAUCUCAAAUUCAGUGGCCUACCUAGCGUUGUCAGAUUUUGAUUAUCGCGUAAAUACAGCACUUGCAGGUUUGUCAAAUUUGCUAAUCCUGUUAAAAAAAACAUAAAUUUUGUCAAUAACAGAUAUGUCACUCUCGUCUAAAUUGUUUAAUUAAAAUAAUAUGGUAAAUAUUGAAUGAAAAUUAAUUGUGCACAUUGUUAAUUUUUUUGUUUCUAUUGAUAUUUUAAUAUAUACCGUCACUUUUAGCAUUACCAAGAUUUGGAGUGUUUGAAUCAUAAUUUGUAAAUUAGUUUGCACUUUGAGUAAACUUGAAAAUGUGAAAAAAGCAAUUAAAAAAAAUGCAAAUAUAUCAUCAUCUUGAUUAACAUCUAAAACAAUUUUUGUCAUUGGAAGAAGUGAAUUGUUAUAUACCUUGAAUUGUAGUUAUCCCAGAAGAACAAAGAUCCAAUGUUUUCAAGUUUGGCAAAUCUGCGAAUCCUACAUGAGCCGAUAAAAAAUGAAAUUAUUACAUUUAAAGGCAUUGUAUGUGAUCCACGCGUUUGAUGAACAUUAAUUCUACAUUUAAUUUGCUUCUUAUCUCAGAUUCAGUGGCCUACCUAGCGUUGUCAGAUUUUGAUUACCGCUUAAAUCCAACACUUGCAGGUUUCUCAAAUUUGCUAAUCCUGUUAAAAGAAGGUAAAUUUUGUCAAUAACAGUUAUGUCACUCUCGUCUAAAUUGUUUAAUUAAAACAAUAUGGUAAAUAUUGAAUGAAAAUUAACUGUGCACAUUGUUAUUUUUUUUUGUUUCUAUUGAUAUUUUAAUAUAUACGGUCACUUUUAGCAUUACCAAGAUUUGGAGUGUUUGAAUCAUAAUUUGUAAAUUAGUUUGCACUUUGAGUAAACUUGAAAAUGUGAAAAAAGCAAUAAAAAAAAUGCAAAUAUAUUAUCAUCUUGAUUAACAUCUACAAUUUUUGUCAUUGGAGGAAGUGAAUUGUUAUAUACCUUGAAUUGUAGUUAUCCCACAAAAACCAAGAUCCAAUGUUUUCAAGUUUGGCAAAUCUACGAAUCCUACAUGCGCCGAUAAAAAAUGAAAAUAUUACAUUUAAAGGCAUUGUAUGUGAUCCGCGCGUUUGAUGAACAUUAAUUCUACAUUUAAUUUGCUUCUUAUCUCAGAUUCAGUGGCCUACCUAGCGUUGUCAGAUUUUGAUUACCGCUUAAAUCCAACACUUGCAGGUUUCUCAAAUUUGCUAAUCCUGUUAAAAGAAGGUAAAUUUUGUCAAUAACAGUUAUGUCACUCUCGUCUAAAUUGUUUAAUUAAAACAAUAUGGUAAAUAUUGAAUGAAAAUUAACUGUGCACAUUGUUAUUUUUUUUUGUUUCUAUUGAUAUUUUAAUAUAUACGGUCACUUUUAGCAUUACCAAGAUUUGGAGUGUUUGAAUCAUAAUUUGUAAAUUAGUUUGCACUUUGAGUAAACUUGAAAAUGUGAAAAAAGCAAUAAAAAAAAAUGCAAAUAUAUUAUCAUCUUGAUUAACAUCUACAAUUUUUGUCAUUGGAGGAAGUGAAUUGUUAUAUACCUUGAAUUGUAGUUAUCCCACAAAAACCAAGAUCCAAUGUUUUCAAGUUUGGCAAAUCUGCGAAUCCUACAUGCGCCGAUAAAAAAUGAAAAUAUUACAUUUAAAGGCAUUGUAUGUGAUCCGCGCGUUUGAUGAACAUUAAUUCUACAUUUAAUUUGCUUCUUAUCUCAGAUUCAGUGGCCUACCUAGCGUUGUCAGAUUUUGAUUACCGCUUAAAUCCAACACUUGCAGGUUUCUCAAAUUUGCUAAUCCUGUUAAAAAAAGGUAAAUUUUGUCAAUAACAGUUAUGUCACUCUCGUCUAAAUUGUUUAAUUAAAAUAAUAUGGUAAAUAUUGAAUGAAAAUUAACCGUGCACAUUGUUAUUUUUUUUGUUUCUAUUGAUAUUUUAAUAUAUACCGUCACUUUUAGCAUUACCAAGAUUUGGAGUGUUUGAAUCAUGAUUUGUAAAUUAGUUUGCACUUUGAGUAAACUUGAAAAUGUGAAAAAAGCAAUUAAAAAAUGCAAAUAUAUUAUCAUCUUGAUUAACAUCUAAAACAAUUUUUGUCAUUGGAGGAAGUGAAUUGUUAUAUACCUUGAAUUGUAGUUAUCCCACAAGAACGAAGAUCCAAUGUUUUCAAGUUUGGCAAAUCUGCGAAUCCUACAUGCGCCAAUAAAAAAUGAAAAUUUAAAGGCAUUGUAUGUGAUCCGCGCGUUUGAUGAACAUUAAUUCUACAUUUAAUUUGCUUCUUAUCUCAAAUUCAGUGGCCUACCUAGCGUUGUCAGAUUUUGAUUAUCGCUUAAAUACAACACUUGCAGGUUUGUCAAAUUUGCUAAUCCUGCUAAAAAAAACAUAAAUUUUGUCAAUAACAGAUAUGUCACUCUCGUCUAAAUUGUUUAAUUAAAAUAAUAUGUUAAAUAUUGAAUGAAAAUUAAUUGUGCACAUUGUUAUUUUUUUGUUUCUAUUGAUAUUUUAAUAUAGACCGUCACUUUUAGCAUUACCAAGAUUUGGAGUGUUUGAAUCAUAAUUUGUAAAUUAGUUUGCACUUUGAGUAAACUUGAAAAUGUGAAAAAAGCAACUAAAAAAAAUGCAAAUAUAUUAUCAUCUUGAUUAACAUCUAAAACAUUUUUUGUCAUUGGAGGAAGUGAAUUGUUAUAUACCUUGAAUUGUAGUUAUCCCACAAGAACCAAGAUCCAAUGUUUUCAAGUUUGGCAAAUCUGCGAAUCCUACAUGUGCCGAUAAAAAAUGAAAAUAUUACAUUUAAAGGCAUUGUAUGUGAUCCGCGCGUUUGAUGAACAUUAAUUCUACAUUUAAUUUGCUUCUUAUCUCAGAUUCAGUGGCCUACCUAGCGUUGUCAGAUUUUGAUUAUCGCGUAAAUACAACACUUGCAGGUUUGUCAAAUUUGCUAAUCCUGUUAAAAAAAACAUAAAUUUUGUCAAUAACAGAUAUGUCACUCUCGUUUAAAUUGUUUAAUUAAAAUAAUAUGGUAAAUAUUGAAUGAAAAUUAAUUGUGCACAUUGUUUAAUUAAAAAAAUUAUCGUCUAAAGAACCAUGUAUAUAAUAAUUAGAACUCAAAUCCAACGCUUCCAAGUUUUUUAAUUUAGCUAAUCUUGCGCCAAGAAAGAAGAAAAAUCUUAGUAAUCGUCUUUGGGAAAAAAUAAAGAAUUAAGAAAUUAGAUUAAAUAAUUGUAGUAAUAAAGCAUAUGACUCAGAUCUAAUUAAAUUGAUCAUAUACUCAAAAAAAAUUUUUUUUUAAUUUUACUAAGAAAUUAGAAAGUAAUUUUUUGCCGUGUACCAAUUGUAGUCAAGUUUGUCAAGUUUUCCAGUCAAAAAUUGGUUUUAAUUUGACAUUAUACAUGUGUAAAAAUUAAGGGCAUAAUAAUAUCACAAGGAAUUUGGGUAGUGACUUGUUGCCGUGUGCUGACUUGGUAAUUAUCUCAGUAGCCUACCUAGCCUUGUUAAAGAGCCACUAGUUAUAUUGAAGUUCAAGCUUAGAUCCAACACUUGCAAGUAUCUCAAAUUUGCUAAUCCUGCUCAGAAAACAUUAAUUUUGAUCAAGACAAUAUAAAUAUACAUUUUAAUUAAGAAAUUAAUUAAGUUGCCUGACAUGUAUAUCUGCUGGCCUGAAACGUAUAUGUAUACCUUGCUUGGUUCUGGAACCUUCAAUAGAAUUGGAAUUAAGAAUCAAAGUGGUAAGUGAAGUUAGUGUAUUCAAAUAUGGUAAUAUGCUGUCGUUGAAGAAAUUAAGACCAAGAUUUAAGAUCUUCAGCUGCUUCAAACUCCCAAAGCUAUCGUAAGCUGCAAAUGCAUAUGAAGUGUUAAUGUGUUAUUAUUAAUUAGUCACUGACAAAAUAUUUAUGGACGAGAAAUAAAUGUAUACAUAUAUACGGACCUCUAUUCUCAUAGAUGCCUGCAAACCCAUUCCCAGAUAAGUCAAGACUUUGCAGUUCUUCAAAAGGAUGAAACAAUGACAUAUUCAGAACCAAAACUCCCUCCCAAUAAACAAAGUUAUUGAUCAGAAGCGAAGCCGAAGUACUAUCAGAAUAAUUCAAUCUGUGUGUAUGAUUGAGUGAGAGUUGCAUCACGCGUCGUGUGGUGGCGCUGCACUUAACUCCCUCCCAAUUAUCACAACAAUCAGACGGCAUUCCAUCAUCCUCACCAACCCAUGAAGGAAGAAUUUUGUCAUCAUAUCCAAUAUCACUGACUGAUGAUAUGAAGAAGCUCUUGAUUUCCAACAGAGCAGUCCUCUCUGUUUCCAAGCAUCCUUUGUAUCCAUGCAUUUCAUUCAUCAAUACAAUAAUCCAAAUUAGUGACAUUAAUGAGAACUUAAUACAGGAAGUACUUUCCAUUGCAGAGCAACUUUUCAUUUGGUUAAAAUUCAAUGUGCAAUGAGCAACUUUCCAUUGCAGAGCAAUUUAUACUAAAAGUUUAUCGCAGGUCUUGCAAUUUGAUUGGCUGAAGACUUUUUUAAGACUUUCCAAUACAUUGCCAUCUUUGAAGACUUGUAAGCAUUCCAUGUUUUGCAACAUUCGACCAACGGGAAAAAGCACUUCAUUAAUACCCUGUGGAAAAUAUAGAUAAAGUGAUUGUAAACUAUAAAUUUUUCCAGUAGUUUGAUGGAGAUAAUCAUAACUAAUAAAAUAAAAGUUGACUGAGAGAAUUUAAAUAAUUUAACCGCAUGUUUGGAUUUCCAUUGCAUUAUCAGUCAAUCUAUUAAAUAAUGUGUUUUGAGAAGAAUUUGAUUGGUUGUUUGAUAAGUUUAAAUCAAUUUAUUAGAAAAUCAAUAAUUAAUCAACGUAAAUCUUCGUGUAUGUUUAGUUAGUGUGGCGUAGUCUGAAAUGACAAAACACAUAAAUGUUAUUUGAAGCUCUUGUGACCCUUUGUGUUCAUGCAUUCGGAUAAGGAAAGUUUCCAUUGCUCCAGUCUACACUCUUCACUACUAUUACAAUCACUUGAAAUGACAAAAACAGAAAUUUCGUAUGAACAUGGGACCGAUGUACGGGUCCAAUUUAAAUGACCCUUGCUAAUUUUGCAUAUAUUAUUGCAACUACGUGGAAAAUUAAAGUUGACUGACUUUCAAAUUAAGCCAACAAACAAGUGGCCAUCAACUCUUUUCCCUCUAUGAUUGGUUUUUUUUUUUUUUAAAUUGAAUUGUAUGAUUGGGUUUGCAUUGAAUUAUCCAACAAUCUAUUCAAGCAUUGAUAUUUGAUAUUCUCAAAUAUUUAAUGGGUUUUGAAAAUUAUUUACUAGAUUUUUGAUAAAUUGAUUUUUAUUAUUUGAUGAUCAAUAAUUAAUCAAGUAAUUUUCUAUAUAUAUAUAUAUAUAUUUGGUAAUUUACUCAUAAAAAGUGUGGAUCACAUUGAAAUGUUAUUUUAUAUGAUGCAUGGCAUACAGAGAGGUGCAGUUUAAAUAUGCAAAUAAUUUAUUUAUUAUAACAUGCAAUCAUUGAGUUAAAGCGCAAGCGUGAGUUUGGAUUUGAAAUAUUCAAAUAAUUUAUUUCAUUAUUGAUUCUUAAAUAACAUGCUUUGGAAUUAAUAGUUCGAUAGGAUGUUUGAUAUAUUGAAAUUUGUGAUAAUCAAUAAUCAACUAAUUUUCAUUCAUAUUUAAAAAUUUUAAUAAAUUACUCAUAAAAUUGUGGCGUAUAUUGAAAUGACAAUCAAUCUUGAUAUUGAUUGACAAUCAAUUUUUAUAGUGAUUGGCACUUAAGACAAUCAGUUUUGGUCUCUGUAAUGACUAAUGAAGAAUUGUAAGCCUGAAAUUCCACAUGUUGCAAUGUUGGACCAAUGAGGGAAAUGCUUCAUUAACAUUACAUGGAAAAUAAAUGUUGACUGACUUUCAAAUUAGGCCAACAUACAAGUAGUCGUUAAUUCUAUUUUUUCCAACAGUUGAUAAAGAUAGUCAGCUAAGAAAAGAAAAGUUGAUUGAGAUAAUUUAAAGAAUUUAAGCGUAAGUUUGGGUUUGAAAUUAUCAAAUAAUUUAUUCCAGUAUUAAUUCUUAAAUAAUGUACUUUGGAAUUAAUAACUCGAUAGGAUGUUUGACAUAUUGAAAUUUGUGAAAAUCAAUAAUCAAUUAUUUUUCAUACAUGUUUAGACAUUUUAAUAAAUUACUCAUAAAUUUGUGGUGUACACCGAAAUAAUAAGUUAAUAAAUUGAAACGAUAUCUAAAACUCUUGAGUCCCUUUGUAUCCUUGCAUUAAUUUGAAUCAAAGCUCGAAUUAAAAUCAAAGACCCAUAUUGAGAAUUUAUAUAAAUAACUUAAGAGUAUGAUUGGGUUUACAUUGAUUUAUAUAUAUCAAACAAUAUAUUCAAGCGCUGAUAUUCUCAAAAAAAGAAAAAAAAAAAGACAAUCAAUCUUUGCGUCAACUGAUAUUAUUGAUUGGUAAUAAAUCUUAGUCGUGAUUGACAAAGCUUGGGAAAAUCACUCUCGGUGAUUAAUAGUCUUCGUCCUCAUCUUUGUAUUGAUCGUUGUGGUAGAGGAUGAGUGGUGCGUAAGAGAGGGUUCAUCGCUUGCGGAAUUUUCGCGGCCAUUCAAGAAUCAGGAUGGUUGUUGUAGAAUUCCACUAGAAUUGGCCUUGCAAUUAGGGAAAGUUCAAUAUUAAUUUAUACUAAAAGUUUAUCAUAGGCCAAUCACAGUGACCACCAAAACCUAUGAAUGAUUAGUCCAUCGAAACCCAAUGUAUGCUCAAUUAAUAUUUCCUAUCAAGAUCAAAUUUUUCGCUCUAUUGCUUCACCAAUCAUGAGCAUAAAAGCUCGAUUUAUACAAAAUUAAGAAUUUAUGAAAAAAAAGUCACAAUUAUUAUAAUUGGAAGUUUGAUUGAUUUUUGAAGAUUGAUUCAAUCAAUCUUAAUGUUACUGGACAAUCGAUCUUAAUAUUAAUUCAAAAUCAAUCUUUAUAGCGAUUGGCACUGAUAAAGAUAAUUAGUUUUGGUCUCUAUAAUGACUGACGAAAACUUGUAGGACCUGGACCAAUGAGGAAAAACACUUCAUUAAUACUCCAUGGAAAAUAAAUGUUGACGGACUUUCAAAUUAAGCCAACAUACAAAUGGUUGUCAAUUCUAUUUUUUACAAAAAUUGAUGGAGAUAGUCAACUAAUAAAAUAAAAGUUGAAUGAGAUAAUUUAAAGAAUUUAGGCGUAAGUUUGGGUUUUAAAUUAUCAAAUAAUUUAUUCCACUAUUGAUACUUAAAAAAGUGCUUUGGAAUUAAUAAUUCAAUAGGAUGUUUGAUAUAUUGGAAUUUGUGAAAAUCAAUAAUCAACUAUUUUUUAUGAGUAAUGAUACAGCUACAAACUCUUGUACAAACUUAUUUUGUACAAACUGAUGUGGCAUGAUAAGAUUGGUUUAAUUAAAUAUCACUUGGCCCACAUGAUUUGUUUUUAUUAAUUUAUAUUUUCAUUCAACCAAUGAAUUAAUGCCACAUCAGUUUGUACAAAAUAAGUUUGUACAAGAGUUUGUGGCUGUAUCAUUACUCAUUUUUUAUACAUGUUUAGAAAUUUAUCCGGUGUGUAUAAGGGCUUGUAUAUUUCACAAUCAACUGAGAUUUUUUUUUGAAAGCCAAUAGAAACAUGAAUUAUAGUACAUCCAUCGAUUGACGUAUAAUUAUAAUCAUAUAAUCAAACACGCACACUACAAGACGACCUUCGAUUGACGUAUUCUGUCAACUAACCCAGGGACAUGGAGGAUGUCUUAACGUUAUAAAAAAAAAUUGAUGAAUAAUAUAGUUCCAGGCAGUGCUAAAACCAUAAUGUAUGCCAGUAUGAGUUUAUCCAAAGUCACCGGCUACACCAAUAUCAUAGUGACAUAGGAAGCGAUGAGGAAAUUUACGAAAGAUUUAUUAAAUGAUCAGAGACUUUCUGCAAUUUCAUUGACUUAUUCUAUGAUAAUUAUAAUCAAACACGCACACUGCAAGGCGACCUUCAAUUGACGUACUCUGUCAACUAACCCAGGGACAUGGAGGAUGUGUGUUGACGUUAACCAAUAGCCAAGUUUAUAAACACAAUCAAGCAAUCGUAUCAUUAAUCAGAGCCACAUUCGACGCACGACUAGUAAAUAUCAUAAUUGAGUCUGAGGACCACAGCCUUACGGUGAAAGAAUUUGAAUGGAGAUCACUGCCAAAUUGUUUUUUGUCUGGGAUCAGACCAGACAAGUUCUUGUAUGACUCGUUAAAGUUGGAUAAAUAGUUUAUGAGUGAUCUGAAGAUCACUGAUCAGAAAUUUUGUCAUUUUUGUUUGGUAAAUUAUUCGUAAAAUGAUGGUCUACUCUGAAAUUACAAAAAUAAGCAUAAUAAAUUUGAAUAAAGGAAAGCAAAGGAAAAUGAGAAGGAAAACAGAGGAAGGCUAAAGAAAAAUAAGCCGAUUCAUCAGUAACUCAAGAUCACAACUUUUGGAUGUUUUUAGCCUCUGAAAUUUCAACAAAUAUUCAAGUGAUGUGAGGUUGGUCAAGGUAGAAGGAAAGUUUCCACUUAAUUGAUUAUUAGAAAUAUCAAGAACUUUGAGAUUGGUCAAGUUGUUGAGACACUGAGGAAGGUGACCCUCAAAGUUAUUUGAGCUUAGAUCCAACUCAAAAAGAUUCUUCAAAUUACAUAUUCCUGAACUUGAAAAUAAAAUAUCAAAAUUUUAUAGAAUGAAAACUAAUUAUAGCGAAUUCGAUCAAAAUCCAGUACAAGACUUAAAAAACAGACAAAAAUCAAAUUGCCUAAUUAUUUUGGUCAGCACAAAUAAUAAUAGAGUAAUGUGAACUUAUUUCUCAUAUAAUAUGAUGUUGAUUGCAAAAGCGUUUCAAUAAUCUGGAAAAAGGGGAAAAAAAAAAUGCCCUCACACUUUUUGCUCUUCAUAGCCCGAAGUCCUUCUUGUUUAACAUUACAAUUUUCUGAGGAAGAAUUUGUUCACUUGAUGUUGUUCACUGGACAAUGGUUCUGUAACCUCUAAACCUAUUGGAUAAUGUAAAGAGAAAUUCAUAAUAUUUUAAUUGUCUUCUUAAAUAAUAAAUUGUCUUAAAAUACAAUUAAUUUGUCUUAAAUUUAAUUUAUUCCUCAGCAUUCAAAGAAAAACAAAAACAAAAAAAGAAAAAGAAAAACGAACUGGUCUUCAUAUAUAAUUUUGUCCAAGUACUUUGAUCAACAAAUCAUUAGGAAGGUGGUGUAUCAGUGAUGCAAAUAUUUAAUUAUCAUGUUUCAACAUAACAAUUCUGUAUCAAGAAUUAAUGUCAUAUUAAUCCUGUAGCAAGAUUAAUGAAUGGAAGAGUGAAAGAUAAAUGUCAUAUUAGUUAGAUUUAGAUUUUUUUUUUUUCCAGUUUUGAUGUAUAGAUAUAAAUAAUACUUCAAAAGCAUUGAAAUCUAAGAUCUAUUAAAAAAACAUUUUUCAUUCAAAGCUAUAAGUAAUGAAAUGAAGAUAGAUAUCAUUGUUGAUUUAAAAAAAAAUUCAGAAAAAAAGAAAGAGUGAAAGAAAUGAGCAGGUUAAGUUAGAAAAUAGUGAUAGAGUAUGUUAAGGACUAAAAUUUAUUAAAGAAAGCAGUGGUUCUAUUUGAAAUUUGAUCAAGUUAGAAUUAGUCAAUUAUGCAUCGAGAAUCAAAAGAAUGAAGAAUGGGAAUUCAAAUUAGACUUACAAAAUUAUAAUAAAGUGAUUAGUUAAGAUCCAAUUACACUGAUUUACUAAAAAAAAUAUUGAAAAAUAAAGGGCCAUAACAUUGCCAAAAGGACUAGGAAACUAAGUAGGAAGGGGUGAUUGUUGCGGAAUACCUUGAAGUGUAGUUAUUCCACAACCACGAAGACCAAUUGCUUUGGAGUUUGUCAAAUAUAUAUGCCAAUCCUACAACAAUAUAAAGCAAAAUGUUACUAUAAAAUUAUUGUAGAAGACUGUUAUCGUUGUGAUAGAUCGGUAAUUUCAGUAGCUUACCUAGCCUUCUUAAAGAGCCGCUUGUUAGAUUGAGUGAUCAAAACAAUAGACAUAAAUAUUUUAAGAGAUUAACUUGCCUGACAUGCAUUUCUGCUGGCGUCAGACAUAUAUACCUUGCUUGAUUGUAGAAGCUUCAAUGUUAUUGGAACGAAGAUUUAGAUUGGUAAGUGAAGUUAGUGUAUUCAAAUAUGUUGUCGUUGAAAUUACCACCAAGAUUUAAGAUCUUCAGCUGUUUCAAACUCCCAAAGCUGUCGUAAGCUGCAAGUGCAUAUAAAUUAUUAUCAUUAAUUAGUCACUGACAAAAUAAUUAUGAAUGAGUAAUAUACACAUAUGCUUGAACCUUUAUUCUCAUAGAAGCCUUUAAACCAAUUAUCAGAUGAGUCAAGGCACUGCGAUUCUUCAAAAGGGUGAAACAAUGACAUACUCGGAAGGGAAACUCCAUAAGAAUAAGAGUUAUAAUCAGAGUAGUUGAUUUUUGUUUUCUGAUUGAGUGAGAGUUGCGUCACCCGUCGGGUGGCGGCGUUGCACUUAACUCCCUCCCAAUCGUUACAACAAUCAGACGACAUUCCAUCAUCAUCAAACCAUGAAGAAAGAAUGUCGUCAUCAUAUCCAACAUCACUGGCUGAUAUGAAGAAGCUCUUGAUUUCCAACAGAGCAAUCAUCUCUGUUUUCAAGCAUGCUUUGUAUCCAUGUAACUGAAUCAAAGCUAUGCCAACCCACAAUGACAACUUCAUCAAAAGCAUUUUCAUUAUUAAUAUUAACUGCAAGAGAAACACUCACAAGAUUGACCUGUCAAUUUUUGCUCUCUUGAAGUUGUUCUGGUUGUCUAGCAAAUAUAUGACUUAUAUAUACACACAUGGAAAUGUUAGAAAACUAAGUCUUUGAUACACCAUCAACUUGAUAAGCAGAAUGAAAAUUCUGCGCAUUUUCACGUGCCCUGUCAAUGAGAAAACAUGCAUGGAUUGAAAAAAGCAAGUGAGGGAAUAUUACCUGUUGAUACAUGUUAUCUGCUUGUGAAUCUUGUACCGUCCAAAGACAUUGAAACAAAGAGAAAUUAACAGCCGACUUACCUGCAUCAAGUGCAAAUCACGUGACAUCAAAAGUUACCAUGUAAUUUGUCUUUAUAAGUGUUUUCUGCUUCUGAAAAUGAAAAAUAACAAAAUGGAAAUGCUUUUAGCUUUUGGCUAGACGUUUUCAGAAACGUUUUGCAUGAACAGAAAAAGUUUUUGUAAAGAGGCAUUGAGCGGUCACUCUCUUAUCGCGGCCUGCGGCUUGCAGUCAUCAACAAUCCUCAUCUGGCCUCUUUAUAAUCCACUUUUAACAAAAUAUAGAUAGAAACAGAUAUAUUACUGAUAUUCAAAUUACACUUAAUAUUAAUAAAUCUUUGGACUGAGCUUUAAAUCUAUAAACUAAAACUUCCAGCAUACCACAAAUUAUUUUUAGAGCCCGCAUGUUGGAAUAUCUCCUUCAAGUUUCACUUUGAUUUCUAGCACAUCAUUCAAAUGAGUUGCUAUACUAUAUCUAGCUAGUUUUGAACAAAGUAAGUGAGAAUAUGACAUCUGCUUUAGCAAGAUACGAGUGAAUUAAAACGUUUGACCAGAUGAAAGAGAGAAAAGAAUGUUGAAAUAUUGACUUGAAUAUUGUGGUAAAAUGAGUUUGACUUUAGUACCGACCAAAGAAAUAAUUGAAGAUGCAAAUUAAUUGGUUAGUUUGACGUGCAUGGCUAUUGGCAAAGUGAAAUGUUAGCUUCGCAAUUCACUUGUGAACGUACAACAACAUUUGCUGCAUAAGGAAAUUGCGGCGUCUCAGCCGGAUUGUGAGAGUUGUUUUCAAAUCCCAUUUCUUUUCUUUGUAUUUGUUUUCAAAUCACGACCUUUUUUUUUUCCGCAGCUCACGUGAUCACCAUAAUUUUGAUAGCCACUCAAACGCGUUUCCGCAAUAACUAACGAAAGGAAAAGCGAACGAAUAAGUAAAAGAUACUGAUGACCGUAAUCAGGUAAAUGAAUACAAGGCUUUACAAUAGAUUAGACCACCAAAUCAGGACCAUAACGAAUAAACGAUUUGUGCCUUUUGAAUACAUCUGCUUUCACAAUGUAAACUUGCCAAAAUACAUGUAAUCUGCUGGUGAAAUAAUUUUUAUAAAACAGAGGCUUAAAGUUAAAGCUGAUUAAAAUAUUGGUGUACGUCAAGAACGCUACGGGGAAAAUUCAACCGUGAGCUGCAGUCUGCAGUCCCCAACAAUCCGGGAAAUGACUGAGGUGGUGCGCGCCUGCACACUAAUUUGGCAAGUCUGAUGGGAUUUAUACAUUAAAAUAAUGUAAUUUUAUAUAUUUUUUAAAUGAAAAAUUUAUUGAUGCGGCUGUGCGAUCCUUUGGAUCCUCGCGUGCCUGCCCCACAAAAGUUUCUCCCUAACAAUCUCCAUCAAACCUCUUUAUAAUCCAUUUUUGAUCAAAUAUGAAUAAGGAUACAUAUAUUUAUCCAAAUAUUAGUAAAAAAUAGAUAUAAUGCUGAUUUUUAAAUUUUACUUAAUGAACAUUUAGACCGAGCUGUAAGUCUAUGAAUUCUAACUUCUACAACACCACAAAUUAUUUUUCAGCCGUAUGUUGGAUUGUCUCCUUUAAGGCUGUGUUUACUAAACUGGAAUGGGAAUCGAAACGGAGAAAUUGGAAUGAAUAACUUGUUUAUUUGUUAAAUUGAUGCUAGGAAUGGGAAUAAGGUGAGCGGGCUCCAAGGUCUUGAAGAGGCAAGUCCAAUAAAGCCAAGGCUGACAAGAAGAAGAAAGAAGAGAAAGGCUUCAAUUAUUAAUUCUUAUUAUUCACUUCUUUCAUUGGAAAGUGCUUUUGCUUUCUAGCUUCCUUAUGUUCAUUGUUUUUUUGUUGUGCAGUAGUGCCCAGUGUUCUUGAUAUCACAAUCAUCACCCCAUAUGAAUCACAAGUUGUUCUCAAGGUAUACAUUUAUACUUAUUAUUAAUACUUUCUUGUUUUGCCCUCACCAGCUAUGAUUAGCAUUUUAUUUUUUAAAACUUUAUAAAUAUAAAUGAAUUAUUAAUUAAUCAUCUUUUCUUUUUGUUUGAUUGAAAUUUGCUCAAAGGGCAUCUCCACUGACAAGAUACUUGACGUGAAAAAAUUGUUGGCUUCCAAUGUAGAAACUUGCCACCUCACAAAUUAUUCUCUUUCUCACGAGGUAUCUAUAUUUUAUUAUCUCUCCCCCCCUUUUUUUUAUUAUGAUUAUGAAUAAUGAUAUUAAACAGUAGAUACUUUUUUUUCCACCUUAUUUUUAUUCGUUUAUUUCUUUAUGACAUUAAUACAAUAUUAUUAUUAUUAUUAUUAUUAUUUUAUCAGGUCAAGGGGCAGAGAUUGAAUGAUAGAGUAGAGGUUGUUACUCUAAAACCAUGUUUGCUCAGAAUAGUUGAAGGUAGGUGCAUCUCUCUCAUGUCAAAUUUUCUGAAUUAAAAAGUCCCAUGCAUGUGGAUGUGGGUCUCAUUUUAUUUGUUAUUUUUAAUUAUUAACAUUUAGAUCUUUUUAGUUGUGCAUUCAUUGCCAUACUAUUUUAGUAAACUACAUUCAUUUUAUUUUAUGUUUUUUAAGAAUUUUUUAAUUCGAAAUAAUUUUUUUAAUAUUGUUGAAAAAGACAGGUUAAAGUAAAAAAAAAAAAAAAAAAAAUUUGGCUCAUUCGGUGCUUCAAGCAAUGCCAAUCUAUGCAAUGCAGACGACUCUACUCCCGGCUCUGGUGCGUGGGAAGAUUGAGAAGUCUUGCCGUCGGUUUAUAUGGGAUGGGAAGUCGAAGAAUCACAGGAUGAGCAUGGUGGGUUGGAACAAAAUUUGUAUGCCGAAAACAAAAGGUGGCCUGGGGUUUAAGAACCUGGAUGAGAUGAAUCAGGCUUUGUUGAUGAAGUUGAGCUGGCAAAUUGUCUCGAACUCUGACAAGCUAUGGGUAAAGGUUAUUUGUUCAAAGUAUGGGUUAGAUCCUAGAAAUUUACCGCUGUCCCUCCCUGCAAAACAAGGAUCGAGAAUCUGGAGGGCCAUACGAAGCUCGUGGUCAGCCACUAUGAUGGGAGCUCGCUGGGCAGUCUGUGAUGGAACUCGAGCUCGUUUUUGGCUGGACUGCGGGGCAACAAAGCAAGGCCCUUUGAUUAAUCUAGCUCUUCACCCAGUGCCUCAAGAGCUGGUUAACGCUACGGUGAGCGAUUUUAUAAACGAGCAUGGGGACUGGAACUGGUCAGCUUUUGAACAUCUGCUUCCCAACUCUGUUCUGCUCCAAAUAGCUUCGGUAAUGCCUCCUAAUCCUUUGCUUGGUAAGGAUAAAAUCUUCUGGCGGUAUGAUCCAAGAGGAAACUUCACGGUUCGCUCGGCAUAUGAGGCUCUUUGUCAGUUGGAUUCAAAUGAUACUAACACUGCAUGGAAGCUAGCUUGGACUUGGAAGGGGCCGCAAGCAGUACGCAUCUUCCUUUGGCAGGCUCUGCAUGCUAAGCUGAAAACCAAGGACGAACUUUCUAGAAGGCAUAUUCCUAUUUCUAUAGAUUGUGAACGUUGUGGGGCUCCAAUUGAGGAUAUUAUCCACGUUUUGAGAGACUGUCAGUGCAUUAAGCGGGUUUGGCUUCGGUUGGUACCCGCUCGGAAUCAUCUAUCCUUUUUCCAGUCUACUUUACGUGAGUGGAUUAUUGCUAAUUUACAAAAUAAGUGGAAAGUUGCUUCUUCAUCAAAUUGGGAAUGUAUCUUCGGAGUAGCGGUUUGGAGAUUAUGGUUUUGGCGGAAUCACUUUAUGGUGGAUGGAAAGUUGACGGACAGCUCAACAAUCUAUUUAGAUAUUAUGGCCAGAGCUAACGAAAUCCAUAGACUAAAUAAUUCUCUCAUAAGUCGGCAGCCGUGGCGAAAGGAAAUUUUUAUUGGUUGGAUUCCACCUCCAUGGCCUUGGUGCAAAUUGAAUACGGAUGGGUCUUGUAGAAAUUCUGAGGUUGCAGGAGCUGGGGGAAUUCUUCGGGACUCUGUCGGCCACUGGAUUUCUGGAUUUUGUAUGAAUAUUGGAAAAUGUUCGGUGCUCAUGGCUGAACUUUGGGGAUUGUAUCAGGGAUUACGUAUAGCUUGGGAUACUGGCGUAAAGUGCCUUUUGGUUGAAGUGGAUAGCCUUUGUGUUACUCAAAUGAUCUCGAAGCAGGUGGUUGUGCCCAAUGAAUUCUUUGCACUAGUUGCUGCUGUCCAGGAUCUAGCUAGCAGAAAUUGGCGGAUUUCCAUCACUCAUAUUUAUCGUGAAGCAAAUUCGGGGGUGGAUUUUAUGGCGAAUAUGGCUCAUUCACACCCCCAUGGGUUGCAUUUAUUUUCUAGCCCGCCUGUGGGUAUUUAUUCAAUUAUUUUGCAAGACUUAUUUGGGGUGUCUCAACCCCGCCUUAUUCCUAUUUAGCUCUCUUGCUUGAGCCCCUUUUAAUCAAAAAAAAAAAAGUAAAAAAAAAAUUAUUGACUAAAUAAAUAAAUAAAUGACAUUAUUUUUUUUUUAACAUAAAAAAAAAACCAAUUUGAUGCCGUCCACUUAGUCCUGCACACUUGGAACGUUACCAUGCUUUUUUGUGCUGUACAUUUGGGACUUAACUGUCCUUGUCAUUUCAAGUAAAGGUUGAAUCCGUCUCAAAAGUACAAUAAGAACGUGCAUUUAAGUAACUGGCCUAAACUUUAGAAAUUUCAGAGUUAUAGUUUACGCAGGUGACAUCUAGGACCAUUAUUAGUUUAAUCAUUAAAUGACAAAAUUUUGCCAAUGUUGAGGGGGGUACUUAAAAAUGCAAGCAUCUAGUCCUUUGCCUCUGUUUUGAUGCCCCAAUUUUUUGCUUCCUAGAUGCUCUGACUCACUCCCUCACAUCUCACUUGUGCAAACCAAGGAAGAAGGAAAAAUUAUUAUUUUCCUUUUAUAACACAAAAAACAAUAAUUCCUUUUACUGCUCCAUGUUUAUUAUUUUAUUCUAUUUUUCCAGAAUCUCUUUUUAUCAAUUAAAUUUAUGAUAUUGAUAUUGAAGAUUUGCUUAAAUCAGAAAAAACUUGUUCAUAUUUCUGGUCAAUAUAAUACAUCUCCUGAAAGGUAAAAAUAGGCCCAAAAAAAACAAGAAUGAUGAUUUUUUUUUUUUUUACUUUUUUAGGCAAAGGGUCAGAGAUUACAAUGAAUCUAUGUACUUGUGGAAAUUUUUUUUGAGGCAUAAAUAAGUGCAAUUUGAGAGCAUUUUGUUUUUGUUCCACCAUACAUUUUAUACAACUGCCGCCUUAGAUUGAGUGCAUCACUUCAUUAUAUAAUCAGUAAAAAUUAAUUAUACAAAUGGAAUCAUUAUCUAUUACAAUUAUUCGACUUCAUCAAGUAACAGCUGAAGUUUUUUACGACAUUAUCAAAAGAGUUCAACUUUUAUUUUAUAAAGUAUAUAUAAAUAUAUUUUAGAAAUAAUUAAUAUGAUAAUACAACAUAUACAAGAAAAAAAAUAAAACAAGUUUUAGAAUUAGCAGAUUAGCAUUGUCAUAAGCAAGAGUUGUCUCUAACUGCAAUAAGCUAGGCAUGUUUCUGAAGUUUGUUUCACUAGCCUUACCAAACUUUUGCUAGUUGAUAUUCAAAGUUUUUUUUUUAAUUUUUAUUUUUUAUAGUCAAGUGUAUCUAAUUAAACAAUCAAUCCAACAUGAAGACAACUUUAUCGCUUUAUGGUCCUAAUUAUCAACCAGCUAUUAAAGUUUAAUUUAUUAAAAAAAUAUUAGUUGGCAGAAAUGUAAACAAAGCAAUAACAUUUGCAGAAGUGUAUUAUUUCUGAAUUACUAACUUUACCAUGAAUAAUUAAUAUGAUUAGAGGUUAACAAAAUUAUAUGUAAAAGUUUAUUUAAAGAGUGAAAGUUUUAUUUUAUUUUUAUCAUUUUUUAAUUCUUAUAAUUAUAAUUUAAUCCAGAAGUAUUUUAAUUAUAAAAAAUUAUUUUGAAAAAUAAGUUUGAGGAAUAGUUUAGUACUUAAUAAUUAUUUUCUACUUAUAAUUAAGUUAAUAUUUAAUAGAAAGAACUAAAAUAAUAAAAGAAAAAAACUUUGCCCGGCAAUUCCUUGUUAUUUACAUUUUUGGCACUGUCCUGUGCAGAGGACUACACUGAGGCAUCUCAGGCCGUGGCACACGUGCGGCGGCUUCUCGACAUCGUCGCGUGCACCACACGGUUCUCCAAGUCCAGAAACUCCCGAUUGCCGCCACCGUCAGAGUCAUGUGCCAAAAAGAACGGCAGUAGGCCCCACCCGCCGUCACCAAACUCUGCCGCUCUGUCUGAUGGAGCAGCAACAGCAGCAGCAGAUAACCGAAGCGGGCCCCGGGCCACGUCACCGCCAGUUUCAUCGGCGGUUUCUCCAAGUCUGGACAUGGCGGCCAUUCACCCGACGCCGAAACUCUCCGAGUUUUAUGACUUCUUCUCUUUCUCUCACCUCGCUCCCCCCAUCUUGAGUAAGCCUAAUGUCCAUUUAUUUAUUUGUCUUCGUUUUUUACAUGGUCGAUCAAAAAAAAAAGAAAAAAAAGAAAGAGGAAAUGAUAUAAAUAUAUGUGAUUUAUUUGAAUAUGAAAUUUGUUUAUUGAUUUUAAUUUUUAAUAAUUUUGAUUUUGAAGAUUUGAGAAAACGUGAACGCAAAGGAGAGAAGCGCGACGGUGAUUAUUUUGAAAUUCAGGUACCAUUUAAUAUAAAGUUCUGAUUAUUGUUGUUUGUUGUUUAUGGACUAAUUAAUUGUAGAGUUAUUCAACUCGUUAUUUUUGCUGAUGAAUUGGCCAAUGAGUGUUAAAGAUUUAAUAAUCAUUGUCUCCUAAUUAAUAAGAAUGCAUGGAUUAUUUUCAUGUCUUUGUAAGUACUGUGAGUAUUUGAAAGUGCGGGAAACUGUAUUUUGUGCUUACAGACAAAAAUCUGCAAUGGAAAGCUUAUACAAGUAGUUGCAUCAGUAAAAGGGUUCCAUACUUUGGGAAAGCAGUUUUUCCAAAGCAACUCCCUGGUGGAUCUUCUGCAAAAUCUCAGUCGAGCUUUUGCCAGUGUGGGUACUCAAUAGUCAAAUCUACAGAUUAUUUUUUUCUUUUUUAUCUGAAUGCAUCUUUUUUUCCUCUGUAAAUUCAAUUAGCUUACCCUUUAAUUGUUUUAUUAAUAAUUAUGGUCAUUAUGCGUGAUUCAGGCAUAUGAAUCCCUAAUGAAAGCUUUUGUUGAACAUAAUAAGGUAACAAUUUCUGUGCUGACAUAGUUUAUUACCAAUUCAAAUGUGAUUUUAACUUGAUUUUACUGAUAUAGUAUAUUCAUUAUCCUUCUUCAGUUUGGUAAUCUUCCCUAUGGAUUUCGAGCUAAUACAUGGCUUGUACCUCCAUCUGUUGCUGAGUCUCCAUCAAAUUUCCCAUGCCUACCAGUAGAAGAUGAGAAUUGGGGUGGCAAUGGCGGAGGCCAGGGAAGAGAUGGAGAACAUGAUUUACGACCAUGGGCGACGGAAUUUGCUAUACUGGCUAGGCUUCCUUGCAAAACUGAAGAGGAGAGGGUGGUUAGAGAUCGGAAGGCCUUUUUGCUUCAUAACCAAUUUGUUGAUGUCUCAAUUUUGAAAGCUGUUGGAGCAAUACGCCGUCUCAUUGAUUCAAAUUUACACACUCAAGAUACAAUCAAUGUCCAAAAGGGGCAAUCUUGCAUGAAGAUCGUGUGGGAGAUUUGUCCAUUACAGUAAAACAUGAUACAGUAGAUGCAAGCUUGAUGUCUGAGGUUACUAUUAAAGGAAAUCAGUCAUCUGGUAUAUCUGCUACAGAAGGUGCUCAAACGAAUUUACUAAAAGGUCUUACUGCAGAUGAGAGUGUAGUUGUUCACGUAAGUCGAUUUCUCCUUUACUUCUUACGCUUAUGUUCACAGAACACACACAUAAAAGACAUUCAUCAAAGCUGAAAUUGCUUACGUGGGCGGAAUAAUAUAGCUCUACCUUUGUCAGGGAGUGAUUUUUCAGUCGGAUUAAGAUGUUUCACUCUUUAUCUGAUAUCUGGCAUUUGAUGAUGGCCUAAAAUACCCAUCCUCUUAACUCUCUCUUUCUACACAUUUAUGAAUGCACAAGAAAGUCAAUUUUAGGUUCUUUCCUAAGAAUCACUACUCGUUACUAACCUUAUAUAUCUGGUUUAGCUUCAUGAAUCUUAUGUUGCCAUUCUGUUUGGUGACUCCCUAUUCUGUUGAAAUCACUGGAUAGCAGGUCUUUCCACUGAUUUUAUCCAUAUCCCUCUGAUUUUCUGCUUGUGGUUUGCUCCAACUUAAUGUCAUCAACCCUUUUUGGGGAAGCCUAUUAACCUUGUUUGUGCCAAUGAGAGGUUGGCAAAUAAAUCCUGGAUAUGCAGAUUCAAAUGUUUCAAAUGAGUCGAACUCUUCAAAUGACACAAGCGAGGCAGAAGAUGAUAAACUUGACAAAAUGUCCAGUAUCCAAGGCGAAGAUAAUACCUCAAGAAAGAGCAGUACAGAGGCCGAGAAGUCAGAGCUGGCAAGACAGAUACUACUUAGCUUCAUUGUAAAGUCAAAUUGAGAAUUUGAACAAACACAAACAUGGAUACAUAGCUGUUUGGAGAAAAGCCAACGGAUACAUAAUACAGCACGAUAAGUUAUACACGGCCGAACCGUAUGUGCUAGUAAGCACAAACAUAUUUGAAAAGCCAAUAAUAGCAUGUGUCAAUACAUCUAUCAACGAAAUAAAACCACAGUUUGCGCCAGUGCGAGUUUAUCCAAAGUGCUGCAAAUAAACCCAAACUCACCGAUGCAUAGGAUGCUCCAAAACUCCAUCUUAAUGCCACCAUGUCAAUCACAGAAUGGCCUUCAUCUUCUCCUCCUGUAGGUGUCGCUGGUGGUGUCAAAGCACUGCUGCAUUUCCUCUUUAUCAUUGAGCCACAAAGAGCCGAAUUACCUUUAUAACUGCAGUCAUCAAAGGUGGCAAACUGCUCUUUGUCUGGGAUUGGGCCGGACAAAUUGUUGUAUGACACAUUGAAGUUUGAUAAAAAGUUGAGCUCAGUUAGUUGAGGAGGAAUUUGGCCACUUAAUUUGUUGCGGGAAAGGUCCAGGCUCUCUAUCAUUUUUAGGUUGGAGAAGCUCUCUGGUAUAGCACCUGAUAGUAAAUUAUUGGACAGAUUAAGUGCACGAAUAUUUUGAAGUUGCCCAAUUUUCCAUGGAAUUUCUCCACUGAACUCAUUGCCUGACAAAUCCAGUCCAGCCAUGUAGUUGAGGUUGCUACCGAUGAAAAAUUCAUAUCUAUUCUUUGUCACAAAUUUUGCACCUACUUGUUGAUCUUGUCUAAAAUGUAGUUCAACUGGCAGUUGCAGCUCAAGAGAGGAAUUGUAGUAGGCAACAGGGGAAUCAACAUUAUUUGCAUAAAAAAAUUCUGACGAAUCAUCAUCAGUCGCUUCUCUCCAGAAUGACACGUUACCCAAACAUGAAGGUAUCGGCCCAUUAAGUCUGUUACGUGAAAGAUCCAUGAUACUUAAUUUCCUUAAUUGGCACAAUUGAUUAGGAAUACGUCCUUGUAGAUAGUUCCCUCUCAAAAGAAGAACAUGCAAAUUCGAACGCUCAUUGAUCUGAUGAGGAAUCCUACCAAAAAUUUUAUUGUCCCUCAAAUCGAGGGUCAAUAAUGUAGAACUUCUAAGCAAUGCAAUUGGAAUUAACCCCUUAAUUGCAUUGUUUUGCAGAUAAAUGUGCUUCACGAAUGAAAGAUUGGAGAGAGAUAUCAAACUAUUUUCGGAGAGGUCUAUAAACUCAAGACAUUUAAGAUUGUUGAGCUGGACCGGAAUAUUACCUUGCAAAUAGUUUUCUGACAUUAAAAGAACCGAAAGGACUGAGAAGUUCCCAAUCCAGUGGGGAAUAUCGCCGGAUAACAUGUUGUUGGAUACAUUUAAUACUCUUAGCAAAGUGGAGCUCAACAAACCAUCUGUCAUCUUCCCACUGAAAUGAUUGUUGUCCAAAUAUAACGAACCCAAAUCAGUCAAGUUCAUAUAAUUGGGAAAAAGUUGGCCAUAGAAAUUGUUAUUUGAUAGGUCCAACCAAUCUAAGGAGAGGCAACUAGAGACUAUAGGUCGAGGUAAUUUUCCUGUAAAAUUAUUUCUAGACAAAUCCAAAAUAGUUAGCUCUUUCAUCUCACCAACUGAAUAAGGAAUAUUACCUUCAAAAUUAUUUUUUGACAUAUCCAAAUAUAUCAAUUUCUGAAAGAUAAUACCCAAAUUCUCUGGUAGCUUACCAGAGAAAUUGUUACUGGAAAUAUCUAGAUGACGAAGCUUAUCGUAUUUGGCAUUGGGAAGUCGUGGAAGAAUUCCUGAUAAUGAGUUAUUCCACAGAAACAGAACUUCUAAUCCUGUGUUGUUUUGCAGCAACCAAGUUGGAAAAUUGCCAACCAAUUGAUUGUGAGAGAGAUCAAGGAAUUUUAAGUUGGAUUGGUGUAAAAGAAAACUGGGAUUGACAUUUAAGCGGCAGUGAGGUAAUUGGAGAACCUUGAGAGGAUAUGUGGGGAGCCAGUUUUCGGUUUUCACUUGCAACAUAUCGUUUUGUGGCGAGAGUAGCAAGACCUCAAGCUUCGAAUGAUUAGCCAAUGAAUUUAUUGAGAAUGUUCCUUGGAAAUCGAUGAAAGAGAGAUCCAAAUAUUCAAGUGAUGUGAGGUUGGCUACUAUAGAAGGUAGGUUUCCACUUAACCGAUUGGAAGAAAUAUCAAGAACUUUGAGAUGAGUCAAGUUGAUAAGACAUUGAGGGAGCUGAUCCUCAAAGUUAUUUGAGCUUAGAUCCAACUCAAAAAGAUUCUUCAAAUUACAUAUUCCUAAACCUGAAAAUAAAAAGCUCAGAUUUCAGAAAACGAAAACCAAUUAUAGCGCAUUCAAUCAUAAAACCAAUAUAAGACUUAUAAAACCGACAUGAAAUCAAAUUGUCUUAGUAUUUUGGUCAACAUAAAUAAUAAUAGAAUGAUAUGAAUUUAUUUCUCAUAUAAUAUGAUGUUGAUUGCAAAAGCGUUUCAAUUAAUCUAACAAAAAUAAUAAUAAAAAUAAAAAAGCGCUCAAUAAUUCUUGCUCAUCAUAAUCAAUUCAAAAAGCGUUCCAGCAAUUCUUGUUGUUUAAAAUUAUGAUUUUCUGCGGAAGAGUUUGUUGACCUCAUCUUUUUGUUGGAUAUUGAUUCUCUAAUCUCUAAAUUUGUUGGAUAAUGUAGAGAGAAACUCAUAAUAUUUUAGUUGCCUGGCAUUCAACAAGAAUUUUUUUUUAAAAAAAAAUUAUUUGAUUUAACCAAAAAAACCUUGUUAAUUAGACUUAGAUUUAAUUUUUUUAUAUAUUUUUCUAUUUAAAAAAUUUAAAAUGAGUGAGUAGGGGUAGAAACAUCAUUUUGUAACUAGUUGUGGGGGCAAAAAUGUUAUUUUGUAACUAAUUGUAAGAGUAAGAAUGGCAUUUUUUAUAGUUAAUUGUAGGGUCGAAACGUCAUUUUGUAACUAAUUUAUUAUUCUUAUUAAAAUUAACAACAAAAGUUAACAGAAUAUUGCACGCUCAAAUAUUUUUAAAAAAUAUGUCAUCUUCUUAAAAUUUGUUAAAAUACGUGUCAUCCAAAGGUAAUUAACCAUUUAUAUUAUUAUUCCCAAAAAAUCAAUUUCCCUCACAAUAAUCUUUUCUUUUUAUAUACAUUAUACUAUUUAUGUUUUUAUAUAUUUACUAAAUCAAAUAUGUAGAAUUUAUCAUUUUCUUUGAACAAAAAAAUAGCAAGGUCACCUAAUUUAUUCUUAAAAUUAAAAUAAUCAAUAUCCAUUGCUUAAUCUUAAGUUUUAUGGAAAUUAUUCCAAUAAUAAUUCUUUAAGAUAUUCUUACCAAACACAUUUUUCUUUUUCUCAUUUUUGAGAUUAUUUUUGAAAAUGAUACCGAACACAUUUAUAAAUUUUAAAAAUAAAUUUAAAAAUAGCAUUUUUAUUUUCAUUUUUUUUGGGUGAAAACAACAAUUAGAAAACAAUAAUGGGUUCUUGUUUAUCAUCUUUCAACAUAAAAACACAGUGUAAAUUGUUUAAUUUGGGUUUCUAGAGAAUUUUUAUAUUACUAUUACUCAAAUUUUAUGCUUCCAAGCUUUUGAAUUUAUCUAAUCCUGCAUCAAGAAUUAAUGAACAUAUGAUAAAAAAAUAUUUUUUAUUUCAGAACUAUAAAUAUUGAAAUAAAAAUAAAUAUCAUUGUUGAUUUUGUUAUAAAAAAGAUUCAGAAUUAAGAGAGUGAAAGAAAUGAGCGAGUUAUGUCGGAAAAUGGUGAUAGAGUAUGUCAAGUACUAAACUUUGUAUAGAAAGCAAUGCUUCUAAUUCAAAUUUGAUCUAGUUGGAAUUAGUCAAUUAGGCAUUAGAAUCAAAAGAAUGAAGAUUGGGAACUCAAAAUUAGAUUUAAAAAUUAUAAUAAAGCGUUUAAUUGAGAUUCAACUAAGUUGAUAUACUCAAACAGCAGAUUGAAAAAUGAAAGGCCAUAAUAUUACCACCAAAAAAAAAAAAAAACUGGGAAAUUAAUAGGAAGUGAUGAUUGUUGUGGUAUACCUUGAAGUGUAGUUAUUCCACAACUACCAAGAUGUAAUGUUUUCAAGUUUGUCAAAUUUGCCAAUCCUACAUCAAUAAAAUAAAUAAAUAAAUAAAUAAAUAUUACUUCAAAAUUAUUGUAGUAAGGCCAUGAUCAGUGUGGUUGUUUGGUAAUUAUCCCAGUAGCUUACCUAGCCUUGUUAAAAAGCCACUUGUUAGAUUGAGGUUCCCGCCUAGAAACAACACUUCCAUGUAUCUCAAAUUUGCUAAUCCUGCUCAGGAAACAUUAAAUUUUGAUCAAGACAAUUUACGUAUAUAUUUUAAGAGAUUAACGAGCCUAACAUGCAUUUCUGCUGGCCUGAAAUGUAUAUACCUUGCUUGAUUCUGGAACCUUCAAUGCAAUUGUAAUAAAGAUUCAAAGUGGUAAGUGAAGUUAGCGUAUUCAAAUAUGGUAAUAUGCUGUCGUCGAAGAAAUUGUCACAAAGAUUUAAGAUCUUCAGCUGCUUCAAGCUCCCAUUGCUAUCGUAAGCUGCAAAUGCAUAUGAAGUAUUAAUAUUAUAAUAUGCACGAGAAAUAUAUACAUAUACAUGUACCUUUGUUCUCAUAAAUGCCUUUAAGCCAAUUAUCAGAUAAGUCGAGGCUCUGCAAUUCUUUGAAAGAAUGAAACAGUGACAUAUUCAGAAGGGAAACUCCAUAAGAAUAAGAGUUAUAAUCAGAGAAGUUGAACAUUCUUAUCCCAUUGAGUGAGAGUUGCAUCACCCGGCGUGUGGUGGCGUUGCACUUAACUCGCUCCCAAUCAUCACAACAAUCAGACGACAUUCCAUCAUCAACCCAUGAAGUAAGAAUAGAGCCUUCAUAUUCCCUAUCACUGAUUGAUAUAAAGAAGCUCUUGAGUUCCAACAGAGCAGUCCUCUCUGUUUGCAAGCAUGCUUUGUAUCCAUGCAUUUCAUUCAUCAAAACAAUAAUCCAAAUUAGUGAAAUUAACGAGAACUUAACAAAGGAAGUACUUUCCAUUGCAAAGCAACUUUUCAAUUGGUCAAUAUAAAAUUUGCAAGGAGGAAACUUCAAUAUUUAUACUAAACAUUUAUCAUCGUGGACCUUGCAAUUUGAUUGGCUGAAGAUUACCAACCACCACCUAACGAAAAUGAAACAUCUUAGAGAUAUCAAGUAAUAAAAAUACUUGAUUAUCUUAUUUUUGUUUUAGAGGGUUAUUAAAGACAAAACAUUGUCAAUACAUUAUAACAUCGCUAUCUUGAAGUCUUCGUCUUUAGUGAAGACUUGUAAGCUUGAAAUUACAUAUAUAUUGCAACAUCGACCCAGGAGAAAAAGAACUUCACUAAUACUCCGUGAAAAAUAAAAUUAAAGUUCACUGACUCUCGAAUUAAGCCAACAAACAAGCGAGUGCAAACUAUAUUUUCUCCAACAGUUUGAUGGAGAUAGUCGUAACUAAUAAAAUAAAAGUUGUGUGAAAGAGUUUAAAUAAUUUAUCCGUAUAUUUGGGAUUAUAUUGGAUUAUCAGUUAAUCUAUUAAAUAAUAUGUUUUGUAAAGAAUUUGAUUGGAUGUUUGAUAAGUUUAAUUUAGUAGUUUAAUUACUCAUAAAAGUGUGAUGUACUCUAAAAUGACAAACACAUAAAUGUUAUUUGAAGCUUUUGUGACCCUUCAUGUUCAUGCAUUUGAAUCAAAGCUAUUAAAAUCAAAUAUAUUGAUAAACCUUAAUAAGGAAAUUAAGUUUCGAUUGCUCUCAAUCUGCAACUCGACUACUAUUACAAUCACUUGAAAUGACAAAAACAGAAAUUUCAUAUGAACUUGGGACAGAUGUACACGGGUUCAAUUUAGCUAAUUUCCCAUAUAUUUACAACUACGGGGAAAAUUAAAGCUGAUUGACUUUCAAAUUAAGCAACAAACAAGUGGCUGUCUACUAUUUUUCCUCUACCAAUUGAUGGAGACCGCCGAUGCUAUAAAACAAAAAUUGAUUAAGAAUUUAGAUAAGGAAAAUUAUCAACUGUCCGUCCUAAGUUUAUCAUUUAUUCAUUUUUCGCCUUAAGUUUACAAUUCGUAUUAGUCAUCUACUAAAAAGAUAGAAUUACACUUAUGAAAUGACAAUACAGAAAUAAGUACAAAUGGCAAUAGUAGUAAUUUUGUAUGAAUUUUUCUGUUCUUUUGGUGGUUGGUUGAUACAAAUUAAAAACAUAAGAAGAAAAAUAAAUAAAUUCAAACUUUUUAGUAUUUCUGAUAGCAGGUUAAACCAAAGGAGGAGGGCUUUAUAAUUUCCCUUUAAAUAAUUUAAGGGUGUGAUUGCGUUUCUAUUGAAUUGUAUGCUUGGAUUUGCAUUGAAUUAUCAAAAAAUCUAUGCAAGCAUCGAAUUGUAAUGACUGACGAAGACUUAUAAGGCUUGGACCAAUGAAGAAAAAUGCUUCAUUAAUGCUCCAUGGAAAACAAGCCAGCUUGGAAGCAGUUGAUCGGAUAGUCAACAGUUGAUUGAGAUAGUCAACUAAUAAAAACAAAAGUUAGUUGAGAUAAUUUUAAUAAUUUAAGCGUCGUUUGGGUUUGAAAUAAUCAAAUAAUUUAUUGAGAAGAGUUGAAUUCCGUUAUUUUAUUGAGAAGAGAUCCAUCACUCCCUCGCAAUUAUCACAGCAAUCAGACGACAUUCCUUCAUCAUCGUCAAACCAUGAACUAAGAGCUUCGUCAUCGUAUCCAAUAUCACUGCUGCUGAUAUGAAGAAGCUUUUGAUUUCUAACAGAGCAGUCCUCUCAGUUUCCAAGCAAGCUUUGCAUCCAUGCAUUUCAUCCAAAACGACAAUCCAAAGUAGUGACGUUAAUGAGAACUUAAUGAAGGAAGUACUCCCAUUGCAAAACAGCUUUUUAUUUGGCUAAAGUUAAAUGUGAAUUAAAUAUCUUUGACUGGUGAUACACAUAUAUUCAGAGAUUUGAAGUGCUCAAACCAAAAAAAUAUAAAAAUAAAAAAAAUUAUUAUAAAAAAAUUGAUGAAUAAUAUAGUUCCACGAAGUGCUAAUAUGGCUCUUUGAACUCUCUUUACAAGUAUAGUACAGUAUUGGUAGAAAUUUAUCCGGUAUGUACAAGGGCUUGUAUAUUUUGCAAUAAAAUAAACAAGCUAAUAUGAAUUUCUUUCUUUCUUUCUCUCUUUUUUUUUUUUUUUUUUUUAAGAAACAUGAAUUGGUUCGUCCAUCAAUUAAUAAUAAAACCAUAAUGUACACCGGUAUGAGUUUAUCUAAAAUCACCGGCUACACCAAUAUCAUUGUGACAUAGGAAGCGAUGAGGAAAUUUACGAAAUAUUUAUUAAACCAUAGUCUACGCCAGUAAGAUGGAAUUAGCAUUCAAUGAUCAUAGACUUUCUGCAAUUUCAUUGACUUGUGAUCAGGGAGUCCUUAUUCUACAAUAAUUAUAAUCAAACACGCACACUGCAAGGCAACCUUCAAUUGACGUAUUCUAUCAACUAACUGGGGACAGCCUUCACUCUGGACUUAAGACCGCAUGUCCGAGAAAUUCGUCAGAUUCAUGUAGCAAAUGAAUUGCACAAGGAGGCAUAAAAAUUAGUAUAUUUUUCAAUGACCCAGCUUGAAAGCAAUGAACUAAAAAUUAAUACAUAAAAGUUCAAUUACACGUAAAGAAGGAUAACAGUAAACUAUGGCCUAGCAAGAUGACGGAUGAAAGAAAACCAUGGCCAGCGCCAAUACGAAUUCAACCAAAGGAUUCAUCUUAAUUGCAGAUUCAUCUUCGUCUUCUCCUCGAUUGGAUAUUAUUGCUAGAUUUUCCUCUGUUCUGGUGCAACUCUUAUUAAUUGUUGGACCACAAAGACCCAGAUUAUAACUCUUUUCAUCAAACCUGCCAAAUUGUUUUUCGUCUGGGAUCAGACCAGACAAGUUCUUGUAUGACUCGUUAAAGUUGGAUAAAUAGUUGAUGAGUGAUCUGAAGAUCACUGAUCAGAAAUUUUGUCAUUUUUGUUUGGUAAAUUAUUCGUAAAAUUAUGGUCUACUCUGAAAUUACAAAAAUAAGCAUAAUAAAUUUGAAUAAAGGAAAUUGAGAAGGAAAACAUAGGAAGGCUAAAGAAAAAUAAGCUGAUUCAUCAGUAACUCAAGAUCACAACUUUUAGAUGUUUUUAGCCUCUGAAAUUUCAACAAAUAUUCAAGUGAUGUGAGGUUGGUCAAGGUAGAAGGAAAGUUUCCACUUAAUUGAUUAUUAGAAAUAUCAAGAACUUUGAGAUUGGUCAAGUUGUUGAGACACUGAGGAAGGUGACCCUCAAAGUUAUUUGAGCUUAGAUCCAACUCAAAAAGAUUCUUCAAAUUACAUAGUCCUGAACUUGAAAAUAAAAGAUCAAAAUUUUAUAGAAUGAAAACUAAUUAUAGCAAAUUCGAUCAAAAUCCAGUACAAGACUUAAAAAACAGACAAAAAUCGAAUUGCCUAAUUAUUUUGGUCAGCACAAAUAAUAAUAGAGUAAUGUGAACUUAUUUCUCAUAUAAUAUGAUGUUGAUUGCAAAAGCGUUUCAAUAAUCUGGAAAAAGGGGAAAAAAAAAAGCCCUCAGCACUUUUUGUUCAUCAUAGCCCGGAGUCCUUCUUGUUUAACAUUAUGAUUUUCUGAGGAAGAAUUUGUUCACUUGAUGUUGUUCAUUGGACAAUGGUUCUGUAACCUCUAAACCUAUUGGAUAAUGUAAAGAGAAAUUCAUAAUAUUUUAGUUGUCUUCUUAAAUAAUAAAUUGUCUUAAAAUACAAUUAAUUUGUCUUAAAUUUAAUUUAUUCCUCAGCAUUCAAAGAAAAACAAAAGCAAAAAAAAGAAAAAGAAAAACGAACUGGUCUUCAUAUAUAAUUUUGCCCAAGUACUUUGAUCAACAAAUCAUUAGGAAGGUGGUGUAUCAGUGAUGCAAAUAUUUAAUUAUCAUGUUUCAACAUAACAAUUCUGUGUAAAUGGUUCACUUUAGGUUUCUAGAGAACUGUUUAUAUUAUUAUUACUACUCAAAUUCAAUGCUUCCAAGUAUUUGAAUUUAAUUAGCUAAUCCUGUAUCAAGAAUUAAUGAACAGAAGAUAAAUGUCAUAUUAGUUAGAUUUAGAUUUUUUUUUUUUCCAGUUUUGAUGUAUAGAUAUAAAUAAUACUUUUAAAGCAUUGAAAUGAAAGAGCUAUUAAAAAAACGUUUUUCAUUCAAAGCUAUAAGUAAUGAAAUGAAGAUAGAUAUCAUUGUUGAUUUAAAAAUAAUAAUAAAUUCACAAAAAAAAAGAAAGAGGGAAAGAAAUGAGCAGGUUAUGUUAGAAAAUAGUGAUAGAGUAAGUUAAGGACUAAAAUUUAUUAAAGAAAGCAGUGGUUCUAUUUGAAAUUUGAUCAAGUUAGAAUUAGUCAAUUAUGCAUCGAGAAUCAAAAGAAUGAAGAAUGGGAAUUCAAAUUAGACUUACAAAAUUAUAAUAAAGUGAUUAGUUAAGAUCCAAUUAAGCUGAUUUACUAAAAAAAAAAUUGAAAAAUAAAGGGCCAUAACAUUGCCAAAAGGACUAGGAAACUAAGUAGGAAGGGGUGAUUGUUGCAGAAUACCUUAAAGUGUAGUUAUUCUACAACCACGAAGACCAAUUGCUUUCAAUUAUGUCAAAUAUGCCAAUCCUACAUCAAUAGAAAGCAAAAUGUUACUUUAAAAUUAUUUCAGUAGCUUACCUAGCCUUCUUAAAGCGCCACUUGUUAGAUUUCCAGAUUAAAUCCAACACUUGCAAGUUUCUCAAAUCUGCUAAUCCUACUCAGUAAACAUUAAUUUUGAUCAAAACAAUAUGCUUGAUUGAAUAUAAAAUUUAUGAUUAAACCAAUAAAAUUUAUUCUACUUGAUUUUUGUACAAUUUGUUUUUCACUUGAUCAACGGUUUUAUUCCCUUAAAAUAAAUGAAUUAAAAACAAUGUUAAUUGUUUUAUGAGUUAAUAAUUUUAUAUUAAUUUAUUUAUUUUACUUUCUAUUUAUUAGUCUUAUGAAUAAUUUAUAAGAUUUAACAAUUUUAUUAUAUGUAAUAUUUAAAAAAAUACUAUUAGCAUUUAUUAUUUAAUAAAUCUAUUUAGAUAUUUUUUAAAUUGUUAUUGAUGACAGAGUUUGGGUCAAUGGUCAACAAUUAAUAGUUACUACGAUUUUUUUUCCCUCCCUUUCUAAUUGAUAGAUUUCAUGUGUUCCGAAAACGAAGUUUAGAGAAAAAGAAAAGGAAAAGGAAAAAAAAUGGCUGUGAGGCCAAUUUCCCAGGGUCUUGGUUGGAAUGCGCGCAUGUACACAGGCUGAAGCCAGCAAGAUGGUUGGUAUCAAACAUAUAUACCUUGCUUGAUUCUGGAACCUUCAAUGUUAUUGGAACGAAGAUUCAGAGUGGUAAGUGAAGUUAGUGUAUUCAAAUAUGGUAAUAUGUUGUCGUUGAGGAAAUCACCACCAAGAUUUAAGAUCUUCAGCUGUUUCAAACUCCUAAGGCUGUCGUAAGCUGCAAAUGCAUAAAAAUUAUUAUCAUUAAUUAGUCACUGACAAAAUAAUUAUGAAUGAGUAAUACAUACAUAUGCUUGUACCAAUUAUCAGCUGUUUCAACCAGAGACUAUAGGUCGGGGUAAUUCUCCUGAAAAAUUAUUUCUAGACAAAUCCUGCAUAUAUAACUCUUUCAUCUCACCUAUUGAAUAAGGAAUAUCACCUUCAAAAAUAUUUUUUGGCAUAUCCAAAUAAAUCAAUUUCUGAAGGACAAUACCCAUAUUCCGUGGUAGCUUACCAGCGAAAUUGUUAUUGGAACUAUCUAGAUGACGAAGCAUAUCGUGUUUGGCAUUGGGAAGUAGAUGAAGAAUUCCUGAGAGUGAGUUGUUCGCCAAAGACAAAUAUUUUUAUCUUGUGUUGUUUUGGAACAACCAAAUUGGGAAAUUGCCAACCACCUUAUUAUUAGAGAGGUCAAGGAAUAUUAAGUGGUACUGUUGUAAAAGAAAACUAGGAAUGACAUGUAAGUGGCAGUCGGAUAAUUUGAGAACCUUCAAUUGAGAUGUGGGGUGCCAGGUUUCAGUUUUCACUUGUAACAUAUUGCUUCCUGAUGAGAUUAACAAGACCUCGAGCUUCGAAUGAUUAGCCAAUGAAUUUAUUGAGAUUGUUCCUUGGAAAUUAAUGGAAAAGCGAUCUAAAUAUUCAAGUGAUGUGAGAUUAGUCAAGGUAGAAGGAACUUUUCCACUUAAUUGAUUAUUAGAAAUAUCAAGAACUUUGAGAUGCGUUAAGUUGUUGAGACACUGAGGAAUGUGACCCUCAAAGUUAUUUGAGCUUAGAUCCAACUCAAAAAGAUUCUUCAAAUUACAUAUUCCUAAACUUGAAAAUAAAAGAUUAAAAUUUUAUAGAAUGAAAACUAAUUAUAGCGAAUUCGGUCAAAAUCCAAUACAAGACUUAAAAAACAGAUAAAAAUCAAAUUUCCUAAUUAUUUUGGUCAGCGGUUUUAUUCCAUUAAAAUAAAUGAAUUAAAACCAUGUUAAUUGUUUUACGAGUUAAUAAUUUUAUAUUAAUUUAUUUAUUUUACCUUCUAUUUAUUAGUCUUAUGAAUAAUUUAUAAGAUUUAACAAUUGUAUUAUAAGUAAUAUUUUAAAAAAAUACUAUUAGCAUUUAUUAUUUAAUAAAUCUAUUUAGAUAAUUUAAAAAUUUGUUAUUGAUGUCAGAGUUUGGGUCAAUGGUCAACAAUUAAUAGUUACUACGAUUUUUUUUUUCCCUCCCUUUCUAAUUGAUAGAUUUCAUGUGUUCCGAAAACGAAGUUUAGAGAAAAAGAAAAGGAAAAGGAAAAGGAAAAGGAAAAAAAAAAAUGACUGCGAGGCCACUUUCCCAGGGUCUUGGUUGCAAUGCGCGCAUGUACACAGGCUGAAGCCAGCAAGAUGGUUGGUAUCAAACAUAUAUACCUUGCUUGAUUCUGGAACCUUCAAUGUUAUUGGAACGAAGAUUCAGAGUGGUAAGUGAAGUUAGUGUAUUCAAAUAUGGUAAUAUGUUGUCGUUGAGGAAAUCACCACCAAGAUUUAAGAACUUCAGCUGUUUCAAACUCCCCAAGCUGUCGUAAGCUGCAAAUGCAUAUGAAUUAUUAUCAUUAAUUAGUCACUGACAAAAUAAUUACGAAUGAGUAAUAUAUACAUAUGCUUGUACCUUUAUUCUCAUAGAAGCCUUUAAACCAAUUAUCAGAUAAGUCAAGGCACUGCAAUUCUUCGAAAGGGUGAAACAAUGACAUAUUCAGAAGAGAAACUUCAUAAGAAUAAAAGAGUUAUAAUCAGAGUAGUUGAUUUUUGUUUUCUGAUUGAGUGAGAGUUGCGUCACCCGUUGGGCGGUGGCGUUGCACUUAACUCUCUCCCAAUCGUUACAACAAUCAGACGACAUUCCAUCAUCAUCAAAUCAUGAAGAAAGAACUUCGUCAUCAUAUCCAACAUCACUGGCUGAUGCGAAGAAGCUCUUGAUUUCCAACAGAGCAAUCCUCUCUGUUUCCAAGCAUGCUUUGUAUCCAUGUAACUGAAUCAAAGCUAUGCCAAUCCACAAUGACAACUUCAUCAAAAGCAUUUUCAUUAUUAAUAUUAACUGCGAGAGAAACACUCACAAGAUUUACCUGUCAAUUGUUGCUCUCUUGAAUUUUUUCUGGUUCUCUAGCAAAUAUAUGACUUACAUAUACAAUGGCAGUUUUGUGCAGAAUGAAAAUUUUGCGCAUUUUCACGUGCCCUGUCAAUGAGAAAACAUGCAUUGAUUGAAAAAAGUAAGCGAGAGAAUAUUACCUGUUGAUACAUGUUAUCUGCUUGUGACUUUAGUACCGUCCAAAGAAAUUGAAAUGUGAAAUAAUUGAAGAUGCAAAAUGGUUGAUUUCACGGGCCUGGCCUUUGGCAAAGCGAAAUGUUAGCCACACACUUUACCAGUCAAGUGUCAACAUUUGUAGCAUAAGGAAAUUGCGGCAUCUCAGCUGGAUUUUGAGGGUCGCUAUUUCGUAUAUCAGUCCCAUUUGUUAGUGGGGACUCACACUCUGUCCUAUAGUGGGCUCACAAAUAUUUAACAUAAUUUUGAUAAUUACUUAAACCGCGUUUCCUUGAUAAUUAAAGAAAAAGAGAAGUGAAUGGAGUAAAAGAUACUGAUGACCGUAAUUAUGCAAAUAAAUACAAGACUUUACAGUAGAUUAGACCACCAAUUGUGCUUUUUCGUCCAAUAAUAAUGCAUCUGCUUUAACACGAUACGAGUGAACUUAGGCUUAUCUUUCUUUCGCAAUGUAAAUUCUUGCCAAAAAAUACAUGUUAUCUACUGGUGAAUUAGUUUGAUAAAAUAAAGGCUUAAAGUUUAGUUGAGUAAAAUGUUGGUGUAAAGAAAUUAGCUACUGGAAAAUCACCAAAUGCUUGUUAAGGUAAUAUACAAUUGCAAUUGAACAUCAAGUGAUGGAAACAUCAAAAACCCCAUAAAAAAUUAAACAAAACCAGUUGCAAUGCAAAUAAACAAGUUUUCAGUUAAGAUGGCAGAACUAAUUCCUUCACAAUCAAGUGUGAUUUCUCAAUUUGUUCUAUUUGCCCAAAAAGACAUGGUCAAGUAUCUGAAAGCAUUUUUAUUUAGUUGACUAUUCGAGUUUGAAUUUGGAAUAAGAGGUUAAAAAAUAAGUUUUGUCUUUACUCACCUCUUCCUUUAGAAAAAGAAAAAUUUUAAUUUUUUAUCAAGCUCACUUAAAUGCAUCAUGUGCAAAUCACGUGACAUCUUGAGCUACCAUGUAAUUUGGCUUGAUAAGUGUUUUCUGUUUCUGAAAACGAAAAAUAAUAAAAUGGAAAUGCCUUUAGCUAUUGGCUAGACAUUUUCAGAAACGUUUUUCGUGAACAGCAAAGGUUUUUGUAAAGAGGCAUUGAGCGGUCAGGCUCUUGUCGUGGCCUGCGGCCUGCAGUCCUCAACAAUCCUCAUUUGGCCUCUUUAUAAUCCACUUUUAAUAAAGUAUAGAUAAAAAUAGAUAUAUUACCGGUUUUCAAAUUACACUUAAUAUUAUUAAAUCUUUAGACGGAGCUUUAAAUCUAUAAAUUCAAACUUCCAACAUAUCAUAAAUUAUUUUUAGAGCCCGCAUGUUGGAUUGUCUCAUUUAAGUUUCACUUUGAUUUCUAACACAUCAUUCAAAUGAGUUGCUAUAGUAUAUCUAGCUAGUUUUGAACAAAGCAAGUGAGAAUAUUACAUCUGCUUUAGCAAGAAACGAGUGAAUGAAAACAUUUGACCAGAUUCAAGAGAGAAAAGAAUGUUGAAAUAUUGACUUGAAUAUUAUGGUAAAAUGAGUUUGACUUUAGUACCGACCAAAGAAAUAAUUGAAGAUGCAAAUUGGUUAGUUUGACGUGCAUGGCUAUUGGCAAAGUGAGAUCCAUUGGAUCCUCGCGUGCCUGCCCCACAAAAGUUUCUCCCUAACAAUCUCCAUCAAACCUCUUUAUAAUCCAUUUUUGAUAAAAUAUGAAUAAGGAUACAUAUUGUUUGAGGGAAAAAUAGGAAAGGUAAUAGAGCGCCACGUGUCAACCAAUGGAAUGAUUUCAGCACAAUCGGAGGUAUCCUCCACAACCCGAGGUGCCCGGCAUGACUUGAGGUACCCCGUAUAAGUAGAGGUACCCUGCACAAUUAGAGGUAUCCCACACAAAUAGAGGUACCCCAUAUAAUGAGGUACCCCAUACAAAUAGAGGUAUCCCAUACAAAUAGGGGUACCCCGCGUAAUAGGGGGUACCCCGCGUAACUCGAGGUACCCGGCGAAGCGGAUGUAAGAGAAUCCACCGAACAUAUCCCCAUGAGAAACGUCUCCGCCUCUUAAAAGAUAUUAUUUGAUUUUGUCAGAAUUAGGAAUCAAGAACGUCGUAUCAAAAGGGGGGGACAGCCGCCUGCUACCUCUGCCAAAAGUGAAGGACACUGUCCCAAGGACAGUGGUCCCCAGCCGCCUACCCAACAGCUACUGCAGAGGUACCCCGGACCACUCUCCAGCGCGCGCCAUGUUUCCAAAAGAUGAGAUACGCCGCGAACAUGCAUAUAAUGGCCCGAAGAAUCAUAAAAGCGGUAAAAGGACGUUAGCCAAAAAGGGUACGCCACGUGGCAGCUAAGGUACUCCGUAUAUAAAGGCGCCUAGGUUUCAUUCUCCAGGAUGCUCUCACUCACCAUUAACACUCACACUUCAAAAAAUAGGUUUUCUUCAACCUUAGACCCUAAUUUACAGAGGGCUAGCCAGCUCUCUUUGCCAUAAAAGCUUGAGUUUGCUAACUUGAGCGUCGGAGUGUGAAUGCCGGGGUACCCCGGCUUCACCUCUAACCUCCAUUUCACUGUUUUGCAGGCGUGAAGCUCAUUUUGGAAGGACAUCUCUCUUGUUUCUGACCUUCCACCAUUGUUACCACUCUCUCUCUCAUUUUCACCUCCCCCAAAUUUCAGAUGCACCGCACACAACAAACCAGUGAGGUACCCCAUCUCCCCCAAAAAUAUAAAUUCAUUGUUUAAGAUAGAUUUUGGCUUUUCCUACCCCAAAAUCAGUUGAAAACAAUUGGCGCCGUCUGUGGGGAGCUCGAACAAAAAGCCUCUUCCGCGGUUACCAAACUAGUUGUUGUGUGUACUCCAAUACAUGGCACCCGACGUACCUCCCGAAGGUUUAAUGGGGGAUCCUACAAGGAUGAGAGAUGACAGCAACAGUGAAUGUAGUGAUCCCGCAAGAAGGGUAGCCCGCAUCAGCAAGGGCAAAGGUAUCAAGCAAUCGACGGGUGUUCGCCAAGAAGAGGAACCUAUUUCGCACAAGCGCUUUAAGGAUCUUGCCCACACAAUACUUAGGGCGGUCGGAUCUCGAGCACCCGAAAGUUCGCUUCCACCAGUGACGCUAGAAGCUCCACCACCUCAAACGGACGACCAAGCUAUGGUCAGAAGAGGGGUACCCGAGGCCAGCAAGCUAAAGCCUAGGCCAUCGGGUACCCGUUCUAAGUUUCAAACCGUGGGCUCUCGCGACGAGCGUUCCACCGCCUCUUGCAAUUCCCACAGCAGCCAGGGUACGAGGCGUGCAAAGCGUACCCACGAGGAUCUCCGUGAGAAGCUAAACGCCAAAAGGGCUUCUCAAAUGGCGGCGACAUCAUUGGGUACACCGAGGGUACCCCUCGAACUUGUGGAAAAGAUGGAGAACCUAGAAGCCCAAGUGAAACUCCUCUCCGAGAAGCAAAACAUCACAGCUGCACCAACGCCAAUGACCUACCAGUCACCAUUCACUAUGGAGAUUAGGACGACAGCUCUCCCCGAGGCGUUCGCCAUGCCUCAGAUACCCCAAUACUCGGGUACCAGUGAUCCCUCAGAGCAUGCUGAGUUAUACCGCGACCAAAUGCUUAUCAAAGGUGUAGAUGAGAGCGCCAUGUGUAGGAUGUUUACACACACACUCACGGGCCCCGCGAAGUCAUGGUUUCGCUCUUUAAAAGCGGGUAGCAUAUCUUCCCUACACCAAUUGCUAUCCGAAUUUACUAAAGAGUUUUCCUAUGCAUCCACUCAAGAUAGGGUAGCCUCCAAACUUGCCUUUAUCAAGCAAGGGGAAGCCGAGCCUUUGGCGGAGUAUGUGAGUCGUUUCCACCAAGAGGUGCUGCGAACCGGAGCAUUUGGAAACCAAUACACAUUGACCCAUUUUGACAAAAAUUUGAGGUUGGACAAGUUAUGACGUUCUUUUCAAAAGAAGCGCCCACUUUCAUAUGGGGAAGCCCGUUCCCGGGCGUUGCAGCAGGUGGAGAUGGACGAAAAAUGUCAAUUGAAGCGCCAAGAAGAUAAGGCCGAUGUUACAAAGAACAAGGAGAAGCCCAAAAGGAUGGAGGCCCCAAUACCGAGGGUACCACAACCACGGAGCCCUCCACGGGUUGCCCCGCGAGGACGGGGGUACAACCCUCUGGGUACCUUAAGGGUACCCCAACCUCCAAGACCGCCACCACCGGAUCAGCGAGAGCCACCACCGAGGCCUCGGUACGAAUCUUACCACCCACUGAAUCGAUCCCCAGAGCAGAUCUUCUACCAUAUUCGGGAUAGCGGCCUCCUCCGUCCUCUUAAGCCAAUGAAGAAGUACCCCAACAUGAAGCGUAGCCUGAAGUAUUGCGAGUUCCAUGAAGACUUUGGUCACAGCACAGCCGAAUGUUCCACCUUGCGAGAGGAAAUUGAAUCUUUGAUUCUCAGCGGGUACCUCAAAGAAUUUGUUGCUGGCAUGAGAGAAGCUCGGAAAUCCGCGGAGCAGGAUAAGGGCAAAUGGGUAGCUGAUGGCAAUCCUGAACGAGAAGUACCCCCUGGACAUAAGAAAGGCGUGUAUGUUCGGAUGAUCAUGGGCGGACCGACUUUGGCGGGCCAAUCUAGGAGGGCUAUCAAAGGCUAUGGUAGAUCGUUGUCGAUAACCACCAAUAUGGGCAGAGAAGUCAACCUUAAUGAUUGGGAUACACCAAGGGUACCCCACCAUCCCCCGCCUAUCCUUUUUACAGAAAAAGAUGCGGAGGGCAUCUCGUACCCCCACGACGAUGCCUUCGUAAUCACGUUGAAGGUUGCUACUGGUAAGGUAGCAAGAACUCUCUUAGAUACCGGCAGCUCCGUUGACAUCAUUUUCAAAAGCGCCUUGGAUCAACUAUUGAUUGAGUCGCCAAAGAUCACCCCAUAUGCUACGCCUCUUAUUGGGUUCGCUGGAGAUAUGGUUAAACCAAAGGGCAUCAUUACGCUGCCCGUUACACUUGGUAAGGUACCUCACCGUGUUGUUCAUAUGAUUGAUUUUCUUGUUGUAGAUCACCCGGGUGCCUACAAUAUUAUAUUGGGUAGGCCGUUCUUAGUAGCAACUAAAGCGGUGGUAUCCAUGCACUACCUCGCCAUGAAAGUCCCGGCCGCCCAAGAAGUUAUCACCAUUAAAGGGGACCAGCAAUCGGCUCGUGGAUGUUAUUCCGUGGCCUCCAAGGUUACUUACCAAAUAGCUUCCGAUCCGCCAAUGAAGGGGUACCCCAGUAGCAGCCAGCCCACACCUUCCCCCUCAAAGCGAGCACUUGCUAGACAGCGGGGAGCAGUACUCAAAAAAUCUCCUCAUGUAGACCACCCACGAAAACAGUUGGAGUCUUCACCAAUGGGGGCAGAAGCAGUUACAGGGGAUAGCUCGAGGGUACCCCACGGGGACCAGGAGGAGCCUAGAUGUGAAGUUGAGGCACCUUUGGAUCCCCGAAUAUUGAAAGAUGAAAAGCGGGGUACCCCAGUUGAAGACCUUAUUUCAAUCUUGAUUUGUGCCACCGACCCAACAAAGACAGUGAAAGUAGGCUCCAACCUCUCGGAGGAACAAAGAGAGAAGCUCAUCACCUUCCUACGCGAGCACCACGAUGUAUUCGCUUGGUCCCACUCGGAUAUACCGGGUAUCCCACCUUCCCUCUCUUGUCACAAACUCAAUGCCAGCCCGCAUAAUAAACCGGUCAAACAGAAGCGUCGCGCCUUCAACCAAGAGAGGUACGAUGCAAUUGAACAAGAGGUAGACUGCCUAUUAGCAGCAAGAUUUAUCUAGGAAGCAGUGUACCCCGAUUGGGUAUCCAAUGUUGUUCUUGUCAAGAAAUCAAACGGAAAGUGGCGUAUGUGUGUGGACUUCACCGAUUUGAACAAGUCCUGCCCCAAGGAUAGCUUCCCGCUUCCCCGGGUGGACCAGCUGGUUGAUGCAACAGCGGGGCAUGAGAUGCUUAGUUUUAUGGACGCCUUCUCCGGGUACAACCAAAUCCCGAUGUAUGAACCCGAUCAAGAGAAAAUGGCCUUCAUCACCAACCGGGGGUUAUACUGUUAUAAGGUUAUGCCGUUUGGUUUGAAGAAUGCCGGGGCCACCUAUUAGCGGCUAGUAAACAAAAUUUUCAAAAAACAAAUCGGGCGCACCAUGGAGGUGUACAUAGACGACAUGAUCACCAAAUCAGUGCAUGCGGGGGAACAUCUGGGGCACCUUAGAGAUACAUUUACCGUUUUGAGAAGACACCAGAUGCGGCUUAACCCUGAAAAAUGUGCAUUCGGGGUCACCUCGGGAAAAUUUCUUGGGUUCAUGGUACAACAACGGGGAAUUGAGGCCAACUCCGAUAAAAUUCGCGCGGUUCUUGACAUGAAAUCUCCACGCACCAUCAAGGAGGUUCAACGCUUGGCAGGCCGGCUAGCUGCCCUAAGCCGCUUUAUCUCCAAGGCUACUGACCGAUGUAAGCCUUUUUUUCAAAGCUUUGAAGACCGGCAAGAAGCUCCAAUGGACACCCGAUUGCGAAGAGGCUUUCCAAGAACUGAAGGGGUACCUCGUGAAUGCUCCACUACUUGCCAAACCUGAGCCGAGAGAGGUGCUUCUGUUGUAUCUCGCCGUAUCCGAGCACGCCACCAGCUCUGUGUUACUCUGAGAGGAUGAUAAUGGGGUACAACGACCUAUCUACUACACUAGUAAGGCUAUGGCUGAUGCCGAAAAGAGGUACCCCACCUCUGAGAAGAUCAUUUUGGCAUUGGUUAUCUCCGCACGGAAGCUCAGACCAUAUUUUCAGGCUCACACCAUUGCGGUCGUCACCAACCUUCCCCUCCGGCAAAUCUUUCAGAAGUUAGACAUGUCCGGAAGGCUUCUCCGAUGGUCCCUCGAAUUAAGCGAGUUCGACGUCAUCUUCAAGCCUCGUUCGACGAUUAAAGCCCAGGUCAUCGCUGAUUUCAUUGCGGAAUUCGCCAAUGACUCAAGUGGUGAAGGUGAUCUGAGAUACCUGUUAGAUACCCCACCCACCGAUGAAGAGGAACAGGUCUAGGAAAUAUAUGUGGAUGGUUCCUCUAACUCACACAGAAGUGGCGCGGGAGUUAUUAUAAUUGACCCAAACAAGGUGAAAAUAUGCUACGCCCUGCAAUUCGGAUUCAAGGCUUCAAACAACGAAGCCGAAUACGAGGCAAUCAUAGCGGGGUUGAGGAUGUCGAAGGCUUUGGGAGCAAAAAGGGUACACGUCAAGAGUGACUCACAGUUGGUGGUAAGCCAGAUUACCGCGCAAUAUCAAGCAAAAGAAGAAAACAUGAAGGGAUACCUCAGAAAAACCAGAGAGUUGAUGUCCCAAUUUUGUGAGGUUAAGGUGGAAAGGGUACUCCAACUGGAGAACAGUGAAGCCGACACCCUGGCAAAAAUGGCAUCCCUUGGGGUAGCUCAGUUAUCUGGCCCCAUUACAACAGAAUACAUACCCGCACCCAGUGUUGGUCUCCCAGAGCCAUUGGAAGUAGAAUCGUUGUCCAACGAGGUGUUUUGGAUGGAGUCUAUCAUAAGGUACCUCAAGGACGAGGACCUCCCCUCAGACAAAAGUGAAGCAAAAAGACUAAACUACAAAGCCGCGCGGUACUGCCUGAUCCAGGAUACCCUAUACAGAAGAGGGUUCACUCUUCCUUACCUUAAAUGCUUGGGAAGCGACGAGGCCGAGUAUGUCAUGAGGGAGAUACAUGAGGGGAUUUGUGGCAAUCACUAUGGAGCACAAUCACUGGCGCAAAAAGCUCUCCGUCAGGGGUACUAUUGGCCAACCAUGCGGGAAGAUGCCAAUAAUAUGUCAAGAUACCUGAUAUGCCAAGAUCGUGAUGAUCUAUGUAAAGCCAAGAUGGGCAACAGAGGGAACAGCCCAGGGGUAGCCUUUCUGCGGAAGCAUGACCGAGCUACCUAAACAAAGAGAGGGAGGGUCAAAGAGGACCCGAGGGUGAAGGAAAAUCGUCAUACCCUAGCGACACGAGGUUCGGCUUAGGUAUGAGAAUACCCACACCUCCGUUCUCGUACUUGAGCAAAGUAGGGGGUAAGCUAUUCAAAAAUUCGGAGAGAACUUCGAAAGAAUAAGAAAUUGAUUGGUUGGACCAAUUGCGCACUUUCAAUUUUUGAUCGAGAUGUCGCGAUGAUGUUUUGAUUACCUAUUUGUGGGAAAUCCGCCAAGGUUGCCGAGAAGGGCAUGCACCAAAUUCGCCGAUCUGUGUAAACCAACAGGCGCCUGAUGUUGAAUAUUUGUUAAGGUACCAGGAGUACCCCAUUUCAAAAAAAAAAAAAAUGAGAGGUACCCUAAGCAUUUACAAGAUAACAGUUUAGCCAAGCAUUCAUUUACAGAAUAACAAGAAUGCAAAGUAUAAGAGGGCUCGGUGGCAUAGUAUCAUAACAAAAGUGAAGUCCCAAUCAUACAAAAUAUCUCAGGAAACCAAAAAGAAAGAAACAAGGUCCAAACAACAAAAUGUGGAUAGAUCCGAAAAAACAAGGGCACAGUGAAAAGGCUACACCGAGGGGGGAACGCCAUCCCCGACAUCCGUCUCCAGAGGGCGAUCUGCAGAGGACUCCGAGGUACCCGGAAUAUGAGCAGCCAAAGUAGGGGCAUCCAAGGCAGGCAACGGCUGAAGCGCACGGGGUACCCUAGGCGACCCGGAAUGGGUACCCGACCGUGCCUGAGAAGAUUUCUUCCUUUCUGCAAUCGUCUUCAGAAUCGUAGCCUUGUUGACAAAUUUCUGCACGCGGGGUACCUCUAAUUCCGGAUCCACACUCCACACCUCUGUCAUAAUGAGUGAGAAUGCAUCCUCCGCCAUCGUCUUUUGUCGGGAUAGCAGAUCCCCGUUGGUGGCCCUCAACUCCUCAGACCUCACAGUCCUUCUCCACCCGAGCUUUCUCUCCCGACAGGCCAGCAAUGCGUUCUUGCAAAGUUUUAACUUCUCGAGCAAGCUGAUCCUCGCAAGACUAACGGCUUUGGAGCUCACCCCUUAACUUGUCGACCUCUGACUGGGCGGCAACGAGAGAGUCAAGGUCUGGAAGGCAGUGGCUGAGGAGAAAAGAUGCAUGCGGGUCAUAAAAGACAUGUUAAAUAUAUACGUGUGGCAAUAGGAUUAAGUAAAAAAAAAAAAAUUGAAGGGUACACCCGGGGUACCCCGGGAAAGCCUACCUCUUAGGUAGCCCUAAGUGCUUGACCAUAGCGUUGGCUCAAACUCAUCUUGUCAGUCUCCUCAGCAACCUCAGAGGUAACAUUUUCGGCGGAGUAGUAGAAACAGCGAGCUAAGUGCGAAACCUCCCUGUUGGAAGCCGGGUCUAGGUCACCUUCGCGCAACUCCUCGGGGAAAGCGGAAACCAGCCCGAAUUUUCUCUUCUUCGAGCGAGGGGUACCCUUCGACCUGCUGUGGGAGGUACCCUGAGAUUUCCCCUUUGGACCGGGAGCUCGAGGAGGUCGGGAGCCUUUCGGGGGUACCGCUGAAUCCUGAGAUCCGGAAGCACCGCCCACUACCACUUGGAAAAAGGCGUCGAAAGCGUCACCCGCCGAUUCCAUAACUGCACCCAAUGCACAAAAGUCAUGUUAGCCGAAUAAGUACUAAAUACUACAAAAGCAAAAAUAGGAAAUGAAAAGCGGGGAAGCAAAAUAAAGACGCGGUGAUAACGGGGUACCCCAAUCCCGUAGAUAAUAAUAGGGUACCCCUCGACACCCGAAUCAUACAUGAGUCACCUCCAGGAGCAGGUGGAGGACUUCGAUCGAUCAGCCCCGCUCUCCAUAAUCUACUCUCCUCCAGCACAUCACUACCCCUCUGUGCACCUCGAAGCCUAUCCACAAACUUCUUCACCUCUCUCCCCACCUCCUGAACUGGGCAUGACCCUUUAGCCCAUGUCACACCUGCGAAAGAAUGAAAAACCCAAGGUUAGCGAGACAUUCAUGUAAAAUAUUACGAUAAAUAAUCGUAAGUAAGAGAGAUACUUACAGUCUACAUUGAAGGAAUGAAGAACCUCCAUGGGGUUGCCCUUUUCACUCAGAGUCUCUGUCCCCCACCUACCCUCAGCGACAAACCAUCCCUUUUGGUAACCCUUCUUCAAGGCGGGGUUCCCCUCAACGAUGUGGCCAUGAUCACCCCAAUGGGAGAAGUAAGCAAUGCCGGGACCCUUAGGCUUCUUGAAUUGGUAAAGGCCUCUCAACUCCCGAACAGAAAUGUCGUGCUUCACGACCUCCAACCAUAACACAUGUAAGCCCGUCAGUGUCCUCCACCCUGGAAGGGACAGCUGUCCAGGAGCUACCCCCAAAUAACUAAACAUUUUCAUAAAGAAUGGUUGGAGGGGCAGGCGGAGUCCUGGAUCGAAGAGGUCGAUAUGGAGAGCAAUCCCAUCAGACUGUGGACACUCGGGUCGCUCAUCCACAUGGGGUACCCUAAGCUGGACAGACGGAGGAAUAUUGUAUUUGGCUCUAAUUUUCUCUAAGUCCCCCAAAGUGGCCCUCCUAAUGCCUAAGGAAAAAGGGUUGCUAGAUUUUGAAGGUAUGGCAGGGGGAGAUUUAGGCUGCUGGUCCGAGGAACGAGCUGGAACCUUAGGUUUGGUUGACUUACCCUUCUUUCAAGAAUGUGGGGUAGGCCGUUUACUAGGAAAGCGUGGGCUGACACGAGGGGUACUCCUAGGAGGAGGGAGCUCAGAACGAGAAUUGCAACUCCUAGAGGAAUUUGGGGGGGACCGAUCCCCCUCGCUGAUGGAGAUGUGGGAAGGGGAACCCGCAGGAGGGCUGUCAACCCUACUAGCCCCAACUUUACGUCGCUUCCUCGGGGGUCCCGUGUGUUUCUUGCCCAUCUACUUUCCCCCAACAACACAUCCACAAGUCCCCAACAAUACACCCAACAAUACAUCCAACGAGCCGCAUGUUCCCUAAACAAUACAUCCACAAGCCCCCAACAACACAUCCAACAAGCCACAUGUUUUCCAAACAGCAACAUAUUCAUACCAAGCACCACCCACCACACAUCAACCACCAAAUGCAAACACCAAUCAACAAAAAAAAAAAAAAAAGAGGCAACAAAAACAAAAAUAAACUUUUCUCAGAGUAUGUAAAAUAGCGCCACUGUGAAUGUGCCAAAUGAGGAGAAACAAGGAAGGAUACCUGUGAUUCACCAUCUCAGCAGAUCGGGAUUGAUAGUCGUGGGGAAAUAAAGCUGCAGGAAACCAAAAAUAGUAAGUAAAAAAAAAAAAAAAAAAAGCCUGGAGAUAAAAAAAAAAAAAGAGGAGCUUGGAGAUAUAUAAAAAAAAAAGUCAGAAUAAAAAAAAAGAAAUGGAAGAGCUUGGAUAAAAAAAAAUGGGAGAAGCCUGGAGAUAAAAGAAGUAAAAAAAUUAAAAAAAAAAUAAAAAAGAAGGAAGCUUGAAGAUAUAAAAAAGGAAGCCUGGAGAUAUAUAAAAAAAAAAGUGAGAAAAGCCUCCAGGAUGAUGUAGAAGAAAAAGAGAGGAGCAUGGAUAAAAAAAAAAAAAAAAAAGAGUGAGGAAAGCCUCCAGGAUGAUUUAGAAGAAAAAGAGAGGAGCAUGGAUUAAAAAAAAAAAAACAAGGCCACAGGAAGAGACGAAGAAGCAAAAUGGGGGGUAGAAGAUGGCUUACCACAAGGAGAUCACUGCACCACCAGCCGAACGCCGUCGUCACGCCACCAGAACCGCUCGGUAGACACCGCCGUUACAAGGCCGGCCAAAAAAAAAAAAAGAAAAAGAAGAAAAAAGGAAGAUGAAGAAAAGAGAAAGAAAAUGAAAGUGAUAAAAAAAAAAAAAAGGUGCGAAAGUUGCCUGGAAUGAAUUAAAGAAAAGACAAAGGAAGAAAUGCAAAAGAGAAAGAAAAUGUGACAGUAGAAAAAAAAAAAAAAAAGGGAGAUGGAAGACGAAAGGACAAGAAGAAAAAAGUAGAAUAAAGAAGAAAAAGUGGAGAUGGGGAGGCGUUAGAAUUUGGAGAAAAAGAUGAAAAGUUUUUGGGGAUGGCAAAAUGAAAGAGAAUAAAGGGUGAAUGAAAAAAGGUGAUUUAUUAAAAAAAAAAUGAAGCUGGUGAUUGAAAUGAUUUGAUUGGUUUUUGAAUUUUAAAAGCCAGAGCAAGCAAGAAGCCACUGGAAGUAAUGGGAGAUUAUGUUGGGAUUUUCAAAAUAAAUGAGAGAAGAUUGACACACGUUAGGAGUUUUAAUUCAACCUGACAGAACACGUUGCCCAAGAAAGGAAUUCAGGGAUGUUUUUGUGAGAUUGAUAUUUUCAAAAUUCAAACUACAUGUCAGACGGCUGCCACUUCCCGAGAAAAAAGAGAGAGACACAUGAAGAAAACUGUUCGUUCUCAUCGUCCAAAAAAAAAAAAAAAAAGGAAAAGGCAAAGACAAAGAGAAGACUUUUAGUUUGAAGUACACAAAGUUUAGUCAAGGGAAGAAGCUAAGCAAGGUACCCUCCGGUUCAGCCGCGUCGCCACGUGUCACUCAUACAAUGAGUUUCUUUUGCCUCCAAUACUUCUCGCCAAAAAGAAACUAGGGGGAUGUUGUUUGAGGGAAAAAUAGGAAAGGUAAUAGAGCGCCACGUGUCAACCAAUGGAAUGAUUUCAGCACAAUCGGAGGUACCCUGCACAACCCGAGGUGCCCGGCAUGACUUGAGGUACCCCGUAUAAGUAGAGGUACCCUGCACAAUUAGAGGUAUCCUACACAAAUAGAGGUAUCCCAUACAAAUAGGGGUACCCCACGUAACUCGAGGUACCCGGCGAAGCGGAUGUAAGAGAAUCCACCGAAAAUAUCCGCCAUGAGAAACGUCUCCGCCUCUUAAAAGAUAUUAUUUGAUUUUGUCAGAAUUAGGAAUCAAGAACGUCGUAUCAAAAGGGGGGGACAGCCGCCUGCUACCUCUGCCAAAAGUGAAGGACACUGUCCCAAGGACAGUGGUCCCCAGCCGCCUACCCAACAGCUACUGCAGAGGUACCCCGGACCACUCUCCAGCGCGCGCCAUGUUUCCAAAAGAUGAGAUACGCCGCGAACAUGCACAUAACGGCCCGAAGAAUCAUAAAAGCAGUAAAAGGACGUUAGCCAAAAAGGGUACGCCACGUGGCAGCUAAGGUACUCCGUAUAUAAAGGCGCCUAGGUUUCAUUCUCCAGGAUGCUCUCACUCACCAUUAACACUCACACUCCAAAAAAUAGGUUUUCUUCAACCUUAAACCCUAAUUUACAGAAGGCUAGCCAGCUCUCUUUGCCAUAAAAGCUUGAGUUUGCUAACUUGAGCGUCGGAGUGUGAACGCCGGGGUACCCCGGCUUCACCUCUAACCUCCAUUUCACUGUUUUGCAGGCGUGAAGCUCAUUUUGGAAGGACAUCUCUCUUGUUUCUGACCUUCCACCAUUGUUACCACACUCUCUCUCAUUUUCACCUCUCCCAAAUUUCAGAUGCACCGCACACAACAAACCAGUGAGGUACCCCAUCUCCCCCAAAAAUAUAAAUUCAUUGUUUAAGAUAGAUUUUGGCUUUUCUUACCCCAAAAUCAGUUGAAAACACAUAUAUUUAUCCAAAUAUUAGUAAAAAAUAGAUAUAAUGCUGAUUUUUAAAUUUUACUUAAUGAACAUUUAGACCGAGCUGUAAGUCUAUGAAUUCUAACUUCUACAACACCACAAAUUAUUUUUCAGCCGUAUGUUGGAUUGUCUCCUUUAAGGCUGUGUUUACUAAACUGGAAUGGGAAUCGAAACGGAGAAAUUGGAAUGAAUAACUUGUUUGUUUGUUAAAUUGAUGCUAGGAAUGGGAAUAAGGUGAGCGGGCUCCAAGGUCUUGAAGAGGAAAGAUCACUAUGGCUCCAAGGUCUGGAAGAGGCAAGUCCAAUAAAGCCAAGGCUGACAAGAAGAAGAAAGAAGAGAAAGGCUUCAUUUAUUAAUCCUUAUUAUUCACUUCUUUCAUUGGAAAGUGCUUUUGCUUUCUAGCUUCCUUAUGUUCAUUGUUUUUUUAUUGUGCAGUAGUGCCCAGUGUUCUUGAUAUCACAAUCAUCACCCCAUAUGAAUCACAAGUUGUUCUCAAGGUAUACAUUUAUACUUAUUAUUAAUACUUUCUUGUUUUGCCCUCACCAGCUAUGAUUAGCAUUUUAUUUUUUUAAACUUUAUAAAUAUAAAUGAAUUAUUAAUUAAUCAUCUUUUUUUUUGUUUGAUUGAAAUUUGCUCAAAGGGCAUCUCCACUGACAAGAUACUUGACGUGAAAAAAUUGUUGGCUUCCAAUGUAGAAACUUGCCACCUCACAAAUUAUUUUCUCUCUCACGAGGUAUCUAUAUUUUAUUAUCUCUCCCCCCUUUUUUUUUAUUAUGAUUAUGAAUAAUGAUAUUAAACAGUAGAUACUUUUUUUUUCCACCUUAUUUUUAUUCGUUUAUUUCUUUAUGAUAUUAAUACAAUAUUAUUAUUAUUAUUAUUAUUAUUUUAUCAGGUCAAGGGGCAGAGAUUGAAUGAUAGAGUAGAGGUUGUUACUCUAAAACCAUGUUUGCUCAGAAUAGUUGAAGGUAGGUGCAUCUCUCUCAUGUCAAAUUUUCUGAAUUAAAAAGUCCCAUGCAUGUGGAUGUGGGUCUCAUUUUAUUUGUUAUUUUUAAUUAUUAACAUUUAGAUCUUUUUAGUUGUGCAUUCAUUGCCAUACUAUUUUAGUAAACUACAUUCAUUUUAUUUUAUGUUUUUUAAGAAUUUUUUAAUUCGAAAUAAUUUUUUUAAUAUUGUUGAAAAAGACAGGUUAAAGUAAAAAAAAAAUUAUUGACUAAAUAAAUGACAUUAUUUUUUUUUAACAUAAAAAAAAAACCAAUUUGAUGCCGUCCACUUAGUCCUGCACACUUGGAACGUUACCAUGCUUUUUUGUGCUGUACAUUUGGGACUUAACUGUCCUUGUCAUUUCAAGUAAAGGUUGAAUCCGUCUCAAAAGUACAAUAAGAACGUGCAUUUAAGUAACUGGCCUAAACUUUAGAAAUUUCAGAGUUAUAGUUUACGCAGGUGACAUCUAGGACCAUUAUUAGUUUAAUCAUUAAAUGACAAAAUUUUGCCAAUGUUGAGGGGGGUACUUAAAAAUGCAAGCAUCUAGUCCUUUGCCUCUGUUUUGAUGCCCCAAUUUUUUGCUUCCUAGAUGCUCUGACUCACUCCCUCACAUCUCACUUGUGCAAACCAAGGAAGAAGGAAAAAUUAUUAUUUUCCUUUUAUAACACAAAAAACAAUAAUUCCUUUUACUGCUCCAUGUUUAUUAUUUUAUUCUAUUUUUCCAGAAUCUCUUUUUAUCAAUUAAAUUUAUGAUAUUGAUAUUGAAAAUUUGGUUAAAUCAGAAAAACUUGUUCAUAUUUCUGGUCAAUAUAAUACAUCUCCUGAAAGGUGAAAAUAGGCCAAAAAAAAAAAAAAAGGAAUGACGAUUUUUUUUUUUUUACUUUUUUAGGCAAAGGGUCGGAGAUUACAAUGAAUCUAUGUACUUGUGGAAAUUUUUUUUAAGGCAUAAAUAAGUGCAACUUGAGAGCAUUUUGUUUUUGUUCCACUAUACAUUUUAUACAAACUGCCGCCUUAGAUUGAGUGCAUCACUUCAUUAUAUAAUCAGUAAAAAUUAAUUAUAUAAAUGGAAUCAUUCUCUAUUACAAUUAUUCGACUUCAUGAAGUAACAACUGAUGUUUUUUACCACAUUGUCAAAAGAGUUCAACUUUUAUUUUAUAAAGUAUAUAUAAAUAUAUUUUAGAAAUAACUAAUAUGAUAAUACAACAUAUACAAGAAAAAAAUAAAACAAGUUUUAGAAUUAGCAGAUUAGCAUUGUUAUAAGCAAGAGUUGUCUCUAACUGCAAUAAGCUAGGCAUGUUUCUGAAGUUUGUUUCACUAGCCUUACCAAACUUUUGCUAGUUGAUAUUCAAAGUUUUUUUUUUUUAAUUUUUAUUUUUUAUAGUCAAGUGUAUCUAAUUAAACAGUCAAUCCAACAUGAAGACGACUUUGUCACUUUAUGGUCCUAAUUAUCAACCAGCUAUUAAAGUUUAAUCUAUUAAAAAAAUAUUAGUUGGCAGAAAUGUAAACAAAGCAAGAACAUUUGCAGAAGUGUAUUAUUUCUGAAUUACUAACUUUACCAUGAAUAAUUAAUAUGAUUAGAGGUUAAAAAAAUUAUUUGUAAAAGUUUAUUUAAAGAGCGAAAAUUUUAUUUUUUUUAUCCUUUUUUAGUUCUUAUAAUUAUAAUUUAAUCCAGAAGUAUUUUAAUUAUAAAAAAUUAGUUUGAAAAAUAAGUUUGAGGAAUACUUUAGUGCUUAAUAAUUAUUUUCUACUUAUAAUUAAGUUAAUAUUUAAUAGAAAGAACUAAAAUAAUAAAAGAAAAAAACUUUGCCCGGCAAUUCCUUGUUAUUUACAUUUUUAGCACAGUCCUGUGCAGAGGACUACACCGAGGAAUCUCAGGCCGUGGCACACGUGCGGCGGCUUCUCCACAUCGUCGCGUGCACCACACGGUUCUCCAAGUCCAGAAACUCCCGAUUGCUGCCAUCGUCAGAGUCAUGUGCCAAAAAGAACGGCAGUAGGCACCACCCGCCUUCACCAAACUCUGCCGCUCUGUCUGAUGGAGCAGCAACAGCAGCAGCAAAUAACCGAAGCGGGCCCCGCGCUACGUCAUCGCCAGUUUCAUCGGCGGUUUCUCCGAGUCUGGACAUGGCGGCCAUUCACUCAACGCGGAAACUCUCCCAGUUUUAUGACUUCUUCUCUUUCUCUCACCUCGUUCCCCCCAUCUUGAGUAAGCCUAAUGUCCAUUUAUUUAUUUGUCUUCGUUUUUUACAUGGUCGAUCAAAAAAAAAAAAAAGAGGAAAAUGAUAUAUAUGUGAUUUAUUUGAAUAUGAAAUUUGUUUAUUGAUUUUAAGUUUUAAUAAUUUUGAUUUUGAAGAUUGAGAAAAUGUGAACGCAAAGAAGGAGAGAAGCGCGACGGUGAUUAUUUUGAAAUUCAGGUGCCAUUUAAUAUAAAAUUCUGAUUAUUGUUGUUUGUUGUUUAAGGACUAAUUAAUUGUAGAGUUAUUCAAUUCGUUAUUUUUGUUGAUGAAUUGGCCAAUGAGUGUUAAAGAUUUAAUAAUCAUUGUCUGCUAAUUAAUAAGAAUGCAUGAAUUAUUUUCAUGUCUUUGUAAGUAAUGUGAGUAUUUGAAAGCGCGGGAAACUGUAUUUUGUGCUCACAGAUAAAAAUCUGCAAUGGAAAGCUUUUACAAGUAGUUGCAUCAGUAAAAGGGUUCUAUACUUUGGGAAAGCAGUUUUUCCAAAGCAACUCCCCGGUGGAUCUUCUGCAAAAUCUCAGUCGAGCUUUUGCCAAUGUGGGUACUCAAUAGUUGAAUCUACAGAUUAUUUUUUUCUUUUUUAUCUGAAUGCAUCUUUUUUUCCUCUGUAAAUUCAAUUAGCUUACCCAUCAAUUGUUUUGUUAAUAAUUAUGGUCAUUAUGCGUGCCGCAGGCAUAUGAAUCCCUAAUGAAAGCUUUUGUUGAACAUAAUAAGGUAACAAUUUCUGUGCUGACAUAGUUUAUUACCAAUUCAAAUGUGAUUUUAACUUGAUUUUACUGAUAUAGUAUAUUCAAUAUCCUUCUUCAGUUUGGUAAUCUUCCCUACGGAUUUCGAGCUAAUACAUGGCUUGUACCUCCAUCUGUUGCUGAGUCUCCAUCAAAUUUCCCAUGCCUACCGGCAGAAGAUGAGAAUUGGGGUGGCAAUGGCGGAGGCCAGGGAAGAGAUGGAGAACAUGAUUUAUGACCAUGGGCGACGGAAUUUGCUAUACUGGCUAGGCUUUCUUGCAAAACUGAAGAAGAGAGGGUGGUUAGAGAUCGGAAGGCCUUUUUGCUUCAUAACCAAUUUGUUGAUGUCUCAAUUUUGAAAGCUGUUGGAGCAAUACGCCGUCUCAUUGAUUCAAAUUUACAUACUCAAGAUAUAAUCAAUGUCCAAAAGAGGGCAAUCUUGCAUGAAGAUCUUGUGGGAGACUUGCCCAUUACAGUAAAACAUGAUACAGUAGAUGCAAGCUGGAUGUCUGAGGUUACUAUUAAAGGAAAUCAGUCAUCUGGUAUGUCUGCUGCAGAAGUUGCUCAAAGGAAUUUACUAAAAUGUGUUACUGCAGAUGAGAGUGUAAGUCGAUUUCUCCUUUACUUUUUAUGCUUAUGUUCACAGAACACACACAUAAAAGACAUUCAUCAAUGCUGAAAUUACUUACGUGGGCGGAAUAAUAUAGCUCUACCUUUGUCAGGGAGUGAUUUUUCAGUCGGAUUAAGAUGUUUCCCUCUUUAUCUGAUAUCUGGCAUUUGAUGAUGGCCUAAAAUACCCAUCCUCUUCACUCUCUCUUUCUACACAUUUAUGAAUGCACAAGAAAGUCAAUUUUAGGUUCUUUCCUGAGAAUCACUACUCGUUACUAACCUUAUAUAUCUGGUUUAGCUUCAGGAAUCUUAUGUUGCCUUUCUGUUUGGUGACUCCCUAUUCUGUUGAAAUCACUUGAUAGCAGGUCUUUCUACUCAUUUUAUCCAUAUCCCUCUGAUUUUCUACUCGUAGUUUACUCCAGCUUAAUGUCUUGGGGAAGCCUAAUAACCUUGGUUGGGCAUGCUUGUAUUAUAUCAACUAGUGAUACAAUUGCUAAAGUUUUCAGCAUGGUAGAUCUUGAAAUAAAAUUUUCUUGAAAUAUCUAGAUUUAUUUUUCUCAAAAUAUCUAGAUUUAUCUUCCUUUUCUUUUUCCCUUUCUUUUAUUUUAGUUUCAAAGAUUUUGUGAUAAAGAGAACUGAAACAAUAUAGUUUUUUGGUAGGAUACCUCCUCAUUGGGUACUGUCAUUAUAAGACACUGUGGAUACACUGCUGUAGUAAAGGUUGUUGGUGAUGUGAAGGAGAGGUUUGGCACACGAGAUAUUGAAAUUGAAGAUCAACCUAAUGGUGGAGCUAAUUCUCUUAAUAUUAACAGGUGUGAAAUUGUAACACAAUGCUUCUUUUGUCGAUUCCUCUUAGCACACAAAGACUAGGAAAUCUACAGAUGGAGAAUGGCUGUAAGAUAUGAAAAAUUAUCUUUCAACCACUAACAGUUUUAAGCUAUUCUGCAAGAUAUCUUAGAAAUACUAACUGGUAUGAGCUUCUUUACUUAGUGUCUAUCACAGUUGAAUUCAUGAUGCAGAGCAUUGUUAUUCGCUUUAUUUUUACUAGAUAGAACAGGAUUGAAAUGCUGGUGUUGGGGAUUCUUAAGAAAGGAUAGCACCUGUUCCUUUUUCUUCCUGUUUGGGAUCUAAUCAGUAGAUGUCUAAAGGGCGGAACAAGUCCCUAAAGGGCGAACCGUAACAUCCUCCCCCACCUAAUCUCGCGGCGUCCUCAUCGCGAUCUUGUCCUCGCUCCUUUAGGGACUUGUUCCGCGAUUUGCUGUUAGUCUUCUUGUGCUUCACUCUUGGGGAGGUUCCGCCACUUGCUCCGCAUGUGGUCGUUUCCUUCUUUCGGUUGGUGUUGCGGCGGCCCCUCUUGUGUUUCCGCAACCCCUUAUGCUCAGAUGGCUUUGUGCGUUGCUAAACCACUCGUCUCGGUGGGAGCUUCAGAGGCAUGGCGUCCUUGCCUUUAUCAUGGACGGCUCGUGCUUGUUGUGGGACUUGGCUUGGAGGGCUUUUGGAAUCCUCUCCCUUGUGGUGUUGCCGGAUGGAGACCAAGUGGUCCAGAUUCUUCUUGAAUCCUCGUCUACAUUGCAUGACCGAGAGCGCCUUUUUUGUGGGUUGUGCGCGCUCGACCGGUAGCACGCAUGCCUUACUCUCAUCGAAGAUGCUAAGGGAGUUCAUUGCUGGAAGUGGGAAGGCAUGUACCUUGUCGAAGAAUUCCAUGCCAAGGAUCAUUGCGAAGUCAUCCAUCGGCACAAUUGAGAAGUCGAGCUUCCCAUUCCAUGUCCCAAGCGUAACGUGUACGCCUCGCGUGGUUCCCGCAAAUGGCUUGGUAGGUGAGUUUACAGCCUUGAUGGUGCCUCCGUGCUGCGUUACCUUGAGGCCUAGACACUUAGCCUCUUCUUCGGAGAUGAAGUUGUGCGUUGCUCCGGUGUCAAGGAGCGCACGAACGGUUUAGCCAUUUAUGAGCACACUUACGAACAUGAGCCCUUUCCUUGUAGGUGCUGGCGGUUGGCUCACGAGUGUGCUAAGAAGUUGGAGUGAGCCCAAGUUGUGUUGGGGUUCCUCCGCAGUCGGUGUGUGUUGGCCCUUGAGUUGUGCCACGAGGGCAUUAAGCGAUUUUUUCUCAGGGUAGUCGCACACCCAAUGAGGGCCAUUGCAAAUGAAGCAUGGGCUUCGAGACUUGGGUGGCUUCUCGGACUUACUUCGCCCGCCCUUACCGCUUGGAGGCUUUUUCUUGCACCACUCCUUGCAAUUGCGGUCGUUGUCCUCAUGGCUCUCUCCCCCACCUUGAUCGUAGCUAGACUUCUUAUCCUUGAGCUGGGCGGAGUAUUCGGUGAGCGAUUCCGCAAUAGCGAUGGCGUCGUCAAGUGUUUGAACACCCCGCCUAUCGAGCUCAAUCUUGGCCCAAUCCUUGAGGCCAUCUUGAAAGUAGAAGAGCGAAUCCUUGUCGGACAUGUCGCUUAUCUCCAACAUGAGGGUAGUGAAUUCGUUGAUGUAGUCCCGCAUGCUACCCGUUUGUUUGAGGCGACGUAAGCGCACUCGCGCUUCCUUUUCCGCAUUGCUUGGGGCGAACUGCUUUCGGAGUUCUUGCUUGAAGUCGGCCCAAGUGUCGAUGGUGCAAAUGCCCUUGCCCAUCUCGCCAUGCUUGCGAUGCCACCAUAGUUGUGCAGCGCCUCUAAGAUAGGUGGGUGCAGUGCCCACUUUCGAUGCCUCAUCUUGGACACCCAUGGCAUCGAAGUAUUGAUCGAGCCCAAAGAGGAAAUUAUCCACGAUUGUGGCGUUGCGUGUGCCAUCAUAGGUGUCGGGCUUUGGCACGUCAAUGCGGCGCGCAUCACUCGAGUUUGCGGAAGCUGGACUUGCGGAGAGUGUGCGCUUGUGCCAUGCCCAAUCCGAGCGGACUUCAUCCACUUCCGCACGGACAGCGCGUAGUUCGUUCUGAAUAAAAUUACGAAGUUUGAGCAACUCAUCAUGGAAAACACGAAACUCACCUCGAAGAGUGUUCGCUUGCUCUUGGAUGAGAGCUUUUGUAGCCAUCAUGAACUCGGCAUAUUCCCCCUUGAGACCGUCCACUCGUUCCUCCAAUCCCUCGAGGCUAUCUUGAGCGGCGGACAAUGUGAUUUCGAGAGUAGUCACACGAGGCUCCAACGCAUCCAUGGAUGGGGCCUUGGACUUGCCGCGAGUCUUGCCUUGGGCACGUUCUCCCUCUUGGUCGCGGCUUGGUUUCGGUGGAACAUUCACACCAACAACACCCUCUUGUGCUACGUUCGAAGGGUUGGCCAUUGCUCGUGAGCUAACUUGUGUGCGUGCAAACCUUAGCUCUGAUACCACUUGUCACGGGAUGAGUAUUUUGCGCAGCUAACCCGUGCAGUAAUUAGACAACUUUGCCGAAUGUUGCUAAGUAAGCCUAGAGCUUCUCGAACUAAAGAAGAGAGCAUUGGAGCCGAAUAAGAGAAAUUGUAUUGUACAAAGAGAGAUUACAAUGCUUGAGUUGCUUACAAUGCUUGUUGUAGUGUUUGUUGGAUACAAAUGCCUAAUGCCAUCCCAUAUUUAUAGGGGAGGCUUGCCAAGCUCUAGAGAUUCUAGAGAAUUCAACCAUUUCCUAGCUAUUUACAUGUGCUGGAAUUCUAUGGAGAAUUCUAGAGUAUUUACAAGCUCAUUUGUGCUAGAGUUGUCUAGAAGUUUCCGGAAUUGGGCCAAGCUAGCACUCUUGGCCUUGUGUUGGCUCUCUAGCCAGAAAUUGUGGGCAAUUGGGCUAGCGAAUUGGGCGGACCGUAACAACCUGCUCUUUUUUCUUUCUGUUUAGAUGGGAUCUAAUCAAUAGAUGUCUGAACUCUUAAGGGGAGUUGAUGUCAGAUUUCUAAACCAGGUUUUCUUCAAGUGUUAAGUUUAUGAAUAGGCCAAAGAAAAGAAAGCUGAUAUCUAGUUAGGGAUAUAUACUCCUCUUUCAGCAUCCUGUGUUCCAGAAAAUGGUUUUUCCUCUAUUAAAAUAUGUGUGAGAUCCUUCACUGUAAGGGGAUGCUUCACCUCUGCAUAGUUGUAGACCACCUAAAUAAUAACGAGUGGUUGCAGGAAAUCAUGGCUUUCACAAUAAUGGUUGAGUGUUUAUAGUUAUGUGCCCUGACAUUGGUUUGUAAUUGUUAUAUUAACAAAAUAACCAACAGACAUCAUUGAUGAUGUUCAAAUAAAGGAUAAAGGAAAGUAUAAUUACAAUGGAUCUCAAUUGCUGAAAUAGGUCAUCAGCUUUUUAGAUUGUGCUAUUUCAGAAAGUAUUUAGGCCUUCUUUGGUGGAUUCUGCCUUUGUUUCAUAUACUCUUAUGUCUUUCUCCAUUUAAGUUGUUCUGACAGGGUAAACUAUUUAUUGCAGCUUAAGGCUUGUGCUUCAGAAGUCUUUCAGUGCUGAAUCGGCUAGCGGAGACCAGUCACCUCUGUGCAAUUUGGAUAAUUCAGAAGCUUUUAGAAGUCUUGUAAGAAAGAGUUAUUAAACAGAGUUUAGCAAAGUUAGAGCUGGAGCCAACUGCUUCAGAAAGAUCUAUUAGAUGGGAACUUGGUUCUUGUUGGGUGCAGCAUCUACAAAAACAGGAAACUCCAACAGAUACCAAGUCAAUGAGGUAUGGGGAUUAUAUUAAGACUGAACAUGCUGUCAAAGGUCUUGGGAAGCAAUUUAAAUUUUUGAAGAAGAGGGAGAACAUACCUAACCUUGUUGGUAGCAUUAAUGAGGCUAACGAAAAUGACAAUGGACCGUGCAUCAUGAAUGUGGGAGGUAAUGGUAGACAGUAAAGCAAUGGCGAGCUGAAUUAUGAGAUGGAAUUGAAAAAACUAAUUUCUGAAGAAUCCUUCUUGCGAUUGAAAGAAACUGGCACUGGUCUUCAUUCAAAGGUUUCAGAAUCUCAAAUUUGUUUUGUAUUUCAACUGUAAAGUUUGCUUCUUUUUGUGUUUUCAUUACGCUAAAUUUGGUUUGUUUUAUUUUCAUAUGGAAUGACUGGUAAAAUUAAUUUCUUGUGCAGGCAGUGGACGAGCUUAUGAAAAUGGCAUACAAGUAUUAUGAUGACAUUGCUUUACCAAAGCUGGUACUAUUUAAUUUAUUUAGGGCCUUUGUUGCAGCCAAUUUAGACGUGUGGGGAUGGUUUAUGGACUAAUUUCCAUUCUUUAUUAGGUAACAGACUUUGGAUCACUUGAACUUUCUUCGGUUGAUGGCCGCACACUGACAAACUUUAUGCAUUUAAGGGGACUACAAAUGCGCUCUUUAGGUCGCGUGGUGAGGAAUUUCUCCCUCUCUUUCUCUCUCAGACAUGCAACCUAUUCACCCGUGGAAAUCGGAAUAAACAAAUUUUGUCUUUCUUUAUGUAAACAAAGCCCCUAAGUUAUCUUUCUAUAUGUAAACAACCUCCCCAAGUCUUCCUGGAUUGAAUUAUCAAUGUUCCUUUUUGAAAAUUGUACUACAUGAUAGAAUUUUUGACAUGGUUGACCUUUUCCAAAAUAUUGAAUUAUUGUCGUCUUUAGAUAUUACUGUAUGUUGUAUGACAUUACUGUAUGUUGUAUGACAUACAAUAUUUUGAGAAAUUGACAUGCUAAUACUUGAAAGCCUGGUAUUCUUCUUUUGUUGGUUCUAAUCCCAUUUACAAAUUCAGGUUGAACUUGCAGAGAAACUUCCUCACAUACAAUCACUUUGUAUUCAUGAGAUGGUUGCUCGAGUGUUCAAGCAUGUACUUAAAGGAGUCAUCUCAUCUGUUGACUAUUUAUCAGACCUAUCUGCAGCUAUAGCUUCUUCCCUAAAUUUCUUAUUUGGCUGUUGUGAGAUGGAAGAUGACCAAAGCUUGAAUGAAGAUCAUAUCCUUAGAUUGCAGUGGCUACAAACAUUUCUUGGCAGAAGAUUUGGUUGGUCCCUGAAAGACGAGUUUCAGCAUUUGAGAAAGAUUUCAAUUCUACGUGGGCUUUGCCAUAAGGUAAGGUCCUGUCUUUUCGGUUCCUUUGGCAGCGGAUUAUUUUCAAAGCUUGAAUUUUUCUUCUAAACUUUACCCAGGUUGGGUUGGAGUUGGUUCCAAGAGAUUAUGAUAUGGAAUGCCCAAACCCAUUCACGAGAGAUGAUAUUGUCAGCAUGGUUCCUGUGUGCAAGGUGAGACUAUUUUCUCUCUUAAUUGUGUUUUGAUUUAGUUUUUACAUUCUCAAUGAGUCACUCAUUUGUAAAUUGAAUGUAAUUGUGCUAUUUUUAUGGCAUUCUACAGCAUGUAGGUUGCACUUCAGCUGAUGGACGGACUUUAUUAGAGUCAUCCAAAAUUGCCCUUGUUAAAGGAAAACUAGAAGAUGCUGUAAAUUAUGGGACAAAGGUAAUAACCCACUCGAUCUAUACGUAAGAAUUACAUUAUUCUUUUCAUAAUAAGGCAUCUCUUGAUCUCAUAUGUGUUAGCCUAAAGGGCUAAAUAUAAUGUAAUUUUGAUGAUAACAAACAUAUGUAUUGAGUGAUUUAAUAAAUAUUGUAUUUUACAUUUUCACUAGUUUUUGAAGGAUAAUAUUUAUGCAAGUGAAUCAAGUGAAAUCAAGAUUGAAGACACUCAACGGACAACGGCGACAUCAAGAAUAGUCUAGAGCUCAACGAACAAAUUAGUGCGAUAAAUUCUUGUAAAGCCGGUAUGAUUUAAUUGAUGCAUGAUUUAGCAUUUGAGAAGCUCAAGAAAUUAAUUUAAUUAAAUACUUUUCAUAAACUAAAAGUCUUUGUUUUUAUAAAGAAAAGUAUUUUGUGAAUUUAAGUAAUUUGGACUUAAAUGCUAAGAUUUGAAAUCUUUGUUUUUAAAUAAGUAUUAAAUUUCGGAGUUGGAUGUUUUUAUAAACAUUUGAACUGUUUUGGGCCAUACUAUAAUUUAUGAAUAUUUUGGACUAAAGUGAAAGGUUUUGAGAACUUUGAAAAAUAUAGGUAUUAUGUUGAAAAGGACCUUUGUGCGAAAUAAUAAAAUCUUUGGGGUCAUAUCAUAAUUUCAGAAAGUUUGGGAAAGACAUCUAUUUUUAGGAAGUUCUGAAAUUGGACAUAUUUGUAAAGUUUUCUAACGUUUUGGGCCAUAUUAUAAUUAUAGAAAGUUUUGGGUCAAAGUAUAAUCAAACGGCUAACCGGAUAAUCAAGCGGCUAACCGCUUGAGCACGGGUUUUUGGCUAUAACGGCUAGUUUUUGGGCUUUCACUAUAAAAACUCAACUCAAACUUCAUUCUAAGGACUAAUACAAGGAAAAACAAGAUCAUCAUUGAGCUAUAAUUUGUUAUUCACUCUUAAAGAGAGUUUUAUUGUUGUGAAUUUCAUUUCUCAUCAAUUUGUGAGUGUACAAGUGUGGGAAACACUUGGGGUGAAGAGAUUGGGGAUAUAAUCUCUUGUUGUAAAGGUUCAUUGACACCUUGGAAGUCAAUUGUAAACAUUUGAAGCCUUGGGAGGCUUGGAUAGUGAAAUCCUCAAGCCGGGUGAGCUUGGAGGCGUGGACGUAGGCGGGGAUAGCCGAACCACGUAAAAAUCCUUGUGUUCGUUUUUCUCUUCCCUUACUCUUUUAAUAUUGUGCUUGAUUGAAUUUAUUGUUUUGAUUUGAUUAAGGCAAUAGAUUAAAUUGUUGUGCGAAUUGUAUUGCAUAACUUGCAUUUCAAUAUGAUGUAUUACUUGCAUUGUAAGGCACUGGCAAGGAUGAUAGCUGUUUGUGGUCCCUACCAUCGGACUAUUGCAAGUGCUUACCGUCUUCUAGCUGUAGUUCUCUACCAUACUGGAGACUUUAAUCAGGUACGACAAUCUUCAGUUGUAUUUCAGUGUUAACUUGGUGAUUCUAAGUCGAGUAUAAUUAUAACGUCAUUCUGUACGGAGGUUCUCAUUCAGUGGGACAUUUGAUUUGAAACUUUGUUAUGGCUAGUUUUUAUGGUCUUGUAUAAAUAUAUGCAUUAGGAAUUAUAAUUUUCUGGACUUAGGAAUUACAUGUACAGGCAUUAGCAUAAUUUUGAUAUCAGAUUAUAUAUUUUAACUAAAUCAAACACGUUCAUGGUUCUUAUAUUCUGGCAUUUGGUCUAAUGGCAUCCGCGUCUGAGUGUUAAGAGUAGCGUUCGUAUGUACUCAAGAUAGCUUCUUUUUCAUUUUAGGCAACUAUAUAUCAGCAGAAGGUAUUGGAUAUUAAUGAGAGGGAACUUGGUCUUGACCAUUCAGAUACAAUGAAAAGCUAUGGGGAUCUUUCAGUUUUCUAUUAUCACCUUCAACACAUUGAAUUGGCUCUUAAGUAAGUAGCACUGCUUGAUUUACCAGAGCAACUUUGUGAUUUUCAUUCUUUAACUGAUUAAGGUUUAUUUAUUCAUAAAUUAAAUUGGAAGUUACGAAAAAUGUGACCUUUGUAUUGAAUCUGCUUCGAACUAGUGCAGUUUUUAUCUACCUACUUUAGCUUUUAUUUGUCUUUUAUUGGCUCUAGCUCCUGAUCAUACCGUACCAUUGGCAGAUAUGUAAAUCGUGCCUUAUUCCUUUUGCAUUUUACUUGUGGACUUUCACAUCCAAACACGGCUGCAACAUACAUAAAUGUGGCUUUGAUGGAAGAGGGCAUGAGAAAUGUUCAUCUUUCUCUUAGAUAUUUGCAUGAAGCCCUUAAAUGCAACCAAAGACUAUUAGGAGGUGACCAUAUACAAGUUUUUCACUCUCUAUUUACGCACGUAUACACACUCUUUAGAACUAUAAAUCUUUUUGUAAACUCAAAAUUUUGUUUGAUUUCUUCAGGUGACAGACAGCUGCAAGUUAUCAUGCCAUAGCCAUAGCUCUUUCUUUAAUGGAGGCAUAUUCACUAAGUGUGCAACAUGAGAAAACUACACUUAAGAUUCUCCAAGCAAAGCUUGGACUAGAAGAUCUGCGUACUCAGGUGACUACAUGUAGUCAUAUUUUAAUUGGUUCUGUUGUGCAAUUUGGCUAGUUGGCUUCUCUCUUGUCAAUCUUUUACAGGUGAUAUUAUGAUAUAAAACAAAUUGUAUUGGAGGCAUAUUUUUGGUGUCAAAUAUGGAUAUGACCCAUUCAUUAAUCGUAUCGAAAUAUCAAAAUACGGAUAUGACCCAUUUAUUAAUCGUGUUGACUUGUUUAAUAUUAAAUACAAACAAAUUAAAAAUUAAUUUUAAAAUAACAAAUGUGUCAAAAAAAUGAGUUAUAAAUAAGUUAAAAUGACAUAAGUAUGACAUGAAUAAGUUUAUAACAUAAUGUGAGUAUGACAUGAGUCAUUAAUUUAGUGUUUAGUAUAUAUUUUAGUUUUUUUUCCAAUAAUAUUAAAACAUAAUAAUUGAUAUUUGUGUUAUAAACGUGUAACCAUAUUGAGAUGGUCCAGAACAGAUACGACAUGGUUAAUUGUCGUGUUGUGUCAUCUCAUUUAUUAAUCGUGUCAAUAUUUGUCACCACGAAUAUGGGUCAUAUGUCAUAUUAUGUUGUGUAAUCGUGUCGUAAUCCAUUUUGCCACCUCUAAUCUUAACUGUCAUAAGAGAAUUUCUCAAGUUCCAUAUUAUUGAUGGGAAGAGAUUUUUGUUAUUUUGUUGUAUUUUUUUUCGUUUUACAGGAUGCUACUGCAUGGCUGGAGUAUUUUGAAUCAAAAGCUCUAGAGCAGCAAGAAGCGGCACGGAAUGGAACUCCAAAGCCAGAUGCAUCCAUUGCAAGUAAAGGUCACGUUAGGUAUUAACAGGGUAUUCCCACAUUACUUGUUUCUAAAUUGUUGAUUAUUUCUUGUGGCACCAAGACCUAUAAUGAUCACUUUUUGCAGUGUAUCAGAUCUCCUGGAUUACAUUAGUCCUGGUCAGGAUUCUAAAAGAAGCGAAGCACAUAGGAAACAACGACGUGCAAAGGUAGUAUAUACUUAGUGCCUGUUUAGUAUGACUUAUCUAGUAAUCAUAAAUUUUUAUUGAAUCCCAUAAGCUGUUAUCAAUUUUCUUUUUGUUGUUUAAUUGUUUUUUUAGUAGAGCUCUUGAAAAUUAAAUAAGUUCUUUUGCCUCUACUACCAAAACCUCAAAUUUUGUGCUUUUGAGAGUAGAGGUUAAAAAGUUUUUUUUAAAUGUUAAAAUAUCUAAAAUAUUUUCUACUUAUUUGACAAUCUUAUUUUAUUCUUUUCAAAACAUAACUUUAAAAAAUUUGCUUAUUAAAGUAAUUUUAUAAUUUUUAAUAAAAGCUCUUAUUGACAACCAAACAACACAAAUUUUUUGGGUAAAAACUUUACUUAUAAAAUUUUUACUAACAAAAGCUCUACUCAGAUAAGAUCUAUUUGAAAAGCUAUGUCAAAUGAAGCAUUAAGCCUGCUGCUGUUCUCUGUUCCUUUUUUCUUGUGAUGUCAUCUCAAUGGAUUCUUAAACUAAUUGUAGUUAGGAUUUGGUAUUUUAGAGUACACUCUGCUGGCUGCAUAUAGUUUUGGAUUUGCUGAUUACACAAGUAAACUUGUUGUCCAUGCAAAAUGCAACUAUAUAUCAGCAGGAUAAUAGUUCUACUUUUAUGAGUGAACUCUGAAGGCACCAAUUAUAACAUUCAUUUCUAGCAUAGAAUCCCCCGCCCAACAAAAAGAAAUCUAACAUGCUUAUACAGAUCGCAGACAUGAUUGAAACUUUAGAAGUUUCUAAUCUAUUGAUGGCCAUAGAUUGGGCCAGCUGAUAGUUAGUAGGCAAUGAUGGAGGGUUGCUUGGUCAAGCUGCUAGUUCUUUGGAAAUUCAGAGAUGAUGAGCAGAACGAGUGAUAGUUUUUGUUUUCCCCCGUAAUCUUGAACAGAGUGGGAAGAAACCAUUAAUUUGAAGUGCAAUGGAUGGAUAUGACAGAUCUAUCAUUUUGGCUAGUAGAUGGAGUUCUUCCAUUCUACUGUUAUUUAAUGGUUGUUUUUAUUGAUUCUAGAAAAACAUUUUUCGAUUUGGCAGUUGGAGUUUUUCCCUUGUUUUUUCUCCCCAUUUUGUAGGCCUUAGAGAACCAAAUAAUACUACAUAUUAGAUAGACAGGAUUAUUAUGUGCUAAUUUGAAGUAUUACCUGGUUGACAAUUUAAGACACACUAGUAAAGUAUUUCGCUAUGAUUUUUUUUUUUUGAGAAUUCCAUGAUUCAAAAGGCCGAAGAAUUUCAUUAGUUUAACAUAGUAUAUAUUAGCAUAAUUUCUCACUGAGUGUUUUUUUCAACAUUUCAGGCAUGUACAUAUCAAAUUCCCAUUUAUGUUCCACUGAAUUCUGCCUCAUGUUAUGUCCAGAUUUGUUGUAAUAAAUUUUGCUACUGUAAAAUUACAAGAUGGUUGUAACUUGAAAUGAACUAUUUCUAUUUGCUCAAUGUUUGACAUUUUAUAUGCAUACAAGUUAAAAAGGUUUUGUUUAUUUUUAUUUUUUCAUUUUUUCAGGUAAUACAGAUUAGGGAAAAGAUUCAUGGAGCACAUCAUGAUAUGAUGGUGGAAGAUGCACUGCCCCAUGAUGGAUUGAAAAAUAGUAUGACUAUAGUGGAAAGCAAGACCGAGGAAGAAAUAGAAGACAGUGUUCAACCUGCAGAGCCAGAAGAGAAUGAUGAUAUUACUAGAUAUGGACCGGCAAUUUCAGGUGAGUUUGUGGAAGAAACAAAUUCAGAUGAGGGGUGGCAAGAAGCCAAUCCAAAAGGUAGGUCAGGAAAUGCUGCUGUUCGGAAGCUCAGCCGGAGGCGACCUGUUCUUACAAAGCUGAAUGUCAAUGGUUGUGAACAUUCAAAUCUUAGAGAAAAAGGCAAUAGACGGGAAAUUGUAUCUCCAGCACGGGAAAAAGCUUCAAGGACCACCACCACUGAGUUAACAGGCAUGAAGGAUUCAAUUAAAUUGCAGGCAAAAGCUUCUGUCUCCAAAGUUUAUGCAAGUCCACCUAACCUUACUGCCAUGGCUUCCAAGUCGCUGUCUUACAAAGAAGUAGCUGUGGCACCACCAGGUACGGUUCUAAAGCCAUUACUAGAGAAACCUGAUGAAGAAAAAACUGAAACACAGAUGUGCAGUAAUGCUCCUGACACAUCAAAGGCGGAGUUGAAUAACCAUUUCUCUCCCGUUGAAGAUGCGCCAGUUGAUGGUCAGUCUCAAGAAACUCAUGGAAGUGUAACUCAAUCUGAAACUACUGCUGCAGAUAUCGAGGAAGUUCCUUCUUCUUCUAAUGAGGAAAAGCCCAUGGAAACAAAUGGGAGUAAGCUUUCUGCCACAGCUGAACCAUUCAACCCAGGAGCUGUCUCCAUGACUCAUCUGCUAAACUCUGUGGCAGCCACGAGUAUUUAUGAUGCGAGAACUAGUAAAGGUAUGCUUGCAGAACCUGCUGUACCUUCGGCUGCUGCUAGAGUUCCUUGUGGGCCAAGGUCGCCUCUCUAUUAUAGAAAUAAUUAUUCUUACAUUAUGAAACAUGGAUUUCCAAAAUACCACUCUUCCAUUAUGGAAAGAAACCUGUUGGGGCCUUCAAGAAUCAUGAACCCGCAUGCACCCGAGUUUGUGCCAAUGAGAGGUGGCAAAUAAAUCCUGGAUAUGCAGAUUCAAAUGUUUCAAAUGAGUCGAACUCUUCGAAUGACACAAGUGAGGCAGAAGAUGCGAAACUUGACAAAAUGUCCAGUAUUCAAGGCAAAGAUAAUACCUCAAGAAAGAGCGGUACAGAGGCUGAGAAGUCAGAGCUGGCAAGACAGAUACUCCUUAGCUUCAUUGUAAAGUCAGUCCAGCAUAAUAUGGAUGCUCCAAGUCAAUCUUCAGGCUACGAAAAGAAGAUUGGGUAUUCAGAAAAUUCUUCAGAUGCAAUUGCAAAUGAUAGUGCUAUCAUAAAGAUCCUUUAUGGAAAUGAAAAGGGAAAAACAAACUUGGCAGGUCAGUCCAAUGAUCAAGAACAGCAAAAACCCAAAGAUGAAAACCAAAAAAGUGGGGAUGGUGAAGGAUUUAUAGUUGUCAGAAAACGGAGAAGAAACCGACAGCAGAUCAAAAUGGGGUAACUGAGAUGUACAAUCAUCAAUCCAUCUGUGCUUCUGUUCGUUAAAAGAGAGAGCAAAGCAAUAAAAUGCAAAGGUGCCGUCCUGUUUCUCCCAAUUUUAUUCGAAAAAUUUGUUAGUGAAUGUUACCGUUGUAGAAAUGGUUAAAGUUUGGAGCAAGUUUUAAUCAAUACUUGAUUGUGUCAUUUUAGAUAUCCUCUCUGGAUGUUCUAACAUAAUAUUUGUACAAAUCGGUUUCUUGUUUUGUUAAGAGAUUUUGUUUUGAUCAAUAAAUGAUGAUAAAUUAAUUGGGCGAUUUUCCUCAUCAAGAGAUCUGUGAUGUUGUUCUAUAAUGG
rnacentral:lncRNA from 1 species